rnacentral:lncRNA from 1 species
UUCGCACAAUGCACGUGACACUGACUACUGAAUGGAAAAAUCUGAGCCAAACAAUCUUUUUCAGAUUUUACACAAGAAAAUCCCCAAUCUCCCUCCUCAAAGUCAGCCACCAUCACCAUGACUAGUAGUCAAUGGAAACCACAUCGUUGCCUUCCAUAGCCACCAUCACUUGCCGUCGUCGCCUUCCCCACAUCCCCGUCGUAGAAAAACACUAAGUAAAACUACCCAAAUAAACUAUUAUAACUAGUAGUACAACAUAUAAUAGCAAAUCCGCACAUCAACAGAGAAAGAAAAAUAAUAAUGACAAAUGAUAAAAGGAAAUUAGCACGCAGAUUUAUGUUAAAUGGCUCAAUGAAAACUACAUACACAAAAAAGAAAAUAAAUCGACCAUAAAACAUGUUUCUUUUUCCUCCAGAUGCUAUCGCCUCCUUCCCACAUCUCCUUUUCAAUAGCUUUCUUGAUGAUUUCAAAGCCCCCUUCUUUUCAUUAUCAUUUAUAAAUUAACAUAGUUUUACCUAUAUUUUUUGUGGGCACCGGCUCCAUUCCAGUCCCCUUGGAAAUGAGCAAAAACAUUACAAAUAAGUCAAAAAACACAAGUUCCUCCAAAACACAAUACUAAUAUUUAUUCGUGUCAAAAAGGAAUUUUUUUUUUUUUUUUUUUUUUUUUUUUUUUGUAGGAAGCCCAGAAGGGAUUUGGUGGUGGAGGAGAGGAAAUUGAUUGCUGAGAUUAUUGGAGUAGAAGGAGUGGUAUAGCCAACAGUUUACAGUGACGCCGAAUAUACGAUUUACGGUGUUUGUCGGUAGUGGUGGUGGUGAGGAGGAGGGAGAUUGGGGAUUUUCUUCUAUAAAUAUGAGAGAGGGAUGAUUUGAUUUAGAUUGUUCUUUUUGUAUUCUCAAAAUUAUAUUUCAUUACAUUCUAUUUUUCUUUUUCCUAUUUUCAACAACACAAUUUUUCAUAAAAUAAUAUUACAUAUAAAUCGAUCUUUUUUCUUCUUUUCCAACCACUCAUUUUUUCAAAAAAACAUUAUUUCACUCAUUUUCAUUUCUAAAAAAGGAGCCAAAUAAGGACUUUAUUUUAAAAAACCAUUGUGGGUUGUCCUUAGGGUUGGCAAUGGGCCGAGCCGGCCUUAAUGCCAUGAACUCGGCUCGUGCUUGUGGCGAGCCGAGCUUGUGGCUCGUUUUCAACGAGCCAAGCUCGGGCUCGGCUCGUUGAAAUUAGGCGAGCUCGGCUCGUGGGCUCGCCUAAUUUUUUUUUUAUAUAUAUAAAAUAAAGAAUAGAGUUUUAAAAAUAAAAAGGGUUAAAAAAUACAAAUAAUUUAACGAAAACAAAUUUUUAUUUUUUUUAUUUAUAUCAUAUUGUAAUUUGUAAUAUUUUUUAUAAGGUAUAACCGUAUAAAAUAUUUAUAUAAUGAAAACGAAUUAUUUUUUGAAAUACAUUUACAAAAAAUAUUUUUUUGAUUUUUUUUAAAGUUAAUAAAGAAUAGAGUUUUAAAAAUAAAAAGUGUUAAAAAAUAUAAAUAAUUUAACGAGAACAAGUUUUUAUUUUUUUUUAUUUACAUCAUAUUGAAAUUUGUAAUACUUUUUAUAAAGUAUAAAAUAUUUAUAUAAUGAAAACGAAUUAUUUUUUGAAAUAUAUUUACAAAAAAUAUAUUUUUUUGAUUUCUUUUUAAAGUUAAUAAAAUAUAAACCCUCCUUCUUUAUCCGGACUUGGGACCGGCUACAUCAAUUUUAAGUAGGCGGAGUUAAAAAUUGUACACGAACAACUUGUUGUAACGUGUACAAUUUUUUAAAGAAAAUUAAAUUUAAUGAUUAAAAAAUAAAUAAAUAAUUUGAUUAAUAUAAUUAAAUUAAAUAUCACUUAUCUGACGACAUGCAAUUUCAGCGUAUUUAUCUUGUAGUCGAAAAUGAACGUCCUGUCAAUCCUUCGCACACAUUAACGCUUCCAAAACAUCUUCUUUCAGUCGGCUCCUAACAUCAGUCAAAAUCCUUUUACCUGCACUAAAAGCAGACUCCGAAGCAACAGUGCUAACCGGAGGUGUCAAUAGAUCUUUCGCAAUUGUAGAAACAAUUGGACAACGUCUUUCAUACUUUCACCAGAAUUCAAUUACUUUUUCUGAAGUUUUUUUAAUUGUUCUGUCUGUUGGCAUAUUAUGAUUGAAAUAAUCAGUUAAUUCGGCAAGCAUCACAUUUUGAGUUUCGGCCGAUGUUUGAUGAGAUACAGAUGUAGACGAUAUGAUACUAGAUGAACACAUUGCAGUUGCAUCAUAUCUAAAUAUAUUAAUGCCCUGAAAUAAAUUCAUUAUUUCCACAGCAUCUUCUUCAGUUUCAGCAGAAGGAGUAGAUGCAAUAGAGGGUACUCGACUAACAUUUGCACCCAUUCUUUCCGCAUAUAAAUUAUACAUUCCACAUAAUGUUUGCUCUAAAUUCUUAUAGGUGAUAGGUGUAUCAAGUAUUAAAACUUUAUUGAUUUGUUCAAUUACGUAUUUAGUUCCCGAAAUAUUAUAUCGAGGGUCCAUUGCGCAUGCUAAAGGAAAUAAUAUAGGCAGUUCUUCCCAAUGUUUUCUAAAUUUUAAUUCCAUAGCAAUUAAAAUUUCACUAAAAGCAGGAUCAUUUUUAUAUUUAUGAAAUGUUCUUGUAAUUAUAUAAAGGCGUUCAAGCACCAUACAACUUCUGGGAUAAUAAACGCCGGAUAAAAUCUUUGCAGUCUCAUAAAAAGAUGUCAAAAAUCGUUUAACUUUCAAAGCUAAAAUCCAAUCGGAUUCAUUUAACAUAUCAUCAUCAUCACUUCUAACAUGUCUAUUAUUAUAAAAGUCAGUUAUUAAAUUUUCGAAACUUUCACAUGAUUUUAAUAGCAAGUAUGUAGAGUUCCAUCUAUGACCUACGUCGCUAACAAAUGUUUUAGCAGUCAUCACCCCUAGUUCGGCACAAAAAUCUUCAAAUGCUUAUUUUCUAUUAGGAGAGAUCGUAAUAUAAACUAAUGCAUUCCUAAUCCUUUGAAAUUCAUCAUUUAUAUGUUUUAAACCAUCUUGCAUAAUUAAAUUUAAGAUAUGACACACACAACGAAUAUGAAACAAAUACCCACCAAAAUCAGGUUGAAGUGUCCUACACAAUUUAUCGACAACUACCUUAUUAACGCUAGCAUUAUCAAAAGUAAAAGAUCGAAUUUUACUCUCACAAUGAUAUUCUCUAAAAAUACUGGUAAUAGCAUUAUAUAUAUUAUUAGCAUUGUGAGGAAAUUCAAUAAUUCUAAAAGCAAUAAUUUUCUUAUGCAUGCACCAAAGUGGAUCUAUAUAGUGUGCGGUUGCAACUAUAUAUGCUCUUUUAUUGACCCAUUCCCAUCUAUCAGAAGUUAAGGAUAUAACACCUCCAUAUUGUUGCAAAUUCAUAAUUAAUUGUUGUUUUGAAUUAUUGAAAUAAUUUAUUGUAUCGACACGAAGAGUGUUUCGACUUACCCCAACGUACUUCGGUUGUAGAUAUUCUUUCACGAACGAGACGAAUUGUUGGUUGUCUGCAAUAGCCAGAGGCAACUCAGUGGCAGCAACAAAUUUCACCAUUCCAGUUCGAGUCUUGUUUUCCGAAUACACCCACAUGGAUAGGGGUGAAAUUGUAGAACCGACGCCUGGACUACCAAAUUGUAAUUGUGUUUGACCAACUGGAAGAAGUCCGUGUCUGGCUGCACAUGAUUUGUAGUGGCGGUUGAGAUGAGUGGUACCAAUUCUUUUUUGUCUGCCAAUCUUUGUUGACAGUAUAUACAUACUGCUUUAGAUUCUGCAAGGCCAUCAACGACUUUUCCCGUUGAAAUCAACUUAAAGUGAUCCCAACAUUUUACUUAUUUUUUGACCUUUCGCUUUCCCCUCGCAUCUGGGAUAUUUAAUUGCUGAUCUUCAUCUUCAUGUUUCGCUUCAGGAACGUUAAUAUCAUCCAAAUCAAUUGGAAUGUGGCUUUCCUGACCGUGAAAGUGAACAUCUUCAGGUAUCGGUAUGUCAUUUAGACCAACAAAUUCAUUUGGAAAUUGAUUUUGCGACGUACUAGGCGAUUCUCCAUGAUGUGGCAAUGGCUCACAUCCUGUAUCGAACAAGCUCUCAACAAAUGAACGUUGAUCCAUUUCUGUGAUUGUUUCUAAUGAAAUCUUGACUAGAUCAAUAUAAAUGUAGCGAGAUUGUGAGAAUUGAGAAUUGGAUGAAUUGAAAUUGUAAAUAAUAAAUCGGAAAAAUUGAAUUGAUAUUGUAUAUUUUACAGCACAAGAGAGUAAAAAUUCGAUAAUUGAUAUAAUAAAAGAUAGUUGAGACUUGAGAGAGUUGUAAUCUUGGAGGAGAUUGAUAUGAAAAAUUUUUUUGGAGGAAGGGGAUAUUUAUAGUAAAAAAAUUGGGGGGAAAUACCUCAAAUUGACCUAAAUAAAGGAAGGAUUUUUCAAAAUGGCCUUUGACUUUUCUAAACAUUUUGAACUACCUAAAACACCCUUAAACAAAUAUUAAAAAACAACCCUUUAUCUAAUAUAAAUCUUCUAUUUAAGUCCUUAAAUAAUUAACAAAUAAUUUUUCUAAAAAUUUGUGAGAAUUAUUAAUGACAAAUUAUAAAAUAGAAAAACCCAAAUAUAAGAGAGGACCAUAUAAUAUAAAAAAGAAAUUAAGUUUGAAAAAGAAAUUGAUAAGAUGGGAUAUCAAGAACAAUUAUAUGCAUCACAAGAAAUAUUAAAAUGUUUCAAAGAAAACUUAUUAGAAAAUUUUGCUAAAGGAAUUGUAAGAACAAUAAUUAUAAAAGAUAUACAAGAUAUCAUAGAUAAAUUGGAAAAAAGGAAGAAAAAUAUUUCAAAAUAUGAUAUACCUUUUAGAACAGAUAUAGAUAUGAUGACAGAUAUUGAUAUCAUAAAUUCUCAGACAUUAUUAGACUUUGAAGAAUUACUCAAAAAUUUAUAAGAACGCUAAUAAAAAAUAGAUUAUCACAAACAUACAAAAAAUUAGUCUUUAUCUUAAGAUUUUACACCUAAUAGUAAAAAUAAAAGAGCUUUUGGAAUAUAAAAAGUUUAGAUUCAUGAUUAUUAGAUUUUUAGAUUAUUAGAUUUUUGUUCGCUCAUAGUAGCACCCCCACAGUUGGUAUCAGAGCCAUAGAGAUCAUGAGAAAAUAUAUAAAAAAUAAAAGAUUAUGAUUUUAGAAAUUAUUGAAACUUAUAAAAAUAGACUAAGGUACCAAGUAAAAUAUAGUUAUGACAUAGAAGGCUAUAUAGAAGAAGAUAAUAUAGUUGGAACAUAUAGCAAAGAUAUAAACGAAGUUUUAGAAAUUUUUAGAGUAAUUAAAAAUCUACCUUUAGAAUUAAAAGAGAAAAUAAUUAAAAAGAUAUUAUUUGAAGAAUAUAAGCAUAUAUAUAUAUUAAGAGUAAUCCAGAGGGAAAUAGAUUUUAUAAUAAUCUGAAAUUACUAUGGAAAUCAUAAAAAUAAAUAAUUAUUAUCAAUGUAUUGAAGAAAAAGGAUGUUAUAUAUUUUACAACCCCAUCCCUAAUAAAUUAAAAAUAAUAACAUUAUAUAUAACUAGGGAUUUACCUAGAGAAAUAAGGGAACAAAUACUACAUAAAUUAAUUGUAGGAUUUAUCAAGGAUAGACGUACAUAUGAAAUAAUUUGUGAAAUAUUUGAAAAUGAGUUGUACUAUAGAGAAAUAUAUGAAUCGUCAUAAGAAUAUAAUGGAAAAACUAAAGAUAUUUUAUAAAGGAAGUUAGAAAGAAUAAGAUUAAUAAAUAAUAAAAUUUUAGAUGAAUUAUUAAUACCUGGAGAAAUAACUAAAACUCAAGAAAAGCAAAUAUUAAAAUUAAAACAAGAAAGGUAUAAAGAAAAAGUAAGGUAUUAUGAAAAACUAAAAGAGAUAACAAAUCUUGAAGUAAUAAAACAAAGAUAUGAUAAAAUGAUAAAAGAGUGCAAAAAUGCUGAGUGUAUAGUAUUUUAUUAUUGUCAAUCAAAAAAUAGAUAAAAUGUCAAUCAGUGAACAUAUGGAAGAAUUAAAACAUCUAAUAAGAACAUUAAUAAAUGAUGUACAAGAAAUUAAGAAUGAAAUAAAAGAAGCUAGAAAUGAUAUAAAUAUAUUGAAACUUGAAGUCAGGAAAUUAAAAGAAAAUGAAGAAAAGAAUAAUAGAGUAGAUAAAAAAUUUAUAGAAAAAGAAAUAACCAGAAUAGGGAAAAAACAUAUUGAAAGGAAAAAUAUAAUAAUAGAAACAGGAAGUAUGGAUGAUGAGUUUAGAAAAAAUAUAUUACCUAAAAUAAUAGAAGAAGAAGAAUCUAGAGAAAAAANNNNNNNNNNNNNNNNNNNNNNNNNNNNNNNNNNNNNNNNNNNNNNNNNNNNNNNNNNNNNNNNNNNNNNNNNNNNNNNNNNNNNNNNNNNNNNNNNNNNNNNNNNNNNNNNNNNNNCAUAGAUAAUUUUGAUCAUUUAAGUCUAGAAAGUAUAGAUGAUGAAUACCAAAUCUUAAUGAAUACUGGAGGAGGACCUAAUCCUGUAGGAACUUCUAAACAAGAAUCAAUAGAUCCAGAUGAAAGCUAUGCUCCAAUGUAUAAUAAACCAUAUAGGCAAUUUUAUGAUAAAAUAAGAGAUAAACAACCGUCCAAAGGAAAUAAAUAUAAUAAUAGAUUUGAAUUAAAUAAUAAUUAUGAUAAACCUGUUAACCAUGGAGGAACAAAAUUAGACUUAGAUUGCAAAAUAGAUACUAAGAAAGUCUUAAUAACUUGGGCAGACUCAAUNNNNNNNNNNNNNNNNNNNNNNNNNNNNNNNNNNNNNNNNNNNNNNNNNNNNNNNNNNNNNNNNNNNNNNNNNNNNNNNNNNNNNNNNNNNNNNNNNNNNNNNNNNNNNNNNNNNNNNNNNNNNNNNNNNNNNNNNNNNNNNNNNNNNNNNNNNNNNNNNNNNNNNNNNNNNNNNNNNNNNNNNNNNNNNNNNNNNNNNNNNNNNNNNNNNNNNNNNNNNNNNNNNNNNNNNNNNNNNNNNNNNNNNNNNNNNNNNNNNNNNNNNNNNNNNNNNNNNNNNNNNNNNNNNNNNNNNNNNNNNNNNNNNNNNNNNNNNNNNNNNNNNNNNNNNNNNNNNNNNNNNNNNNNNNNNNNNNNNNNNNNNNNNNNNNNNNNNNNNNNNNNNNNNNNNNNNNNNNNNNNNNNNNNNNNNNNNNNNNNNNNNNNNNNNNNNNNNNNNNNNNNNNNNNNNNNNNNNNNNNNNNNNNNNNNNNNNNNNNNNNNNNNNNNNNNNNNNNNNNNNNNNNNNNNNNNNNNNNNNNNNNNNNNNNNNNNNNNNNNNNNNNNNNNNNNNNNNNNNNNNNNNNNNNNNNNNNNNNNNNNNNNNNNNNNNNNNNNNNNNNNNNNNNNNNNNNNNNNNNNNNNNNNNNNNNNNNNNNNNNNNNNNNNNNNNNNNNNNNNNNNNNNNNNNNNNNNNNNNNNNNNNNNNNNNNNNNNNNNNNNNNNNNNNNNNNNNNNNNNNNNNNNNNNNNNNNNNNNNNNNNNNNNNNNNNNNNNNNNNNNNNNNNNNNNNNNNNNNNNNNNNNNNNNNNNNNNNNNNNNNNNNNNNNNNNNNNNNNNNNNNNNNNNNNNNNNNNNNNNNNNNNNNNNNNNNNNNNNNNNNNNNNNNNNNNNNNNNNNNNNNNNNNNNNNNNNNNNNNNNNNNNNNNNNNNNNNNNNNNNNNNNNNNNNNNNNNNNNNNNNNNNNNNNNNNNNNNNNNNNNNNNNNNNNNNNNNNNNNNNNNNNNNNNNNNNNNNNNNNNNNNNNNNNNNNNNNNNNNNNNNNNNNNNNNNNNNNNNNNNNNNNNNNNNNNNNNNNNNNNNNNNNNNNNNNNNNNNNNNNNNNNNNNNNNNNNNNNNNNNNNNNNNNNNNNNNNNNNNNNNNNNNNNNNNNNNNNNNNNNNNNNNNNNNNNNNNNNNNNNNNNNNNNNNNNNNNNNNNNNNNNNNNNNNNNNNNNNNNNNNNNNNNNNNNNNNNNNNNNNNNNNNNNNNNNNNNNNNNNNNNNNNNNNNNNNNNNNNNNNNNNNNNNNNNNNNNNNNNNNNNNNNNNNNNNNNNNNNNNNNNNNNNNNNNNNNNNNNNNNNNNNNNNNNNNNNNNNNNNNNNNNNNNNNNNNNNNNNNNNNNNNNNNNNNNNNNNNNNNNNNNNNNNNNNNNNNNNNNNNNNNNNNNNNNNNNNNNNNNNNNNNNNNNNNNNNNNNNNNNNNNNNNNNNNNNNNNNNNNNNNNNNNNNNNNNNNNNNNNNNNNNNNNNNNNNNNNNNNNNNNNNNNNNNNNNNNNNNNNNNNNNNNNNNNNNNNNNNNNNNNNNNNNNNNNNNNNNNNNNNNNNNNNNNNNNNNNNNNNNNNNNNNNNNNNNNNNNNNNNNNNNNNNNNNNNNNNNNNNNNNNNNNNNNNNNNNNNNNNNNNNNNNNNNNNNNNNNNNNNNNNNNNNNNNNNNNNNNNNNNNNNNNNNNNNNNNNNNNNNNNNNNNNNNNNNNNNNNNNNNNNNNNNNNNNNNNNNNNNNNNNNNNNNNNNNNNNNNNNNNNNNNNNNNNNNNNNNNNNNNNNNNNNNNNNNNNNNNNNNNNNNNNNNNNNNNNNNNNNNNNNNNNNNNNNNNNNNNNNNNNNNNNNNNNNNNNNNNNNNNNNNNNNNNNNNNNNNNNNNNNNNNNNNNNNNNNNNNNNNNNNNNNNNNNNNNNNNNNNNNNNNNNNNNNNNNNNNNNNNNNNNNNNNNNNNNNNNNNNNNNNNNNNNNNNNNNNNNNNNNNNNNNNNNNNNNNNNNNNNNNNNNNNNNNNNNNNNNNNNNNNNNNNNNNNNNNNNNNNNNNNNNNNNNNNNNNNNNNNNNNNNNNNNNNNNNNNNNNNNNNNNNNNNNNNNNNNNNNNNNNNNNNNNNNNNNNNNNNNNNNNNNNNNNNNNNNNNNNNNNNNNNNNNNNNNNNNNNNNNNNNNNNNNNNNNNNNNNNNNNNNNNNNNNNNNNNNNNNNNNNNNNNNNNNNNNNNNNNNNNNNNNNNNNNNNNNNNNNNNNNNNNNNNNNNNNNNNNNNNNNNNNNNNNNNNNNNNNNNNNNNNNNNNNNNNNNNNNNNNNNNNNNNNNNNNNNNNNNNNNNNNNNNNNNNNNNNNNNNNNNNNNNNNNNNNNNNNNNNNNNNNNNNNNNNNNNNNNNNNNNNNNNNNNNNNNNNNNNNNNNNNNNNNNNNNNNNNNNNNNNNNNNNNNNNNNNNNNNNNNNNNNNNNNNNNNNNNNNNNNNNNNNNNNNNNNNNNNNNNNNNNNNNNNNNNNNNNNNNNNNNNNNNNNNNNNNNNNNNNNNNNNNNNNNNNNNNNNNNNNNNNNNNNNNNNNNNNNNNNNNNNNNNNNNNNNNNNNNNNNNNNNNNNNNNNNNNNNNNNNNNNNNNNNNNNNNNNNNNNNNNNNNNNNNNNNNNNNNNNNNNNNNNNNNNNNNNNNNNNNNNNNNNNNNNNCAGCAGUGGACCCAGCAAUAUCAAACGAGAUAUAGCAAGUCCCCGGAAGGUGACUAUAAAAAAUGGUGAUGAACAUACAAGAGUUAUAAGAAUCAAAACUGAUGAAGAUGAUGAUACCCCUUUAUCAUCAAAAGAAGAAGAAUAUAGAUCAUUUGCCAAGAUUGUCUAUGAAUUGGAAGAAAAUGAAUCUUAUUUUAUUGCAUCAGGAGAUCAUGUUUAUCCCAGAUUAAUAAUUACCAAAGAUGCAGACCCUUUCAUGGUCAAGAUGGCAGCAGAUUAUGGAUUUCUGGAUUUGAUCUAUCCAGGAAAAGAUUUAAAAGAAAUUGAAAAUUUUGAUGAUAUAUUCAGGGCAGAAGUUUCAAAAUUUGCCCAAGGAAGAUCGAUUUAUAUUAAAUUUUAUUCAAUAAGUCCCGAAGUUGAUGGAAGGAUAUACUAUCCUGCUGAACAUAUUAUUACAAUUGGAUAUGUUGGCCGAGAUUUCCAGAUUGAAGUUGGCCGAAAUAAUAAACCAUUACCUAAAAUCAAUAAAUCAUGGAUUAAAUCUCGGAGAGUUUUGGGGAUGAAAGUUCUUUACAACAUUGCAAAGAACUUAUAUGAUAAAAAAUUCAGAUGCUUGUGCCAAUAUGAAGGAUGGACACUCCUUACAAAUAAUGGAAAAGAAAAAUCUACCAUCUUGAAAGAAUAUAUCCAGAAAUUUGAUACCCAUCAAAUUAGUGGAAGUCCAACAACAAUCCAAGAAUCAUGCAGAUUGAGGGAGUGCCCCACAUGUAGACAAAAUUGAAAGAUUGAUGGAUGAAAAAGGACCUACCACUACCAAAGCAUCUAGCCAGCUGCAUAUGAAUCCAAAGAUGGAAAAGCAAUAAUAGAAAAGCAUCUAGCCAGCUGCAUAUGAAGCCAAAGAUGAAAAGGCAAAGAAUGCAUGUGAAAAUGUAGACCCUAGGAGGAAAAGAAUAGAGAGGCAUGUGAGCCUUUUUUUCAAAAUUCUGAUGUAUGCAAUGAUGUAAUAUAUCAAUAAUAGUAAGUUUGAGUCAUGUAUAAAUAGAGGUAUUUGGGAAAGAAUGGAUCAUCUCGAAUUGAAAACCAUUCUCUUUCCUUAAGCUUUCUUCAAAACCAGUUUUUCUGGAAACCCCUUGUAUACAAUAGAAACCUUGUAUAAAUCACUAUAGAAAUAAAAUUUCAAUCUUUUGAUAUCAGAAAAAUAUGAGUUUCUAAACCUCCUAUCCCAUAGAUUCUUGAUAGAUUGAAGAAGAUAGUUUCUUUCUUACUUUAACAAAGAGAGAAUUUUCUUUACUUAAGAAUCUUUAUUCUUAAUUCUAACAAAAGAUACAGUGAGGGCAAGAAGCUGAAAUAGCAGAAUUUCCAUUAAGGCAAGAGGCCGUUUGAGGGAGCAGUUUGCAGAUUCAGAGCCUGAAGGUCACUCGGUUCUAAGAAUACAGAUUUAAGAUCAAAAGUAAGGUAAAAUUAUUGUCUUUGUUAAAUUUAGAAAGAACUCUUCUAAUAUCUUGAAAGAAUCGUAGGGAUUAUUAUUUUUCAUGUUUGCAAAAAACUUAUCUAACAUGUUAUUAUUAUUCAUAAAGUUUGCAAGGAAUUAUCUGAAUGCCAGGUUAUACAAUUAAAGGAUUAGAUAAUCUGUUAGAAAAAUUAUUAGAAAAAAUAAGAAAUAUUUUUGCCCAACUAGAAACUAUGGAUGUUUCAUCUAAGGAAUAUGAUAAUCUUAGUAAAUUACAUGACAAUUAUAUUACAGAUUAUGCUAAUUUAUUAGAUCAAAGGAUGAAACUCUAUAUUAAAAUCCGAAAUGAGAGAAAUAGAAGAAUUUUGGAACUAUCCCAAUAAAUUAAGGAUAUCUUGUGCAAAAUAUAAUAAGUAAUUUCAUUAAGGGUAUUAUAGACAUUUUACCAAAAAUGAAUAGUAGCAGGCCAUUUAUAAAAAUCUCCCAAAAUUGGGGGGGGGGGGGAAUAAAAAAAAAAGUUCAGUGACCGUUCUGGUCACUGAACAAGGCUCGACGAGCCACGAGCCGCCCACGAGCGGCUCGUCUACGGGCAAAGCCCGCUCGCCUCGUGCUCGUGAUUUCACGAGCCUGAGCCGCCCACAGCCCCUUUUUCACGAGCCGAGUCGGUUCGGUCCAAUUGACAUCCCUAGUUGUACUUGUUUGACAUGGCACUCGCAACUGACACAUUAAGCAACGUAUUUAGCACGUCUGCAUUCCAUCAAUUUUUGGACGGACCGUUAAAUCAAUUACUAAUAGGAUUACAAAAUGCAAACUUUAGUAAUGAACAACAUGAUUUUUAAAAUUUAGUAACCCUUGCAUGCCUUUUGUAAAAUUUAGCGACCAUUUGGACUAUUAUCCCUUUCUUUCUCUUCCAGUUUCAUUUUUUCUUCUUAAAGAAGGCAAAUAAAGUAUCUAUUCUACUAAGCACUAUUGUUGCUUUUCCCAUGUCCAAUUGUGGGGUUCAAUUUUUCUUUUCCUUUUGUGGGUCCCAGAGUCCCAUGUGAAUGUUAUUCUUAUUUUUAUUUGGUUGGACUAGGUGGCCUUUGUAGUAGUCUUUUGUUUGGAUUAGGAUUUUAAAAUGACCAAAGGGUAUUUUUCUAUGGCAGAGAAUUCUCCUUUGACUUGGAAUGGAAAAGUACAUUCCCUUCUAUUUUCCCAUACCAACAAACAAAUUGUCCUUGUUUUUGUUUAUGUCCCUAUAUGGGAGUUCCAUCUAUGGAAUAGGCGAUAUUCUAUUUCUCACAAAUAUUAUAUAAACACUUCAGUAUGCUUCAUUUAAGAUGAAAUGCAUUCCCGUCUCAUUAAACAAGCAUUGGAAAUUAUUUUUCAAUCAAUUUUCACCUCUUUUUCACAAAACAAUGAAAAAUCUAAUAUUAUCAGCUAUCAUUUUCUUUCUAUCCUCUUUCUUACCAAACCAAUGCACCUAAAGAAUUUUUUGGAACUCAAUAUGAAAUUUUUGCUCAUAGGGGAGUCAAAAAAUGAGCAUAUAUGUUGGGCAGAUGCUCGAAUGGCCAUGCCCUCACUUGAAUUUGCCCUAACUCACUCGAAUUCCUAGAUCCACGUUGCUUGGAAACAUAAAUGUGGAGAUGAAUAUGAUUGAUCACAACCCAAUGCUUAAUCCAAUUUGAGGUUGUGUUGAGAAAGUAAAUUGUUAGAGUUCGAGUAAGAUUUUACAAAUCUAAGCCUUGAGUAAAUGGGUUGAAGAGAGAGCAUGCAAGUAUCACUAUUGAAAGAAGCGUACUCUAGAGUACUUGGUGGUUUUAUUCCUUGGUACUUGGAGUCAAUAUGUUAUGUUGGGCACAAUAAUAUUGUAUGUAGACAGUUGAGUGUGGCACUCGAAUGCACUUGAAUGUGGAUAGGCUGUGAUCGGUUAAUGCCGUGAACGAAGGUUAAAUAUGACAUUUUUCAAAGAUACGAAAUCUGAAAAAAUUCGCACUGAACUAAAAGUCUCAAUCGAGCAACAUUGUUAAAUUAUAACUUGUACCCACUAAUAAUAUUUAAAAAUAUAAUAAAUAAUGAACACCUGGGGUUCAAACUUUAUACAUGAUAUACGUAUUGCAAGUAAUUGGACCACAGUCGUUUGAUAAUGACAGAUUUUGUCUCACCUAGGCCCCAGUCCUUUAGUAAAGACAGUUUUUGUGAUUCUUCGUUUGGAUUUUGUGUGACUUUAAUAAUGACGAUUUUAUAAAAUUAUAAUAUUAAAAAAUGCUAAAUUAGAUAAAGUGCAACUCAUUCCUUCUCUUGUCAUUUUCAUAAUUAUUAGUAAAAGUAAAAGUCUUAAUAAUUCUGCAGGACGGUCUAUAAAUGCACAAAGUUCACUUGCAAUCCUUCAUAAACGAAUUUUGUUGUUGUGAAAUGUGGUGAAAAUCUUUGCAUUUGUGUGCUAUCAAACGAGAGAACAAUCUUAAUGGAUCCUGAUUUGUAUGAAGCUGUACAAGAGGGCAAUCUAAAUGCCAUGAGAGAAAAGAUGGAACUUAUCAGCACCACUCAAUUGACACCAAACAAGAAUACUUUACUCCACGUUGCUGCCCAGUUCAACAGCUCCGAGGAAUGCGCAUCAGAAAUACUCAAGAUAAAUGGAUCCUUACUCCAUGAAGUGAACUCAGAUGGGGAGACUGCGCUCCACGUUGCUACAAGAAAUGGCAUGGAGAAUGUUGGGAUAGUGAUGAUGGAAUUUGCGAAGAGAAUUGAUCGAGAGCUUGAAGCUGGAGGCGUAGACGAAAAACUCAAAAGGUUGCUAACAUUGAAAAAAAUAUACAUGGAGACACUGCACUGCAUGAGGCUAUAAGGAAUAAUCGUCCAUCUAUGGUCAAUUUGAUGACAAAAGAAGACCCUGAAAUUGCAAAUAUAGCGAAUAAUGCACUGGAAACUCCAUUGUUUCUUGCAGUUGAUAUUGUUCGAGGUGAUGAGAACCAGAUAAUGUCUGUGAAUUACAUAUUGGAAAAUUGCCCAUCACCAGCUUAUACUGGACCAAAUAGGAAAACUGCUCUGCAUGCUGCGGCUUUAUAUAAUCAGAAACGUAAGUCUUCAAUUUCAUUAGUAGCAAUUCUUGUGUUCUUUAAGAAGAAGAUGCUCUUGGAGCUUAAUGUAGGCUAAAGAGAGUUGGACUAUGACAUGUGGCCUUUCUAAUAUUCAAGGGAAAUUUUUGUGUAGUCUUAAUCAAUACUCCAAUCUCCAUAAAAAGACCUUCUUAUUAGUUUUUCUUGAUUUAGGAAUUAUUUUGAUGGUAACUUUUAGAUUUCUCUCUUCAUAAGAUUUUAUUACGUGAAUUUUGACAUUUCAUCCAUGACUUGAAUUUUGGUUUCAUUGUAUAAAUCAAUCACUUGAUAGUUGGCCAAAAUAGAUUAUUGUGUAGACUUUGAGUUUAUUUUUUCUCCAAUUCUUGGUAUUCAUUGUGAAUCAAUGAGCUCUGUUGCCAAAUUCUAUGGUAUUCUCGUGAAUCAACAUAAAAUUAACAGUCUUUCGGUAUAUGUUUUGUGUUCAUCUUUCUAGUACAUGCUUUUUCUGCAUGAGAACUGCUUUAUUGCAGCCUAGCUAAUGCCUAAUGCUCACUCAAAAUUUGAAGAAUGCAGAAAUAUCAAGAAAGUUGUUGAAAAAACAUCCAAAUAUAAUAACGGAAGUAGAUGAUCGUGGAUGGAGUGCUCUCCAUUAUGCUGCACAACGUGGAUUUGGAUUCGAUGUAGUAGCAGCAGAACUAUUAAAGGCUGAUAAAUCAAUAGCAUAUAUAGUUGCAAAAAACGAUAACAAUAAGACAGCUCUUCAUAUAUCAACUUGUCAGGGGAAAGUAGAGAUAAUGGAAGAGAUUUUGGCCUAUUGUCCUGAUUGCUGGGUGAUGGUCACUGGAGAUGGCCAAAAUAUUCUACACCUUUCUGUGAAAUUCGAACAAAAACGAGCAUUUAAAUUUAUCAUGGAAAAACCAUGGGUUGGCAACCUCCUUAACCAAAAAGAUGAAGAGGGAAACACACCCCUCCACUUAUAUGCUGCAACUUACGACUUCAACGGCCGUGAUCUUGUAAACCAUCCACAAGCAGAGAAGAAUUCUGUGAACAAGGAAUUUAUGACGCCUCUAGAUGUCAUAGAGUUUUCUGAUUUUCGUUCAAUGAGAAAGGUAUCGAGAAUCUCCUUUAAAUUUUUAAGGUUUUUUCAUUUUUUAUUUUCUGAAUGAAACCACUUAACUUUCACUUUAUAUAUCCUAUACAAUGUGGAAAAACAAUUUGAGGGGUGCUAAAGGAAUGUGUUACUUCGAACUAAUGAGUUUUCUAAAAUAAGUGAUGCUCAAAAUGAAACGACAAAGGGAAAGUUCCUUCUUUUCCUCUUAUUGGUUUUAGGACUAACUUGCUUUGGGAGGAAAAAAUUACAGUUCAGGACAGUAUUAAAGAAGAAAAAUAAGUUAAAAUAUUGUUUAUAUUAUGUGUACCAAACAUGUCUUGGUGGAAAAUGAAAAUAUGAGAAGUGAAGAUUCCAUGUCUCACAGACGUGUCACCACAAACAAUGCCUCUCAUGUAUAAUUUUUCUAUUUUCUUUUUUUUUCCUAGUAUAUCUUUUUGUCUCUGAUUCAACUCCUUCGUUUGACACAAUGCAGUUUGCCGUAGCUAAGGAAUUAAAAGCAAAAGGUGCUGAACGGGAUGCUUGGAAUUUAGCGACUCGUCUAAAUAGUCAGCGAUCGCAGAUUAUAAAAGAUAACAUUGAAACACUAAGAAAGAUUGCUACAAUAGAUAUUAGAAAAGUAGCCGACACACAUAUUGUAGUGGCUGCUCUCAUAACAACAGUUGCAUUUGCUGCCGGAUUCACCAUUCCGGGUGGGUAUGAUGGAAAUGAUGGCCCGAACAAAGGCCUCGCAAUUUUAUCAAGAAAGGCUGCUUUUAAAGCUUUCAUUAUAACGGACACAUUAGCUAUGGUUUGCUCUGCUUCUGCUAUUUUUCUCCACUUCUUUGCAGCCGUUGAAACUGACGAUUCAAAGCUUAGGAAGUUGUGGGGUGUUGCUACAAUGCUUGUUAUGGUUGCCAUGGGGGCGAUGGUAAUUGCUUUCAUGACCGGGCUGUACACUGUUUUACAACAUUCACUAGAACUUGCAAUCACAGAAUGUGCAAUUUGCAUCUUCUGCUUUCCUGUUAUCUACUACUCAGUGAAAAUGACGAUACCUAGUUAGAGAGAGUAAACGAUUUGUAAGUUUAUGCAACUAUUCUGUUUUACGCUUACUCUGUUGAACACACUCUAUAUCUUUGUAUUAUGCCAUAUUUAAUUGCCAAAAGUACCCUAAUCUGGUAACAGUUCUUAAUUUUCCAUUGAAAUCCUUAGGAUGAUGUUCCAAGCCUACAAGCCACAUUUUCUAAAAUGAUGAUUAUCAUUCAAUGUUAACUUCCAAUAAACUGAUAAGUUGAGGCGGAAUCUGUCAGGAUCUUCGGCUGUUAUGAACACAAAUUGUUCGCAAAGAAAAGUGGAAAAAGAUAGAAAUGAAUAGAGAAAAUUAUUGAUAUUGCUCGAAAAACAAGAACAAAUACGAAUUUCAUUUUGAUAUUGCUAUUACUGAACCCAUAGGCUGAGACUUGAAUUAUAAGAAAUAUUGCACUUGUUUAUCAAUUUGAAGGAGGAUUCAAGGAAACAUAUUAAAUUCCAAUGAUACAUAUUCCAAACUGGCUCAUUUCCCUUGUCAAUCACUUCCAUGAUAUUAUCCUAUUAAUUUAAAUAGUUGAAUUGGAAUUGGUUUCACUUUUUAUCAAUAUUUUUAUCUUAGAACCUAGUAGAUUACGUGUUUUCACCAGCUACGGAAGAUUAUAGGAUAAGAAAUCAAGGACAAAAUGAGAAGAAAAGCCUAAAUGCUGAGAGGGAAAAAAGGCACUUCUUCGGCUGUAUUUAUAGCAUUGAUAUGCAGCACUAACACACAAUCACGUGCAUGAGAAAAAAAUGUAAAUUAAUAACAUUAUAAUCAAAUUUAACUGUGAUUCCAUGAUGCAGAUACAAAACUGAGGAUAUAUAACAAUUAAUAAAAUUCAAUACAAAAGACGUGCCAAAACGAAAUGAGAAGAAUGUGAUCAAUUCUGAACUAAAAAUCAUAAAUAAAAUAAAAUAAAUGAAUCUUCUAUUUUAUGAGCGGAAGAAGCUUUAAACUAUAGAUUUAAAAAUUCAAUCUCUUCUCUUUAAAAUUAAAUCUUCAGGUGAAUAAAAUGGCGCUUAAUUUUGAACUCCAAUACUCCUCUUUUACUAAGGCUAGAGAAAACUCUUGAACCGAAUCGAUCAAACCUAAUAGACCCGAACUCAGCAGUUCUUCUUAAAUUAAAUAUCCGAAUAGGUAUCUGAAUCGAGAAUCGAUGGUUCGGUUCUUGGUCCGAAGUACUGAAUAAGAACCAAAUUUUCCUUUUUUUUAUUUCUUUAUCUUAAAUAAGCCAAAUUAUUUUUUUCUAAAUAAAUAUACUAACUAAUUAAUUUUGCCCAUACCUAAAAUACGAUUUCCCUAUUUUUAAUUUCCCAACAUAAUCAAAUUGACCUAAAUUUUACCAAAAUCUAUUAUUCUAUCGUAAUGUCAUUUCUAUUGUUUUGGAGAAUUUGAAUUGGAUGCUCGGCUACAUCUCUUUUCAUUAUUGUCAGUUUGCUAUUUUCUUCUUCCUGUAAUUUUAACAAUCAAAUCUAUAAACUACUCAAUAAAGAGUAACGCAAAAGGUGCAUAAGAUUUAACUACGUUAUUUUGUAAAAGCUGAGAUUAAAAAAAUUAGUUGCAAAUAUUAAAAAAAUUAAUUACUAUAUGGAACUCAGGAAUAAAUCAAAUCGAACCAAAUGGAACAAACUCGAAUCGUUUCAUCAUUAAAUUUGGAACUGACAGUUCCACGUAUUAAAUACCUGAAUAUUCGAGUUCUAUUUGAUUCUCUUUAGAACCGAACGGAAUCAGACCAUGUCCAACCCUACCUUGUGCAUUAACAAAUACAUUGAAAUCAAACUAGAAAUAGAAAAAUUUUUAAAAACUAGUAAACCUCUAAAUAGAGAACAACAACUUUCUCCUGGCCAAGUAUGGUAGAACUCGAAGGGUAAGACGACAGGAUCAAGAAUUCGAAGAUCACACGCCUCCUCCCCAAAGAGUCCAUAAGGAUCCAGUUCUGUGACUUGGCUCCCCUUUCUUCAAUCCACUUGGAGGAUCCGCCGACACCAUGUACAUACAUACCCCCGUUUUAGCCGGCUGUUUUAAUGGGCUGUUUUGUUUAAACUUUUAACUUUUAAUAACUUUAAUCCUAUUCAGUAUUCUCUUUAGUUUUCUAUAAAUCUUUCUUAAGAAUCAUAUAUAAAUCCCUUUUUUUUUCUUUUUUCUUUUUUUUUCAUUUAAAUUUUCAUCACCUAUGACAUAUAAACUUGAACCUGGUUCCUUUUUAUAAGGUUACUCAUGGCGCUCCCUUAUAAAAUUCUUAGAUUAAUUUUUUCCCUUUCCCCAGCAUCUUUAGAAAACAUCAAGAGGCUCACUCCGGCCAAAAGUUUUCACCUAUCUGGGUCACUCAGGAUUAACCUAAAAAUAGUAUGGCUUCUAGAAAUCAAGUUAUGCUUUUAUUAUAUGCAUAGGAUGAAAUGAACAUAACAAAAUUUACGUAAAAACAUAAACAUUAACAUAAAAGAGCAUAAAUCAGGGAUUUAUAAAUUCAUCUUUUGAAAAGAUUUACAACUAAGGAUUUCCCUUUCGGAAAGUCCCUAAAGUUCUAAAAUAAACUUAAGAAAUUAAAAGAAUAUCUUAAAUAUUCUCAAGAGUGUUUCAGCUAUACAAUAUUUUUUGGAUUGAGAAUUUUUCUGGAGGGGAGGUUUCAAAGGGUUUUUUAGAUAGCAGAGAGUAUACAGGUCGUAAACUUCUGCCUAAACCAAAUGAAACUCAUUCCUUAAAUAGAAAAAUUCUUGGGAGCAAAAAGUCUAAACUAUUCCUGAGAAAGGCACACGUUUCACCGAGAAACUUCUGGCCAUUCUGAAAUAUGACAAGUGGUAAAGAUUUUUAUGUCUUUUUGCUAAAAAUUCUAAAGGUCUACAGUUGGGAAUCUUUUCUUUUUCAAAAAGUCCCGACACCUUUUCUAAUAAUACAACAAUAAUGAAAAUUUAUUCAAAAAGUCUACAGUAUAAUGAUAAAAAGUCUUCUAUUUUUUCUUCUUUUCUUCUUUCAGACUUGUCUUGUUAUGCAUUAUUGAGGGUCUUUAUCACGUAUCAAGAUUGUGGCGUGCCACUGAUGAAAAUGACAUCCCACUGUCUGAAUUAUUGUAUUCUUCGUUCUGUGGUUCUUCGUCUUCAUCUGAAAGUCUGGAAUUACUGGCUUCAUCUUUCUCUUUUUGAUUUGGACAUUCUGAAAUUUCUUUUUCUUCUCCAUGAUUCUUUUUUAGAAUUAUCUCAAAUGCUUGAUUUACUGCUUCUCUAAUUUGUUCUUUCAAUCCUUCAUCAUUUUUUUCUUAAUCUUUUUCUUUUUUCUGGAAGAAGUUCCUUCUUCUUUUUUGGAUUGCUUCUGAAAUUCUUCAAUUUUUUCAAAAAUCUUUUCUAAAGAAACAGUAUCUGGAUUAGGGUUUUGUGAUUCUUGAAAUAAACAUUCUUGACUGUCUUGGGCUAUCAUUUUUUCUUUUCCCUUACUGGACUGAAUUUCUUGGGCUUGUAAAAAAUCUAGGUUAUUUGAAAAAUGUUUUGGCGAAAAAUGUUCUGAUGGACUAUAUUUUACUAAGUAAUCAAAUUUUUCACUGGGCUGUCCUAAAAGAUCCCAAAUUUCUUUACUUUUUUCUGUAGCAGAUUUAUCAGUCUGCUGAGUCUGAUUGUCUAAUUUAGUAGAGGAAUCAACAGUCCCCUGAGUCUGUUGGGCUUUUGGUAAGUCCACAACCUUCAACGGAUUUGAUAAGUCUUUACCAGCUACCGUUUGGACUGGACUAGCUAUGGAUUUCUUAGGCUCCAUAGUACCUGUUGGAUAAUGGACUUUUAGAUCCAAAAUCUCUUUUUCUAAUUGGGCCACUUUUUUUUGGAGUUGGGUUCUUUCUAGUGAAAGGUUCUGAUUGGCUUCAUUGAUAACUUUGUAAUUUCUUUGCAUACACUCACAGUGUUGGCAAAAAAUAUUCUGGUCUUUACUUGGAGAGAAGUCUAAUGGGGGAUCAGAGUAAUUUGGACUGGACUAGCUAUGGAUUUCUUAGGCUCCAUAGUACCUGUUGGAUAAUGGACUUUUAGAUCCAAAAUCUCUUUUUCUAAUUGGGUCACUUUUUUUUGGAGUUGGGUUCUUUCUAGUGAAAGGUUCUGAUUGGCUUCAUUGAUAACUUUGUAAUUUCUUUGCAUACACUCGCCAAUACAUUCAUGCAUGCAAGAAAAUAUUUUUGAUCUUUUGGAUUCUUAUUAUAUGAAAUCCAUAAAUUAUUUAAAAUACAUUUUUCUUCUCUAGAUAAAGAAAUAUGCGGUAAAAUUUUAAAAGAAAUAUUACUAUUGGGAAAAACUAUAAGUUCUUGGUUUCCAAACCUUAGUCUGUCUUGUAACAUUGGUCUGUUCUGAUUAAAUGGAGUCUAUGGUAAUGAACUUGAUGCAAAUGAAUUCCCAGGUGGAAUUCCUGGUCUUAUAGGCCUUGGUCUUGUCAUCUGUAUAAGAAAAUUAUGUUAAACAAAUUUAAUAAUUUCUAUCUAUUAUUAUUCUACUUAGUAUACCUGCCGCUUUAUUAUCACUACCUUUAAUAUGCUCAAAUUCUAUAUUAAUUCCUAUAUUUGUAAUUCUAUCUAUAAAGUUUAACCAUCUUCUUCUACUACUUCUUUUUGUUUCUAUUUUCAUUUUAUUAACAAAAGAAACUAUGGCUACACAGUCUGUUCUUAUAGUUAUUUCUUUCUUAGAUAUAAUAAAUAGUUCAAAACUAUCUAAUGCAUAAUUUAUAGCUAAUAAUUCUGCAUCUAUACUACUUAAAUUUCCUUUUUCUUUAUAAUUUCCACCAUUAUACCUACAAAUUCUUUCUGUAGUUUUAUCAGGAUAUUUAUUGGGUUUACAUAUUAAUAUAGCUCCCCAUCCUGUCAUACUUCCAUCUAUUUCUAUAAUUAAAUAUUAUGAAUCUAAAGGCAUAGCCAAUUCUGGUAAAGUUUUUAUUUUUUCUUUUAUUUGUUGUACUAAUUUUAUAUCUUCAUGGUUAAAAAAUUUUUGUCCUGUAAGAGAUGUCUUUGCAUAUAAAGGUUCUGCUAUCUUUCCCAAAUCUUUUAUAAAUGGUCUAACAUAAUUUACUAAUUCUAAAAAUUUUUGGAUUUGUUUUAAAUCUUCUAAUUUGUCUGGAAAUUCUAAAGCUUUCUUAGCAAUAUGGGGUUGUAACUUAAUUUUACCUUCUCCUAUAUUAACUGCUAAGAAGUCUAUGAAUUCUUUAAAUAGAAUCAUUUUCUUUUUACUAAUUAUUAAAUCAUGUUUAAUAAAUUCUGAAAAGACUAUUUGUAGAUGACCUCUAUGUUCUUGUUUAUUUUUCCUAAAUACUAAAAUGUCAUCUAUGUAUACUGUUACAAACUUACUAUAUUUAUUAAAAAUACUUUCCAUUUUCUUUGGAAAAUACUUGGUGCAUUCUUAAUUCCAAAUGGCAUUACAAGCCAUUCAAAAUAUCAUUCUGGACAAGUAAAAGAUGUCCACUUAAUACUUUCUGAAUGCAUUUUUACUUGACAAAAUCCUGACUUUAAAUGAAAUUCACUAAAAAUUUUACAUUCUUGGAUUUUAUUUAUUAAAUCUGUCUUAUCUGAUUUGUUAUAAGCAUCAUCUAUAGUAUUAUCAUUAAGUCUUUUAUAAUUAAUAAUCAUUUUACUUUUUCCUCUAACAAUUUUUGAAUGUUUUCUAACUAUAAAGACUGGUGAUCUAUGAUGACUUUCUGAUUUUCUAAUUACUCUUAAUUCUAAGAGUUCUUUUAUAUGUAUUUUAAAAUCUUCUAAAUCUAAAUUUGUAGCUUCUAUAUUCUUGGUUUUAAUUAUGUAUUCUGGAUUCUUAAUUUUUAAUUCAUAUAGGAUUUUGUCUUUCUCCCAGCAUUUUAAAACAUUUUCUCCUAUUAUUUCUAUCUUUUCUAAUCUAGAUAUUAGAUUUUCUAUUUCUUGUUCAGUUAUUAACAUAUCAUAGAUCUUUUCAUUGUCAAUUAAUUCUAUAUUUCCAAAAUCUAUUUUUUCUAAAAUAUCUUCUUCUAGAAUUUCAAAAUUUAUUUCCUCUAAAUUGUCUUCUUGUAUUAAUUGACAUUCUCUUUCUUUUUCACACUUACAACUAUUACUACUACUACUACUACUACCACCACGCUUCUCUACGCACUCUGAUGGGAAAAUAGCUAGUCUGUGUUGGUGUGAAUAAUGUAUGUUUUUGUAAAUGGAAAAAGUCUUUAGUAAUUGUAACACUUCCAUUAUCUUUUAAUAAAAAACUUAAUCCUAUAAUAAAAUCUGUAUCUUUAAUAUUUAAAGGUCUAACCCAAACUGAUUCUUUUGGUAAGGUAUAUUCUAUACUUCUGCCACAACUAAUUUUACUAUUUGAUUGUAAUAGUUCUGUGUAAGUAUAGAGUUCUCCAUCCAUCUGUUGUGCUUCUAUUGGUUUAUCUGAAUAUGUUAUGUAUUGCUUUGGCAUUAAUUUUUUAUUAAUUAUGCAAUUACUACAGCCUGAAUCUAUUAAUCCUAAACAUUUUAUUUCAUAUUGUCCUACUCUUAUGUAACAUUUUACCUUAAUACUUUUAAGUUUUUCUGGAUUACAUAUCACCUGAACAUAUUCUUUUUCUUUAUAUUCUGUAUUUUGACUUUGUUCUUCUAUUUCUAUUAUUUUUCCUUUAUUAUUAUAUUCUAACAUUUCUAUUUUGUUUAUUAUAAAUUUUUGCAUUUCUUCUAGGCUUUCAAUUCUUUUUCUAAGAAUUUUUAUUUCUGAUAUUUCAAUUUUUUCUUUUAAAAUUUCUGAAUUGACUUCUUCUUUUUCAAUAAGAUUCUUUUCUUCUAAACAUUUUAUACACGCUUCUUUAUAACAUUCUAAACAUUUGGCUCUAAGUUUUCUUAGUGGAUACCAAUUACAUAAAUAACAAGCUAUAUUAUCUGCUCCUUUGUAUUUUUGUCAAUUAUGUAUACAUUCUUUUAUACUAUUCAUUAAAUUUAGUUCUUCUUCUGAUUUUGAUUCUUCUUGUAUGAUUCUGAUUCUUCUUGUAAUCUUAUGUUAGAGAAAUCAUCUAUUAUUUUAUAAUCAGAUUCUUUAUUUUCUUCUAAAUUUUUGUCUUUUAUUGAUAUAAUACUAUAAAUAGAUUCUUUAUCUGAGAUAUAUUCAUCUAAUUGUAUUAAAUCUUCAUUAGUACAUUCUAUUAAUGUGCUCUUCUUAUCAUAAUUAUUUAUUCUUUUUGGACAAGUCUUAGAUAAAUGUUCAUUACUAUUACAAACAUAACAGCUAAGUCUAUUUUUAUAAGUUCUUUCUGGUUUAAAUUUCCUCACAUGUCUUUUUUCAUUUAAGUAUGGUUUUCUUUUAUUAGAUUUUCUAAGAAAGUAUCUUUUCUUAAAAGAUCUUUUAUUUUUUCUUUCCUUGUUACUAUACUAAUUUUUUCUUGAACUAGAGGCUCCAUAAGUUUGUGGGGUAAAAAUAUCUUUCAGAAUUUAUAGUCUGUCUUUUUAAGUUGUUUUUGAAUUUGUAACUCUACACAUUUAUCUUCUAAACAUCUUAUUACAUGUUGUAUUAUUUGUCCUAUACUCCAUUGUUUUUCUGGUUCUUCUUUUAUAGCUAGUAAAUUAUUCCAUUUAUCUGUGAUUUCUAAUCCUAAUGGUCCUGGUAAUUUAUGAAAUAAUUUAUUACCAAUUUCUUGAUUAAAUGUAUUUCCUGAUAUUGAAGUUAAAUAAUGAUAUUCAUUUAAAAAAUUCUUAACAUAUCUUCCUUUAGUCCAUUUAUAAAGGCUAAGUUGAUCUAAAUCUCUCAUAGAUUUUCUUUGUAUACUCAUAUGUCCUGAAUUUGGAUCUGCUCCUGUUAUUAAUAUCUGUAUUUUAUUAACAAAAUUAUAAGGAUUACUACCCAUAUUAAUUAAUUGUUCAAAUUCUUCUUUCUUUUCUAAUUUAAAUGCUUCCCACAUAACUUUUACACUUUCUUCUAAAAAUAUUUCCAAGUAUCUAUACAUAUCUAAAGCUUCCAUUUCUUGAAAAUUUCUAAUAUAAUGUCCUAUUAUAGUAUUCUUCCAGACAUCUAUUACAUUAUUCCAUGUCUGUUGAUCAUGUGCUGUAAUAUUUAAGAUUUGUGCUUUAUAAUCUGAUUGAAACUCUAUUUUUUUUUCUAAGGGUCUUUCACUUCCCCUUACUAUAUAUUUUCCUUCUGUAUUAUUAUAUAAAGGAUAAACUCCUCUUGAGGGAAAUCUUCCACCAUAAACCAUUGCUUCAUGUUUAAUUGUUCUAUCAAAAGGAGUAUCACUAAAGGUUCUAUAUGUAUUUGAAUCUUCCAUAAGUUCUUUUGUAUAACUUAAAUCUGAAUUUUCUGAAUCAUUAUCUUGUUUAAUAAUUCCUAUUCUUAUAUUCUAUUCUUGGUCAUAAUAUAAUUAUUCAGAUUCUGUAAUUGUCUUAUUAAGAUACAUUUGAUCUUCUAAUUCUAAUAAUUCUUUAUUAUCUAAAUUUAUUCCUAAUUCCUUUGGAUAAAUUAUUCUAUCAAACUCUUCAUCCAUUAAUUCUAUAUGAACUUGAUUUUGAAAUGGUUCAUUUUGUUCUUCUUCAAAAUCAUUCUGUCUUUAUACCUGAUUAUAAUCUAAAAAUCUUAAACUAGUUCUUCCAUGAAUAUCCUUAUAAGUUAAUGCUUCUUGUGGUGCUAUAAUUGUUUCUUGAUUUUCUAGAAAUUUAUCCAUAUCCCAUUUUAAUCCUGCUAAUUGUUCUGAUGAAUAUUCUUUUGGUUUAACCAUAUUAAUUCCUUUACUACUCAUUAAAUUUACUACUUUAUCUAUAUAGAUUUUAUAUUUUGUCUGGGAAUUAUUUGACCAUCUUCCUAAGAAUCCUAUACUAAUUAAUAAAUUGUCUCCACUUUCUACCUCUUCAUAUCCUUUUGUUUGAAUUCCUAUUUUAAUUUUAUCUGAAAAGCCUUUAAUAGUUAAUAAAAAAUCUGGAUUACAAUAAAUUAUACCAUUAUUAUUAUUCAUAUCAACUUCUGUACUAGCAAUCAUACGUUUAUCUAUAUUAUUAAUUUUUUCAUCAUAUAUGGUAACUAAAACCUUACAUCCUAAAUUUUUUCUCAUUAAUCCUUUUAUUCCUAUAGCUAUUAAUCCUAAAUGCAUGAAUCUAAAAUUUUUCUUUUUUAAUUCUCUCUUAGAGUCUUCUGAUAUUAAAUUCAAUUUUCUUACUUGAUUUCCUAUACACUGAACAGAUACUUCUCUACUAUGUCUGAAAAAUUGUGUUCUGGUUUCAAAAAUUCCUCUAUUAUAUAAUAUUUCUGGGUUAAGAAUUCUUAAUCCAUUAGUUUGGAAUCUUAAGUAAUCUUGUUGAGGAUCUAUAAUUUCUUCUAUAUUUUGAUUAUAUUGUACUGGUCUAUUUAAAACUUUUUCUAUUAUAUUUCUACUUAUACUUGAAGUACUAUUUCUAGAUGUAGAUGCUUCUUCAUUUAUUGUUCUAGAUCUUCCUAAGAAAGGAUUGGUAUUCAUUUUGGAAAUUUAUAUUCUUUAGGUAAUUUUCUGGUUACCUUUUCUUUUCCUAUUUCUCUAAAACUUAGGUUUUCUAAUUUAUUUGUUAAAGCUUUUAAAUCUUUUUCUACACUUGAUGUAGAUCCUAUUUCUAUUUCUUUAGAUUUAUUAGAAUCUAAAAUUCUUUUUAUUUAUGUUAAAUCUACCUUAGAUGGUAUUUUUUCUAAUUUAACAAGUUUUUCUAGAAUACUUGAAUUUUGAUUUUUAAUAUAAUCUAAAUAUUCUUUUAUAUUUUUAAUCUCCUGCUCUUUGACUAUAAUAUUUUCUUUUAUAAUUUCUAAAUAAUUAUUUUGCUUUUUAUUUUCUAAUUCUAAAUUUUUUGAUAAAUUUAUGAUUAAAUCUACUAAACAAUUCUGACUUGGAUCUUCUGAAAAUAAACUAUGUAAUUUAUGCUUAUUGUCUAAAUUACACUUAAUUAUAUUAUUAUCAACAGUUUGUACUUUUUUACUAAUAUUUAUUAAGUCUAAGUCUAAGUAUUCAAACUUUCUAUUUGUAUCCAGAGUUCUAAACCGUAAGAGAUUCUGUUUACUAUAAAAAUAUGUUUAUAUUCUUCUACUAAAAUUUUCUUUAUAAUAUUUUCUCUUAAGUCAAUAGGUAAAUCUUUAGUAAUUCUUAAAAUUUCUAAACUUUCAAUUAAAUCUUUACUAUAUGUUCCUACUAUAUUAUCUUCUUCAAAAUAACCACACAUAUCUAUACUAUAUUUUACUUGGUAAGAUAACNNNNNNNNNNNNNNAUAUAUAUAUAUAUAUUUAUAUGUGUUUGUUAUUAUAGAAACAGAAAUCCUGAUAUCUGUUUUGGUCAUAAUACUCUAUCUUGAUAUUCGAUUAAGGCGAUUCAAAGUGCAUUAGAAAGAUAACUCAAAAAAAUAUAAUUUUGAUAGUUGUAUAAUUUUUCCAAUUUGAACGUAUGUUAUGCCAAAAAUGGGUCUCAAUUUUAGACUAAAAAUGUAGCAUAUAUCAUGUGGCCUUGCUAAUGCUCAAGGUGAACUUUUAGGGUAGUCUUAGUCAAUACUCCAGUUUCCAUAAAAACACGUGUUUUAAUUAUAGUUUCUUGAUAUAGGAGUUACUAUGGAAUUUUGAUAUUUUCUCUGGGGCAUGGAUAUUGGUUUCAUUAAAUGAAUCAACCACUUGUCAUUCCAGUACAUGCUUCUUCUGCAUGAGAACUGCUUUAUUGCACCCGCCAAUGCCUAAUGCUCACUUAAAAUUUGAUAAAUGCAGGAAUCUCAAAAAAGUUGUAGGAAAAACAUUGGAGUGCUCUCCAUUAUGCUGCACUACAUGGUUUCCCUGAAUGAAACCACUUAACUUUCAGUUUAUAUCUUAUACAAUGGGUAAAAAACAAUUUGAAUGUGCUAAAGGAACGUGUUACUAUCCUCUUAUCGUAAUAAUGUGCCAAGUCGAACUCGUGAGUUUUCUAAAAUAAAUGUUGCUCAAAAUGAAUCUUCAAAUGGCAAAUACCUUCUUUUCGUAUUAUAUGCACCAAACAUGUCUUGAUGGAAAAUGACGAUACCAACUCCUUUGUUUGACACGAUGCAGGAUGCCAUAAUUGAGGAAUUAAAAGAAAAAGGUGUGAUUUAUCAAAUAGCAAAUGUAGAAGAAGAUAGAUUAUCUUGAAAAGAAGGUGGCUAUUAGAAAAGUAGCCGACACUCAUAUAAUAGUGGCUACUCUCAUAAUAACAGUUGAAUUUGUUGCUGGAUUCACAAUUCCGAGUGGGUAUGACGGAAAUGAUGGCCAGAAAGAAGGCCUUGCAGUUUUAUAAAGAAAAACAGUUUCAAAAGCAAUCAUUAUAGCAGAUGCAUUAGCUAUGGUUUGCUCUGCUUUUGCUGUUCGUCUCUACUUCAAAGGAGCCACUUUAGGUGAUGCGUCGAAGCUUAGGCACAUGUAUAUGGCUGCUGCAAUGCUUGUUAGUUUGCCAUGGAGAUGAUGGUAAUUGCUUUCAUGACCGGGUUGUACGCGGUGUUAGAACAUUCACCAAAACUUGCAAUCAUAGAAUGUGCCAUUUGCAGCCUCAGCUAUCCUAUUUUAUAUUCUCCCGGAUGAGUAGGUCAUCUGCCCAGUAUCUUGAAAUACUAAAGGAUCCUGACCUGGAAAAAAUUCGUAAUAUUUAUAGAAAAGUGUUAUGUCCUUUGUCUAAUUGAUUUAGAUUGUAAACGCCUUUAAUAUGAUUAAACUCUUUUAUUUAGGGCAAGAUCUAUUAUUUAUUUGAAUUACUAUUCUAAUAAAUAGAGUUCACUAGAACUUGCGAUCAUAGAAUGUGCAUUGGCAGCUUCUGCUUUCCUAUUUUCUACUACUCAGUGAAAAGGACAUUUAGUAGGAGUUUGUAAAAGAUUUGUAAGUUUAUGCAAGUAUUAUGUUUUAUGCUUUCUCCAUUGGACAUUCUUUAUAUCUUCAUAUUAUGCCAUAUUUAAUUGCCAAAAGUACCCUAAUCUGAUAAAAGUUCUUAAUUUUCCAUUAGAAUCUGUAGGAUGAUGUACUAAACCUACUAGUUGCAUUUGUUAAAUUGCUGAUUGUCAAUGUUAACUUCCAAUGAAAUGAUAAUUUCCCGCAGAAUCUUUUGGGAUAUUCACUCUGUUGUGAAUACAAAUUCUUCGUAAAGAAAAGAAGAAAAAGAUAGAAAUGAGUAGAGAAAAUUAUUAGGUCCUCUCAAGAAAACUAUAAACCUCCCAAAUUACUGGUUUUCGAAGAACCGGUCCCCCUCCCAAUGACAACAUAAAGUUGUAAAUAAUCAUCUAGGUACUACUCAUUGACUGCUUGUACUAAUGCAAGAUAAGACAUACAUGUUCACCUAAAAUUAAGGAACACUACUUGGUUAGAUGUUAGGAUGCUGACAUGAAGCAUGACUCCAGUGCAUGAAAUUUAGCUCUUGUUUGAUCAUCAUUCUUCAAAACUUGUCUUUUAAGGCAUUGAUGUACAGGUGCACAAGCUUCAAAUUGUCAACUAACCAAUUAGGCAUAUAGAUACGGCAUUCAACGCAACUAAAGCUAAUGUAUCUAUUGUUGUGAAAACUUCAAAAAGCAUCUUUUCCCGAUAAAAUUGGCAUGCCUCGGUUUUGGCCCUCUUGUCUGCUGUAUGACUUGGAAUGUUGAAAUCACCGGCCAACACAACCGUAGUAAUGAGAGCAGCCACUAUCAACUGUUUUAAGCUAUUGACGCCGGGCAGGAUAGUGAUUAUCCUAUUGGCUUGUUGUAGUAGAUGAUUCGCAAGAAAAGAACGACAGAAAACACCCAAAAAAACCUAGAGAAAAUACUCUGAAUUUAACUCAAUAUUAUUAAUAAUGCAGAAUGACCAAAACUAACCCACAAGCUGGGUUAAAUAGCUGCGAAAUACGAAAUUAUGGGAAAAUUACCAAAAAUGGCAAAAUCCCAAAAUUAUACCAAAAUAAAAUAUUAAGUAAAAGAAAUAAGUUGCCAAAAAUUUGGCUCAAUUCGAGUUUUCUAACAUAUGGAAAAAAGGAAACGAAAUAUUACCAUAAAUAGUAAAAAAUAACUUAAAAUUGAAUUUUGGAAAGGAAAACAGUGGAUUUUGGGCUCGAAAUUGAUGUCCACCUAGCAUAGCUGGUGGCCACGACGUGCAUGCCGAAGAGAGCUUUCCGAAUUGGGGUCAUAAUAGCGAUUCCGAUAAUCGUAGCCAAAGUUAUGGCCAAAUUACCAAAGACGCGUCAAAUUCCCCCAAUUAAGGAAAUAAUGGUGAUUCACUUUCCAUCUUUGCGCCGAUCCGCCAUCUCAUGGUAUUUCAGCGCCAUCAUCAUGCUAUCUGACAAAUCAGCAUCACUCAACUCGGAUCCUCCUACAUCAAUCGCCCCGGGUUUGAAAGAACUUGCCCUUGAGUUCACAGUAACUUAAUCGGACUCCAUAAAACAAGGACUUAGGUGUUUUACAUUGAAGACGUCAGAGGUCUUCAAAUGGCUCGGGAGGCGCAAUCUGUAAGUAUUAUCAUUGAUCUUCUGCAGCACUUCACAAGGUCCAAUCUUCCGCUCCUUUAGCUUAUUGUAUUCCCCAGCUGGAAAACGAUCACGAGUUAAUACUGCCCAAACAAAAUCACCAACAUCAAACAACACCUGGCAUCGAUGACUAUCUGCCCGAACUUUGUACUUAGUAUUACUAUCCUGUAUGGACAGCUUCACCUGCUCAUAGAUACCUUGAAGAUGUUCAGCCAUCUCAUCAGCUUUGUUAUUGAAGCGACCCACACGUGGAAUUGGAGCCAAAUCAAGUACUCCGAAUGGGUUCUGACCAUAGACAAUUUCAAAAGGACUCAGUCCGGUGGUUCUAUUCCUCGACCAGCUAUAAGCAAACUCUGCUUGAGGUAAUGCCAAAUCCCACUGCUUCGGUUUAGUCCCAGCUAAGUUUCUCAAAAGAUUUCCCAAACUCCGAUUCACCACCUUAGUCUGACCAUCUGUUUGGGGAUGGUAUGCGCUGCAAAAAUUCAAUUUCGUUCCAAGUUUCUCCCACAAACUCCUCCAGAAAUGACUCAUAAACUUAGUGUCACGAUCAGAAGUAAUUGACUGUGGAACACCAUGUAAACGCACAAUCUCUCUAAAAUAAAGAUGAGCAAUCCGAGUAGCAUCCAUUGUCUUCUGGCAAGCCACAAAAUGAGCCAUCUUUGAAAAUCUGUCAACCACAACAAGAAUGGAAUCCAUCGCCCGCUGUGUACGAGGUAAGCCCAAGACAAAAUCCAUACUGACAUCAAACCAAGGAGCUUCAGGUACGGGUAAUGGUGUGUACAAUCCAGCAUUAGUAAGAGCCCCUUUAGACCGCUGAUAUACAUAACACCGCUCCACAUAAUGCGCCACAUCACUGCUCAACUUGGGCCAGUAAUAAUCAGAAGAGACCAAUGCCAAUGUCUUGUCUCGCCCAAAAUGUCCUUCGUUAUGAAGUUCACUAAUAAUUUGCUGCCUUAGUGAACAAUCCGAAAUGCAUAGCUGCAAUCCACGAAACAGGUAACCAUUAUGUAAAACAAAAUCAUGUCGGUGGUUAUCAGUUACCUCCCGAAUUAUCUUCCCAAAUGAAGGAUCCGCAUCAUACAUAUUAGGAAAUGCCUCAAAUCCGACAAUCUUGGUGCUCAUGGUGGUGAGGAGUAAUGUGCGACGGCUCAAUGCAUCUGCUACUCGAUUCAAACUCCCUGCUUGAUGCCUGAGUGUGAAAGUAAACUCCUGCAAGUACGCCACCCACUUUGUAUGUCGCCUACUCAGCUUGUGCUAACCAUUGAUGUACUUCAAAGCCUCAUGAUCAGUAACAAGGAUGAACUCCCUCUGUACUAGGUAAUGGCGCCAAUGCUUCAGAGUCUGAACUAUGGCAUAGAACUCCAGGUCAUAAGUGGAAUAAUUUUUCUUCGAUCCUGAUAGCUUCUCACUAAAAAAGGCUACUGGACGUCCCUCCUGACUCAGAACACCACCAAUACCAACUCCAGACGCAUCACAGUUUACCUCGAACACCUUUUCAAAAUUCAGAAGUGCUAAGACUGGGGCCUCCGUCAUCUUCUGCUUAACCAACUGAAAGCUAGCCCCUGCCUCCUCAGUCCACUGAAAAUCAUGCCCUUUAAGGCACUUUGUGAUAGGAGCAAUCAAGGUACUGAAGUUUCUGAUGAAUCGACGAUAGAAGGAUGCCAAUCCAUGGAAACUCCUGACAUCGUGCAAAGUUUUUGAUUUCGGCCAAUUCAAAACUGCCUCAAUUUUGGAUUGAUCUACAUGAACACCAUCAGUAGACACAACAAAACCCAAAAAGGUUAUAGAAAUUGUGAAGAAAGAACACUUAUUCUGAUUGAUGAAUAAGCGCUCCAUCCUCAUUACAUCAAAGACAGCACGAAGAUGAUUAAAAUGCGACUCCCAUGUCAGACUAUAAAUAAGUAUGUCAUCAAAAUAAACUACCACAAACUUCCCCAUGAAAGGCUGUAAAACCUGAUGCAUAAACCUCAUAAAAGUGCUGGGUGCGUUGAAUAGUCCAAAGGGCACGACCAUCCACUUGUACAACCCAUGCUGUGUCUUGAACGCGGUCUUCCACUCAUCUCCAGGCCUGAUUCUGAUCUGGUGGUAUCCACUUUUAAGGUCAACUUUUGAGAAGACCUUAGAAUCGGACAAUUGAUCCAACAUGUCAUCCAGACGGGGAAUUGGAAACCUGUACUUCACUGUAAUCCUAUUAAUUGCCCUGCUGUCAACACACAUACGCCAUGACCCAUCUUUCUUCGGCACUAGGAGAGCAGGAACUGUACAAGGACUCAUACUCUCACGAAUGUAGCCCCUUUCCAAUAAUUCUACCACCUGUCGCUGCAACUCUUUAGCUUCCUUGGGACUGAGGCGAUAUGCUGGUCGGUUUGGUAGACUCGACCCCGGAAUGAGGUCGAUCUGAUGUUGAAUGUCCCUCAUAGAUAGUAGUCCUGGAGGAAGAUGGCAUCAAGUCAGAAAACUCCAUCAGUAGUUGUUGUACUUCUGCUAGAAAUUCUGAAUCCACAUUUGCUGUACUAUUUUCAUGAGGCAUUAAAGCAUAAACUAUUUUUUCAUGCCCAACCUCAACCAAGAACCUGGACAUAGAAAGUAGAUUGGGAUUUUUAACUACCGGGGCAGGGAUGUUUCCUUCCCUGCGAGGCACCAAAACAAUUCUCUUCCCUUUGAUGCUAAGAGAAUAAGUAUCCUUCCGCCCAUCAUGGAUAACACUGCGAUCAUACUGCCAAGGUCGUCCCAACAAAACAUGACACGCGUCCAUUGAUACCACAUCACACCAAGCAUUAUCAAAAUAUUUUUUUCCAAUCGAGAAAGACACUAAGCAUCAUUUUUCUACCGUUACUUCACUGUCUUUAUUCAGCCAAGGCAACUUGUAUGGUUUGGGAUGACGAUCCAUCUUCAGUUGCAGUUUCUCGAUAGCCUCCUCAGACACUGCAUUCUCACAACUGCCACUAUCAAUUAUCAACUUACGGACUUUAUCAGCAACUGUGCAGGUUGUGUGGAAAACGUUGGUCCUCAACCAAUCAUCCCCUGAGUCGCCCUUAGGAGUCAGCAGGCUCUUUCGAACGACCAGGGUCUCCUGACCAUCUCCAUAUAGCACAUCCUCAUCUUCACCCUCAUCAUACACGGGUUCCCCAACUUCCUCGAACUCCUCUAUCAUAUCCUCCUCAAUCAGAAGAUUUUUAUUCUUCUGACCAGCAAGCUUCCUGCAAUCAGUCGCCCUAUGCCCCUGUUCACCACACCUAAAGCACUUAAUACUUGAGCUGGAACUAUCCCGUUGUGGCUGACAAGCAGGACGAGAUUCUUGAGGGCGAACUGGCUGACUUCCUUCACCUCUGACCACUGGCCUCCUACUUUGCUGUUUCUCUACUGCAAAUACUCGCUGAUAUGCCUCAGAAACUGUCCACAAUGAAUGAAGGCUGAGAACAUCCUGUAGGGGCUGCUUUAAUCCCCCCAAAUACCGUGCUACCAUCUGCUCCUCCGUCUCAGAUAAAUCAUUCUGAGCCACCAACUGAUAGAAUUCUUCAGUAUAAUCAUUGACUGAUCUUGCACCUUGCCUUAGUGAAUGAAGCCUCUGAAACAAUGUUUGAGUAUAGCCGAAAGGGAGGAAGUGCCCUUUCAUCUUCUUCUUUAUCUUCUCCCAGUUAGUAAUUUUGGAUUUUCCCUGUUGCUCCCGUGAACGCUUCAACUGUUCCCACUAUGCAGAUGCCCUACCUUUGAGUUUGAUGGUAACCAGUUUCACUUUGACACGAUCUGGAACCUCCUUAUAUUCAAAAAUCCGCUCCACUUCAUUCAGCUAAUCAAUAAAUCCUUCAGCCUGCAACGUACCAGAAAACUCGGGUAGAUCCACUCUGAAAUCGAGAUCCACAUGACGAUCCUCCCAUCCACGAUGCUCCAAAACUCAAGCACGAUGGUGAUACGGGUUUUCAAAACUGGUAUCGGAAUCGUGACCUUCUACAUCACGAUUACCGAACUCCUGCUCCGCCAAACGUUGGGUUAACUUCGCAACUUGUCUCUGCAAAUCUUCAAUCGUCACAUCCUGAAUAUUACGAUCACAGUGCGGGACUUACUCAAUCGGAACCUGUCCUCGACGACCACGACCACGUCCACCAACCAUUAUAACUGAUGGAAUUUAUCUCCCAAGAAGAUGCUGACGCUCUGAUACCAACUGACGCCGGGUAGGAUAGUGAUUAUCCUAUUGGCUUGUUGUAGCAGAUGAUUCGCAAGAAAAGAACGACAGAAAAUGCCCAAAAAAACCAGAGAAAAUACUCUGAAUUCAACUCAAUAUUAUUAAUAAUGUAGAAUGACCAAAACUAACCCACAAGCCGGGUUAAAUAGCUGCGAAAUACGAAAUUAUGAGAAAAUUACCAAAAAUGGCAAAAUCCCAAAAUUAUACCAAAAUAAAAUAUUAAGUAAAAGAAGUAAGUUGCCAAAAAUUUGGCUCAAUUCGAGUUUUCUAACAUAUGGAAAAAAGGAAACGAAAUAUUACCAUAAAUAGUAAAAAAUAACUUAAAAUUGAAUUUUAGAAAGGAAAACAGUGGACUUUGGGCUCGAAAUUGACGUCCACCUAGAUAGCUAGGUGGCCACACCGUGCGCGCCGAAGAGAGCUUUCCGAAUGGGGUCAUAAUAGCGAUUUCGAUAACCGUAGCCAAAGUUAUGACCAAAUUACCAAAGACGCGUCAAAUUCCCCCAAUUAAGGAAAUAAUGGUGAUUCACUUUCAUCUUUGUGCCGAUCCGCCAUCUCAUGGUAUUUCAGCGCCAUCAUCGUGCUAUCUGACAAAUCAGCAUCACUCAACUCGGAUUCUCCUGCAUCAGCUAUUUUCUGAUGUCUAUUGAAAUGGUCCUUCUAUCUCCAGCAGUUCAUCUGUGAGCUUGUUCUAUUAUCAUGGUGAUUGGGAUCGAAAAUCCCUUCACAACACUUGUCUUGAAUUUCUUCUGUAAAGCUGUCUGUAUGAUUUCAAUUGCAUUGGAUAUUAGAGUGACAGAGUGAAGCCCGAUCAAAGAGCCAUUGGAAACUGAGUAGGACCUUACCUGCCUCCGUGUGUAGACUUCAGAGUCCGCUAGCUUAUCAAAAGGAAUCUUGCCUUUCUUGUUCUGGGCGCUCAUAAAUGUUUGAUACUGAUUCAAAAGAUUACAACCUUUCGAAGUUUUGGAUAACAGGUGUGUUUUUCUCUGCAUCCUUUCGGUUUAUGAGGUUAUGAGCUACAAGAUUUGCUCAAAGAUAAACUUGAAGGUCAUCUUCCUCGAAUUCCAUGGAAAGGUGUAGAACAUCGUUGCCUUACUGGCGAACAAUUCCAACAAUCAAGACAUUGUUUUGAAAUCUCUUCCACUAUCUUUACAUUCUGGACUUUUGCACUGCCAUGCUAUAUAAAUUUCUAUAGCCGACCUUCAGCACAUUUUAGCUUCAUUUUCAAGGACUAGAGCACAUCAACUUAUCAUACCGUGUACCAGGAACUGGAAGAAGUGAAGGUCUACCUUGAACACACUCGUGCAUCUUUGAGUCAACAUGGUGGUCGUGACUGCAGCGAUCUUCAAACUAGAAGAAGUUCCAAUUCUCGGGCUGGAUGUCUCACUCCUACGGGUAGAUACAAUGCUCAUAACAACCAACGAAAUAACGACAAUAAUGAUUGAUGGAACAACAAGAUAAAUCAGUCAAAAAAGAAGAAUUCUCAUGGAUAGUUUCAUUAAUGGUAAAAUAUAUUGUCAAAUUUGUGGAAAGAUUAACCAUAUUUCUAUAGAUUGUUGGUACGAGUCCAAUUAUUUGUGUCGAUCUGAGGAUAUUCCUUAACAAUUCCCUUGUCCUUUGUCCUCAAUGAUUCUAAUGGUCAAUCAUUUUAUAUUGAUUCUGGAGGCGACGCACACAUGACAAACAAUGCAGACAUACAUCUUAUAUACGGCCUUAUCGUGGAAAAUAUGUGAUUUAUUUUGAAACCAAAAAACCCUGCCUAUGUCUCACAUUGGUAAUGCUACUAUUGAAAAAAUAUUUAAAAGAUGUUCUCGAUGUGCCUAAUUUGACAAAAAAUUACAGAACCUGUAACUGAAUGUUUAGUUCUUGGUCGAAGAAGAAUGUAAGUGAAGUGCUGAAUUUGAGAAUUCAGCAAAUGAGAAUUGAUUAUUUGAAGCAGCAUGAAGUUCUAUAGCCAACAUUUUACAUUACAUUACAUUGCAAACCAAAUUUCUUGCUGCUGCACUUUCCCAAUUGAAGUCUAGUGAAUCAGAAACGUGCCACCAGACGCGCAAUCAAAAUGCCAACUCCAAGUUUCUACUCCUCAAUUUCCAUUAUUCUGAUUUCUCGACCAAAAAGAUUCUACUAUUGGAAGAUUGGAAUCAAGAAAGUUUUAAAGGCUAGUGUUAUAUUGUUGAAGACGACAAUGUGCAAGAUGAAGGAGAUGAUGCGAGAAAAAUAAAAAAAUUGAAGCAAAAUAUGCAAGUGCCUUGGGCAAAAUUCAAAAGGCCAUUUCGCGAGCAAUAUUCUGUAGAAUAUCUCAAGCAACCUUGGAAAAAGAAGCUUCAAUACCCAUGUUUCCCGAAGUUUUAGAAGAAAAAUUCCCUAGAAACGACAAGGUACAAACCACCUAUCUCCAAGAAAUGAUCCGCAUUUUCAACUUUUAAGCAAGUGCAUUAGGGAGGAGUUUUGAAACCAAGCACUUAAUUCAAUCAAAAUCAGAUUUUGGCUUUGUGUUUCAAAACAAAUAUGUUAUGGAAUUAUAUUAAAGUUUAAUAUGUGUUGUGUUGUUCCAAUAAGUCCUUUAGAUAAACAAGUUGUCAAAUUUAUGGUCGUAUUUCCCCAUCGUAUCUCAAGUCUAGUAUAAAAAAGUUACUCAUUGGAUUUCUAAAUUUUCCAUUUGUGUUAGUUGCCAGUUAGGUGAAAGUUGUAAACUGCCCUUUUAAUUCUCUAAUAAAAUAUCAAAUAAUUCUUUUGGGAAAAUUCAUUGUGAUCUUUGGGAGCUAUCUCCAAUAGAAUCCAAUAGAAUCAAAUCAAUGUCAUUUCUUUGAUGAUUUCAAAAAUUUCAUUAACUUGUUGAAAAUCAUUUUGAUCAAAGAAUUAGAAAAUUUCAAUAUGUUGGGUGUGAAUUUGGAUCAAAUAUUUUCUUGGAACACAUCAAAAUAAAUAUGGAAUUGAUUUACACUUUUCAUGUCCUAAAACUCUUGAGCAAAAUGGUAUAGCAGAAAGCAAACACCGGCAUAUUGUCAAAAAUGGGAUUGACUAUGAUUUUUCAUACAGAACAUUGAAAUAGAAGUUGCUAUAGUUUCAACAACUUGAGCUACGCAUAUUGUUGAGAAUCCAGCCCAAAUAAUUGAAGACGAGGAAAUAAGAGCAAUAUGAAAAAUAUUGGAUCACACGGCAACACAAUAUUUAUGAAAAUAAAAGAAGAGAAUUUCAUACGCAAAGAAAUUAAAAUUGUGUCUACAAGAUUCGAUACUCUUAAUCUAAAUUCAAAUAAUUCUUUCAAGUUUCUAAUGUAUACAAGAGUUUUUGAAGGGCCUACACCACAUGAAGUAUAUAUUAAAGCCAAAUCUUGAAGUUGUGGAUAAAGUAGAAUACAAAAAACGUGUUAGAAACCAACUGGGAAUAAAACUCUUCCCGAUCGGUGGUGUUGGCUCUCUAAUGGCCAAAAGGCCUUGGGCAUCCCAACACCCAUGCCGAUGUUUGGCUCUUUCCCUGUUGGUGCCUAGGCGCCCCAUCUCCUUCCCAAUGCUUCCAAAACACUUUUCAUCCAUUUUAAAGUCCUUUUCCCAAUCAAACUAUCAAUCAUUGAUGAAAUUUGAUCCAAACCAACAUUAUUUAGGUUUCCUCCAUGAAUCAAAAUUUCAAAUCACAUAGAAUUUGAAUCACAAACAUAACAAAUACAAUGCCAACCAAAACCACAAUGUCUUGGCGAUUCCCUAUCAUUUUAUCAGCAUAAAAAUCAAGGUAUGGUCAUUUCUCAAGCCUUCACAACUAGUACCUAGGUUAGAUGGAAGCUAUGUAAGGCUCAAAGUCCUCUAUGACAAUCAGACGUGGGAGCUUAUCCCUUGGCCACUUGAUAACAACAUUAGCAAUUCAAAGUGGAUAUGCCGAUUUAAAUAAAAAGAGGAUAGGGUGGCUCUCUUGAAUAAUUCAAAGCCCAUUCAGUAUCAAAAGAAUUCACUCAAGUCUUUGGAAUCAAUAAUUAUGACACUUUCGUUUUAGUUAUGAAAUAAAAAAUAUUUGAUUUAGCAUUGCCUUAUCACUUUCACUUAACAUGAGUUUGCACAAGUUCGAAAUAAUAAUAAAAAAAAAACCCACCUGUAAUGGUUGAAGCUCGCCUGUUGAGCCUCGAAAUGCAAUUUGUGAACCCAACCAGAAACUCACAAAGUGUAAUGCGACAAGCAAGAGGAACAAAACAUAUAAAAGGUUUGCAUAAGAAUCGCGAACCACUUCUCCUAUCCCUAUUGGCUAUAGGCUGUCAAUAAAAAGCAUGUAAACCAACGAAUAAAGCGUGAUCGAAUUCGCUAGAAAAUACCAACAAGUAGCUUCCAUCUGUCUUUCUUUCAAAAAGACCCAACUACCCUCAGACUUGGAGGAAAAUCUAUAAGAGCAAGGCAUGCCAUUCAAAUAUCUCCAUCCCAGAAAACUAUUUUCCUUCUUGCUGCUAUUUGAGUAUUCAAACUAGUAAGUCUAGAAAGUGAGAAUCAUAGCUAUGUAAGUAGGAUUUGUUGAUCAUUUUUGUAUUGUUAGGAAAUUAGCGUCAUCUGUGGUUUUUGACUUGUUGAAAGAUCUGAGAAACAAAUGGAGGAAUUUAGUCUUUUUCUUUUUUCUUUGCUCUUUCUUAUAUUUUUUAAUCAGGAUGAAAUCUCUUUCGUUACUAAAUUUCUUCUUUCUAUGAAAGAGUCAUGGACACCAAACUAUUCUUGUAUUCGUCCCUAACGAUAAUACAUUACGGUUGUGUUCUAUUGAAUUAGAACUAAAUGUGUUAAGGGAUAGAUUGAUUGUUUUUUAGGUGAUUCAUGGUAGUUUUGACAGUUCCCUUGAGAGGGAUUUUUGUUUUACAAGUGCAGUGGCAUACUGUAGUGCUUGUUCUCUUUUCAUCAAUGAUAGCACCUUUUGGAGGCUUUUCCGCCAGUGGCUUUAAAAGAGCUUUCAAGAUCAAGGUUUGAUAGUAAAUUUUUUUUUUUAAAUUUCUAUUGGAGUUAGGGAUGUAAACGAGCCGAGCCGAGCCGGCUCGGGCUCGGGCUCGGCUCGAGUAAAUCAAAACGGGCUUUUUUUGGGCCCGAGCCGAGCCGGCUCGGCUCGGGCCCAAAAAAAGCCCGUUUUGAUUUACUCGAGCCGAGCCCGAGCCCGAGCCGGCUCGGCUCGGCUCGUUUACAUCCCUAACUCCAAUAGAAAUUUAAAAAAAAAAAAUUAACGACAUGUUUAUAACUUCAUAUAAACUUUUAACCCGAAACCUGUGUAAAUAUAGUGUCAUUAAAACAAAUUUGUCCUCUCACCGUACAUGCUUGAGUUUUAAUCCGAGCGCCUGUUUCCCAGGAUACAACGGUAUAUAGUAGAAUCUGAGCACCGCAGAUACUACUCUGGCGAACUCAUCUAGUAUCCAAACAAUAUCACCACAAGAACAAGACCUUACUGGACAAGGAAUGCAAAUAAGAAACUAUGUAUGCAAGAAUGUAGGUGCGAUUUUCGAGUGUAUUAGAUUGCUGGAGAAUGAGCCUUUUUAUAGGCAUACUGCCCAUUAAUAUUGUGACANNNNNNNNNNNNNNNNNNNNNNNNNNNNNNNNNNNNNNNNNNNNNNNNNNNNNNNNNNGUGUUAGUAGAUCACGUGCAAUUUUUGAUACAAUUGGAUAUUGCCUUUCGUUACAUCUCCACCAAUUUAAAAGACUAAAUUCUUGUAAUUCGUGCGGUUGCAACACACUACGAACAUCCACGCACAUAUACCUAGCUAACUCAGAAGGAAUUUCAAGAUUUGUACCACCAAUAUUGAUCGCUCUAGAUGUUGAUGAGCUAGAACUAGAACUAAAUGAAGGAGCACUUGUAUUGCUAUCUAAAUAAUUCCAUAAAUUUUCGGGAUUUGUUGUAAUAUUUCUUGAAAAAGAACUUUGGGAAGUAGAACUACGCUGACCUUCCUUUUCGGCAUAAUAAUUAUACAUUUCACAUAAAAAAGAUUCUAUAUGCACGUGUGAUAAUUCUAUAUUCAAAAAAUCUGAUAUCCCCUUUACAGUAGUUUUUGUGCCAGUUAAAUUAAGUCGAGGGUCCAUUACUGAAGCUNNNNNNNNNNNNNNNNNNNNNNNNNNNNNNNNNNNNNNNNNNNNNNNNNNNNNNNNNNNNNNNNNNNNNNNNNNNNNNNNNNNNNNNNNNNNNNNNNNNNNNNNNNNNNNNNNNNNNNNNNNNNNNNNNNNNNNNNNNNNNNNNNNNNNNNNNNNNNNNNNNNNNNNNNNNNNNNNNNNNNNNNNNNNNNNNNNNNNNNNNNNNNNNNNNNNNNNNNNNNNNNNNNNNNNNNNNNNNNNNNNNNNNNNNNNNNNNNNNNNNNNNNNNNNNNNNNNNNNNNNNNNNNNNNNNNNNNNNNNNNNNNNNNNNNNNNNNNNNNNNNNNNNNNNNNNNNNNNNNNNNNNNNNNNNNNNNNNNNNNNNNNNNNNNNNNNNNNNNNNNNNNNNNNNNNNNNNNNNNNNNNNNNNNNNNNNNNNNNNNNNNNNNNNNNNNNNNNNNNNNNNNNNNNNNNNNNNNNNNNNNNNNNNNNNNNNNNNNNNNNNNNNNNNNNNNNNNNNNNNNNNNNNNNNNNNNNNNNNNNNNNNNNNNNNNNNNNNNNNNNNNNNNNNNNNNNNNNNNNNNNNNNNNNNNNNNNNNNNNNNNNNNNNNNNNNNNNNNNNNNNNNNNNNNNNNNNNNNNNNNNNNNNNNNNNNNNNNNNNNNNNNNNNNNNNNNNNNNNNNNNNNNNNNNNNNNNNNNNNNNNNNNNNNNNNNNNNNNNNNNNNNNNNNNNNNNNNNNNNNNNNNNNNNNNNNNNNNNNNNNNNNNNNNNNNNNNNNNNNNNNNNNNNNNNNNNNNNNNNNNNNNNNNNNNNNNNNNNNNNNNNNNNNNNNNNNNNNNNNNNNNNNNNNNNNNNNNNNNNNNNNNNNNNNNNNNNNNNNNNNNNNNNNNNNNNNNNNNNNNNNNNNNNNNNNNNNNNNNNNNNNNNUCGUGCUCGAACCAGGCUUCCAACUAAGUUCUUUGCCACAAUAAUUGCAACAUGAUUUCCAAAUAUCUACUCCAUUUUGAACACCAAUUUUUUUCGUGUCAUAUGUUGCCAACAGUCCGAUGAUUCUUUUUUUGACCUUUUUGUCUCGAGUACUUGAACUUCUUCCUCUUCAAUAUCCUCCAAAUUAAUUGGAACAUUUUCACAUGCAUCGUAGUUAGAUGGAGUACUCGAACUACCGCCAAACUGAUUAACUUCAUCACUUGUAAAAUCCAUAAUAACUAGUAUAAUAAAAAGUACUGAAUAUUAGACUGUAAAGUGAAAGAAAUUGAAUAUAUUAAUUGUUAUAUGAGAAGUGAGAAAGAAGAAAUUGAAACUUGAAUCUGAAUCUAUGAUAUAGAAAUAAUACGAAGUAAAAUCGAUAGCAAAGUGAUUUAAAACUUCAAAAAUCAUCUCGUAUUUAUAGAUAAAAAAACCCGCAUUAUUUUUCAAAUUUGAAAUAUAGCAAAGUGAUUUAAAACUUCAAAAAUCAUCUCGUAUUUAUAGAUAAAAAAACCCGCAUUAUUUUUCAAAUUUGAAUUUCAAAUUUGAAUUUUAAAAAUAUAACAGUAUAAUGUACUAAUAGUCUAAUACGAAAAAAAAGGCAGCUAUAUAGCUGCCUAACCGGCAGCUAUAUAGCUGCCCAGCCUGCCCCCCUAACCGGCAACUAUAAAGCUGUCUCAAAGAGACAGCUUUAUAGCUACCCGUGACCUGCUGCACGGCAGCAGGCCUGCUGUCGUGCAGCAGGUAAAAAAAAAUUUUUUCAAAAUUUUUUUUUUCUUUUAUUUGCUCGGGCCGAGCAUUUUUGUCACGGGCCAUUUUUGGCCCGUGACACGAGCCACACGGGCUUGCUCGGGCUCGGGCCGGCCUCUUAUUUUGAGGCUCGGCCCAAGCCCAGGCUCGAUCCCUACGAGCCACGAGCCGGGCGGGCUCGGGCUUUUUCCGAGCCGAGCCACCGAGCCUUUUUGACACCCCAAAUUGGAGUUAAACUCUCAAAAUCUAGGUUCAUUUCCCUCUUUUUAUUGAGUUUCUGUGAAACUUCGACCCAUGCCUUAAAGCUCCUUUAUCAGAGUACUACUUCGUUCUUCAAUAUUUUUUGUAUUUAGUAAAAUUUUGGUUGAGAUACUCUGCAUAAAAAUUAUUUAUAUUGUAUCUUGUGGAUCAUGAACAUAAGAAUGGCGAUUAUGUGGUUCAGAUGUAUUUAAAUGUGUUAGACAACAACCUUCCAUUCCUGUUCCCAAUUCUCAUAAAAGUACCAGCAAUGUUGAUUGAUAUUAGCAAUGAUGAAGGCUCCAAAUCUGCCAUAUGUCCAGCAUAGCAAUAGGAUUAUCUGUAGGAAUUAUUUACUGUAAUUUUGCUGUAAUUUUGCUACAUUAGAGGAUGUGAAUGUUUCAAAUCUGUAAAUAUUGCUCCUAUAAGUAUGUAGUAAACAUAUGGCUUUGGCAUGAUUUAUCAAGCCCUUCUUAUCAUUUCUUUCAUGGUAUCAGAGCCAUAUUUGGCUAACGUCUAAUCCUACCUACAAUAAUGUCUUCCGCUACUACCUUCAUUCCACCUAACAAUCUUGUUCAGUUUGUCUCGGUGAGACUUGAUGGACCAUCAUCUUAUUUAAACUGGUCUUCCCAAGUCGAAGGUGCCCUUGAUAUCCAUGGUCUUCUGGGUUUUGUGGAUGGUACUGAACCAUGCCCAGAAGAGUUCCUACCUGUUGUAGGGACUGCUGCUCCUGUUUCUAAUCUGGAGUUUAUCAUAUGGAACAAAAAAAAUCGAUUUGUAUUAGUAUGGAUGAAGUCCACGAUCUCAGAGAAGAUACUGUCCUUAGUCUAUGGUCUCAAAUCUGCUCGGCAAACAUGGCUUGCUGUGGCAAAUCGUUAUGCUUCUUCCUCAUCCUCAAAUGUGAAUCAACUCAAACGUCAACUACAAAGUCUACAACAAGGAGGCAAAAGUUGUUCUGAUUUUGUUGAAGGUGCUAAGGUUCUUGCAGACCAAUUAGCCACUGUGGGAAAACCCGUGACUGAUGAGGACUUAAUCUCUCAUAUUCUGGGAGGACUCAACUCAUCAUUCACUCCCUUCAUAACCAAUGUCUAUUUUGCACAACGUGAGAAGUCGAUUACAUUAAAUGAUUUCCACUCUGAAUUAAUUGCUUUUGAAGCCUUGCUUGAAAAUCAGCAGAGAAAUUUGCACAAUGAUCACAACAACUUUGCUAUGAUGGCAAACAAGUUUGGAGGAGGAAAGAACCCAAAGAAAAAUAACAGGAAUUGGCAACAAGCUCAUCCUAAUACGACUCCUACUCUGGCAAAGAAGUCCCCUCAAGCUGCCAAUCAUAUUCCAAAUCAAAUUCCUACUUGGGCAAACGUACCUGACUUUGACCCUUAUGCUUGUCAAAUUUGUAAGAAAAAGAGUCAUAUGGCACUUGACUGUUUCCACUGCUAUGACUACAAUUACCAGAGACGUCAUCUUCCUCAACAGCUAGCAGCUAUGGCUGCUCAUUCCAAUUCUAUUCUUGAGGACAACACAUGGUAUGUAGACAGUGGCGCUAAUCAACAUAUCACAACAGAUCUCUCAAACCUUCACUUGACUGAGCCGUAUCAUGGAGAUGAUAAAGUAGCCGUGGGUUAUGGUAAUUGUUUACAAAUUAAGUAUACUGGUAAUCUCACGUUGCAGGAAUCUUCUUUGCCAUUACACUUAAAAAAUGUCCUUCAUUGUCCACAAGCAUCAGUAAACCUUUUGUCAAUAAAUAAGCUUUGCUUAGAUAAUGAUUGCUAUUGUAUUCUAACCGGUUCUCAAUUUCUUGUUAAGGACAACCGCACGGGACGAACGUUGCUAGUAGGGUCCAGAGUGAAGGAUGUCUCUAUCCUAUUCAAGUUGAUCGAAAAUCUAUCAAUAAAUUUUGGUCUCAUGCUGCUCUCUUAAGUGCUCGGACUACACUUAAUGGUUGGCAUUCGAGAUUGGGUCAUCCAUCUUUUCAAGUCACAAAAAAUGUAGUCAAGAAUUUUGAAUUGCCUAUUUUUGGAUCCUUUAAUAUUGAGUCUGUUUGUGAAUCUUGUUUAUUGGGAAAAACAAAAAAUUUACCUUUCAAUGAGUCUUCCCGUAUCACGUUAUCAAAACUCAAACUUAUUCAUUCUGAUGUUUGGGUCUCUAUUACACCAUCUUCUGAUGGUCAUCGUUAUUAUGUUAUCUUCAUUGACGAUUACUCUAGAUUUACUUGCUUGUACCCACUUAAAAAUAAAUCCGAAGUGCUCUCAUGUUUUAUGCAAUUUAAGGCCCAAGUUGAAAACCGUUUCUCCUCAACAAUUAAAGAAUUUCAAUGUGAUAAUGGUGUUGAAUAUCUCUCAAACCAAUUCCAAUCUUUUCUUCGCAAAAAUGGUAUCCAUCAACGCCUAUCAUGUCCAUAUACCUCUCAACAAAAUGGUUUGGCUGAACGAAAACAUCGACACAUUAUGGAAGUUGGACUCUCACUUUUAAGUCAAUCACAUUUACCUACAAAAUUCUGGGUCGAUGCCUUCAUGACAGCCAUUUACCUCAUUAACCGAGUACCCACACCUGUUUUGAAAAAUGCAUCUCCAUAUGCAAAAUUGUUUGAGGAAAAUCCAGAUUAUUCUUUCAUGAGAACUUUUGGAUGUGCCUGUUAUCCUUUAUUGAGACCCUACACGAGUCAUAAACUAGCUUUUAGGAGUAAACAAUGUAUUUUUAUUGGAUACUCUUCUCACCAUCGAGGCUAUCGAUAUUUAGACCCUGUCUCUAAUAAAGUGUACAUAUCUCGUAAUGUAGCCUUUGAUGAACAAAACUUUCCAGCAAAAGGAUGGACCUCCUCUACUUGCUCUGCUACUUCAAAUGCCACCGUGCCAGGUAUUUCAUCUGAUCUUGCACCCUUUUACUCUCAACUCAAUAUAUUGUCACACCAACCACAUGAAGAAGAAUUACCAUUACUAGGUACUUCUUCAUCUAACACCACCGAACACAUACCUGACUUUAGUCCUUCUCCAACAAUCGAGACCCACCUAACCUUUGAUGAGUCAGAAACUGAACGCCUCCUAUACCCAAUCCAACUCAACAUCAAAUGGUAACCCGAUCCCAAACUGGUUCUAUUCGACCCAAGCAAUUCCUUGAUUUUUAUACAUUUUAUGCAUCUAAUCAUCCUGUACGUGCAUAUCAUAGUGUGCUUAAUAUUGUUGAGCCUACUACUUUUUCCCAAGCUGCUUUAUCUCAGGAGUGGUAGGAAGCUAUGCAAUAGGAAUAUGAUGCACUAAUAGCUAAUGAUACUUGGGAUAUUGUCCCUCAUCCUACUGAUCAUAACAUCAUCCGUACCAAAUGGGUGUACAAAAUUAAGCAAAAGGCGGAUGGAAGUGUUGACCGUUACAAGGCGAGACUAGUUGCUAAAGGUUUUCAACAAAUAGAUGGUGUCGAUUUUACCGAAACUUUCAGUCCGGUAAUAAAACCAACAACUGUACGUGUGGUUCUUUGUCUCGCUGUUUCUUUUGGCUGGCCCAUUUUACAAUAUGAUAUUUCCAAUGCUUUCCUUCAUGGAAAUCUCGAAGAAGAAGUUUUUAUUGAACAACCACAGGGAUUCGUUGAACCUACUGCACCUCAUCAUGUCUGUCGCCUUAAAAAGGCAUUUUAUGGACUCAAGCAAGCCCCAAUAGCUUGGUUCCUCAAACUCUCAAAUUGCCUACUAGAUCUUGGUUUUCAAGGUUCUUCAGUUGACAACUCUUUAUUUACUUAUCACCAUGGGCAGAUACAUGUUUUUAUAUUAAUCUAUGUUGAUGACUUAUUGAUUACUGGCUCAUGUUCCCAAUUCAUUCAAAUAGUAACUAAGCAACUCCAACAAGAUUUUGCACUCAAAACUCUAGGUAAUCUUGGAUAUUUUCUUGGAAUUGAAGCUACUCGGGACUGUCAUGGUCUUCAUUUACGUCAAAGCAAGUAUAUCCUAGAUAUUUUGCAUCGAUCAAGAAUGAUUGGGCCAAACCAUAUCCUGCUCCUUGUGUAUCUGGUGAAAAAUUUUCUUCUAGCACUGAUGAACCAGUUGAAGUUGCUACAACUUAUAGGCAAAUAGUUGGGGCACUUCAGUAUUGUACUCUUACUCGCCCUGAAAUUGCAUAUUCAGUCAAUCAACUCUGCCAACAUCUUCAUUCCCCUACUCAUAUCCGUUGGAAGUCUGCUAAGCGAGUCUUGCGUUACCUCAAAGGCACUGUUGAACAUGGUUUGUACUUCAGCAAGGGUCUUCUAACUCUAAAUGCAUACUGUGAUUCGGAUUGGGCUGGUGACCCAUCUGAUCGAAGGUCUACUACCGGCUAUGGUAUUUUCUUUGGCCCUUGCUUAAUAUCGUGGUGUGCUAAGAAGCAGAGUGUUGUAGCUCGAUCUAGUACGGAAGCUGAAUAUCGAGCUCUUGCGAUGGUGGUUGCUGAACUUUAUUGGAUUCGCAUGUUACUAAAAGACUUGAACAUUCCACUUACUUCACCUCCAACCAUUUGGUGUGAUAAUCAAAGUGCCAUUGCACUCGCUGCCAAUCCCGUUUAUCAUGCUCGUACAAAACAUAUUGAGGUGGAUUUUCAUUUCAUUAGAGAAAAGGUGGUAAAUGGUGAUGUUUGCAUUCAAUACAUCUCUUCAGUGGAUCAAGUGGGUGACAUUUUCACAAAAGGAUUAACAUCCUCCCCAUUGGCUUGCGGGGGGGGGGGUGUGUGUUAGACAACAACCUUCCAUUCCUGUUCCCAAUUCUCAUAAAAGUACCAGCAAUGUUGAUUGAUAUUAGCAAUGAUGAAGGCUCCAAAUCUGCCAUAUGUCCAGCAUAGCAAUAGGAUUAUCUGUAGGAAUUAUUUACUGUAAUUUUGCUGUAAUUUUGCUACAUUAGAGGAUGUGAAUGUUUCAAAUCUGUAAAUAUUGCUCCUAUAAAUAUGUAGUAAAUAUAUGGCUUUGGCAUGAUUUACCAAGCCCUUCUUAUCAUUUCUUUCAAAAUGAACUCCUCAAGUACCUGUAAUCAUUUUCCAUUUUCUAUUAUUUUCUCCCAAGUUUAUUUUGGAGCUAUUUCUCACGACAAAAUGAAAGUUCAAUAUGCACUGAUUUCAUUUUAGUGGUACAAGGUGGUGAAUUGAAACAUCUUACUUGCGUAUUGUUAGUUUGAAACAUAAUUUAAAUUCUUGGAUAACCAAUAACAGUUUUGAUUUAAGAAAAAUGUCUCUUCAUAAUCCUAUUUUCUAGAUAAUAUAAAUGUAAAAUGAGGAUGAAGAUGCAUUCCACAUCAUAACUACCUUGUGGCGAGUUGAUUGUUCCAAACUCAACACCUCCAUGUUUUAGGUUACUAUACAUGGUGAUCCUAACUUUUUACCUUGACUAUCUUUCAAGAGUCUCUUUUUUUUUCAAAAAACCAUGUGUAAGUAUCAAUUUUGAUGUCUUCACCUGCACGUUUCUUACAUAUUUUAUCUUUUACCAUGGCAGUAAGGAUAUGAUGUCCUUAUAAUUAGAGUUUCACAAUACAAAAAGAACAAAAAUCACUUAUAUCUCGUCUUACGAUUAGUUUUGCACCAGAAGAAGCUUUCUUUCUAAAAAGCAGGAGAACAAGUGAAGUGCUCGCUCAGGCAGUGAUUUGGGAACACAAAUGUCACAUUUUGGUAUUCAACUAUAUAGCCUCUAACCUCACCUUGGUAGUCCCAGGCAUACCAUGGAGUCUUUACAAGCGAACCUAAGUUUGCGCAUUGUCUUUGUUGUUGGGCAUACUUUGAAAGUUCAAUAAACUUCACCUGGAAUUCUGCCACAGUCAUCUAUCCUUGUACUAGCUUCAAAAAUUCCUCAUGCUUUGCAUCUUUAUAGGAACAAGGGUAAUAGGUAUCAUAAAAGAUAUGUCUGAAAUCUAUCCUAGUGAUACCAGAAGGGUCUCGAUACGUGCUCUGUACUGAUGCCACCAAUCACAUGCAUCCUCCUCUAAUAAGAAAGUGGCGAGAAACAAUUUUCAUUCAUCUGGAUAACCCAUAACAUCAAAUACCCUCUCUAUCUUCGUCAUCCAUGCCUAAGCAACUGGAAGAUCAUAUGUACCUGUGAAAACUUUAGCCACUAAUUUUGUAGCCCUCUUAAUACUUAAACUUUUAACAGUACUACACAUAGUAGAGCAACAACAAUUGCAAUUCUCUCAACAGCCAUUAGAAUAAUCGAUGAUCUCCAACUGAUUUGAUCCCUUGCACGUGAGCAUGUAGUCUUUUGUUCUCUAUAAAUACCGCAUGACCCGUUUGGCUGCUUUCUAAUGAUCCACGCCUGGGUUACUUAAAUAUCUCCCUAGCAUCCCAACAAUUUACGCUAUAUCGGACCCAUACAGACCUGAGAAUACAUCAGACUCCCCAUAGCUGAUAAAUAAAGAAUCUUCGGUAUUUCCUUAUUUUCUAAAUCAUUUUACUGAUUUAAACUGAACUUGUCUUCUUUAACCAUAGGGGUGUUAAAUGUUUUACAAUCUCUUGCAUGCCAUAUCUUUUAAGUAUCUUUUUGAUAUAGCCCUUUUGUGAUAAUCUAAGAAUAUUCCGAGAACGAUCUCGGUGUAUCUGAAUUCCUAAUACAAAAUAGGGGUCGCCAAUAUCUUUCAUCUCAAAAUUCUUUGCCAGAAAUCUCUUGGCUUCAUGUAAUAAGCCUAUAUCAUUGCUGGCAAGCAAUAUGUCAUCAACAUAUAAAACCAAAGAAAAUUCUUACUCCCAUUGAACUUGUGGUAUAUACAAUUAUCAACCAAAUUCAUCUCAAAAUCAAAUGAGAUGAUCACUUUAUGAAACUUGUAAUACCAUUGACAAAAUACCUGUUUGAGCUCAUAGAUGGAUUUCUUUACUUUACAAACCAUAUGCUUUGCAUCAUCUGAUACGAAGUUUUUUUAUUGUACCAUAUAAAUUGUUUCAUCAAUGUCACUAUUAAGAAACAUGUCUUAAUAUCUAUCUAAUGUAACUCAAAAUCGAAAUGCGUUACCAAUGUUAUUAUAGUCCUGAAAGGGUCUUUCGAAGAAACCGGAGAGAAAGUCUUUUUAUAAUCGAUGCCUUCUUUCUAUGUAAAGCCCUUUGCGACAAGACGAACCUUAUACCUUUCUACAUCAUUCGUCGAAUCCCUCUUGGUCUUAAAUAUCCAUUUGUAACCAAUGGAUUUCGCACCUUUAGGCAAUGGAACGAGGUCCUACAUGUCACUGUCCUUCAUGGACUUUAUCCUUCAUUUAUGGCAUCAAGCCACUUUUGAGAGUUAGAAUUUUUCAUGGCUUGAUGGAAGUUGAUCGAAUCAUCUUCUACCAUUCUAAUGUCACCUUCAUGUUUUUGGAGAAAUACGAUGUAAUCAUCCAAAACCACACUUCUUCUCUCUCUAAUGGAUCUUCUUAAUGACAUUAGUUCUUGAGGCUAUAGAGUUUGUUCUUUUGGAACAAUUUGUUGACCUCGAGAUAGAGAUACAAUAUUGUCUUGAUCCGGAGUUACUUCUUGAACAAUAUCAGGUAUAGAAACCUGAUCACUGUCAAUGGCAAUUGGAGAAAUUUCAACAUAUUCCCCAUCAAAGACAAAGCCUGUAACCCUUUCUUCCCCCGCAAACUCAACAUCCUCAAAGAACCAGGCAUCUUCUAUCUUGAAAAUUGCUUUAGUUGUGGGCUCAUAAAACUUAUAAUCUCUGAACUUUUCAGAAUAUCCAAUAAAAUAGCAAAUGAUGAUCCUUGCUUCCGUUUCUUCUCAUUUGGCUUAUAGGGUCUUGCUUCAGAUGGUCAUCCUCAAACGUACACGUGCUUCAAACUAGGCCUUUUGCCCAGCCAAAGCUCAUAAGGGGUUUAUCAGUGGCCUUCGUCAAAGCUUUGUUGAGUAUAUAUGUUAUGGUAUCUAAUACUUCACCCCAGAGAGAUUCUAGUAAGAUAGAAUGACUAAUCAUGCUUCUUACUAUGUCCUUAAACGUUCUAUUUCGUCUUUCAGCAACACCAUUCAUAGUGGGCGAACCCGACAUAGUGUACUGUGGGACGAUACUGCAUUCCUCUAGGAAUUUAGCAAAUGGUCCUGGAUGUUGUUUACCUAAACCGUCAUAUCUGACUUAGUAUUCACCCACACAGUCAGUUCUGACACAUUUAAUCCUUUUGUCGAGUUGGUUCUAAACUUCAACUUCGUAGUUUUUGAACACAUCUAGAGACUAUGACUUUUCUUGAAUGAGAUAUAUAUAGCUAUAAAUUGAAAAGUCGUCUAAGAACGUUAUAAAAUAUUCUUGAACAUUCUAAGAACUCGUAGGAAAUAGUCCACAAAUUUCCAUAUGUAUAAAUUCUAAUACAUCUAAGAUCCUGUUAGCUUGAAAUUUCCUAUUAUUGGUUUGUUUUCCAUUUAUAGAGUUGACACAUAGGUCAUAAUCUAUGAAAUCAAGAGGAUUGAGAAUCCCGUCAGACACAAGUAUCUCAAUUCCUUUCUUGGAGAUAUGACCUAAUCUCUUGUGUCAUAACCAGGUAGAAUUCUCACUGGUUAAUUUUCACUUUACACCUUGAUUAUUUACAUACAAGGAUUCAUUAAAAGAAACAACUAUAUAAAUUAAAUAAAGAUCAUCGUAACUGGUAAAGAACAGGAACCAACCAAUUUUGAAUCAUGAAACAAACUAAAUUUUUCAUUUCUAAAUGAACAAGAAUAACCAAAUUUGUUCAAAGUAGAAAUAGAAAUUAAAUUUCAUCUAAAAGACAGUACAAUAAAUGUCUCAUUAAGAUCCAAAUAAAAUCUAGUCUUUAAUAAUAAUCUAAAUAUUCCUAUUGCCUCUACUUCCAUCGUCUUGCCGUCAUCAACAUAGAUGUAUCUUUCACCAUCACUUAAUUUUCAACAACUCUGGCAACCCUGUAUAGACAUAUUGAUGUGAGUUAUUGUACUAGAAUCUAUCUACUAUGUAUGUCUAGGUAUCGAAGUAAAAUUAACCUCAGAACAAACCAAAUGAAGAAGUACCUUUCUUGGCACACCAUGUGUGGUAGUUGGUGCAGUUCUUCUUCUUAUGACCUGCAACUCCACAAAAGAAAUAACCACCCUUUGUUGGUCCCUUAUGCUAUUUCUUUUAAGAUGCUAUACCCACAACUUCUUUACCAUUUUUCUUUUUCUUGUUCCUAGUUUGAGAUGAGCUCAUUAAGGGACCAUGAGUCCUUUUGACAGUUAUAGCUCACCUUUAAUUGAUUGAAAUAUGCUGAAAGGGAUAGCAGAACCAAGUGCUUUAACAAUUAUUCAAAUAAAUCCAGCCUAAGUGCUUUUAGUUUUGAAGCAAUCUGAGACAUUUCUAUAAUGAACUCCCGUACGUUUCUUUUUCCUUUAUACCUCAUUGAGACAAGAUUUGCCAAAAGUGUUCUUGCUUCAGCCUUUUCAUUCUUAGCAAAUCUCUUCCCAAGGUCCUCAAGGAAAUCCUAAACCGUAGUCACCUUAUCGAACAUAGUGUCCCGGAAUACUUCUGUAAUAGCACGCUUCAUGAUCAUUAAGCUUAUGCAAUUCUAUCAUUCCCAUUUUUCCAUCUCCCUCUUGUCAUCAGAGGUACUCUUAUCAGUAAGUGUAGUAGGUUGAUCGACCCGUAAAGCAAGGUUCAAGUCCAUGACUCCGAGAACAAUCAUUACGUUCUCUUGCCACGCCUUAAAGUUAGUGCCAUUAAGCAUUGAAAUUGAAUUGAUGCUAACAGAGAUAUUAGCAACAGAACCUAAAACUGAAUUAAAGAACAACUAAGAUAAAUGGCUCGCAUAAAUAUCCUUAACAUGCAAAUAACAAUAAUCUCAAAUAAUGGUAGAGCUCAUCACAAGAUACCUAGCAAAAUAUCAAUAUUAGUCUUUGGAUAGAAAUAUUGAUUUGUAAGUGUUACUCUUGGUGCAGUGAUCAGACAUUGACAAUAAAAUAAUAUGUUAACCAAUAAACCUUUCUUUGGACCGAUUCAUUGAUCACAUAUUAAAUUAAAUAAUCGUCACAUGGUUAUCACCACAGGUGUACGCAUAAUUCGCCUAAAUAUUGACCUUUCUUUGGGCCGAUCAAUAUUCCCAUGAGCAACGCAUAGACAAAUGCCUUUUAAUAUUCUAAGUCAAUUAAUUUCCGUAAGAGAUGUUUCUUUGACAACAUGUUGCUUCAACUAAUUCACCUUCGAAUAUUAUACCUCUCAAAAGAGUCCCUAGUACCAAAACUUGAGAAAUAAAACUACCAAUUUUGCAUAUUUUAUUUAUAUUAAACUUUAGGGGCCUAAGGGUUAAUAAUUCAAAACUUUAGAAGGCAAAAAUUAAUAAAUUUAAAACUUUAGGUUCCAAUUUGAACUAAUUAGAAACUUUGAGGGCUUCAAUUACAAAAUUCAAACUUUAAUGAUCCAAAUUAAUUAAUUUUUAAACUUUAGGGACUGAAUUAUUUAACCAAAAAAUUAAAGGCCUAAUUGCAAGCAAGAGCCUGAAGUUAUCUAAUUUGCACGUGAGACCCCACGCCCCAAAUCACCCAAAUUGAAAAAACCUUAAAAAAAAUUUCUUCCAAAAAUCCUUCUCCUCCUUCACCCUUGGCGCCAAGGUCGGAUAUGGAAGGCCCCUUGCCACCCACAGCAACCCCCCGACGUUGCUCCCACAUUGGUUGUGGAUGUGAUUGUGUUCAGUUCAUAAGUGUGAGGGAAAGCUUCACCUCUUGAACUUGCUUUUGGGGUGAGAGAAGCCCAAUGUCACUCAACAAUUUUAUCUUUUACCAUGGCAGUAAAGAUAUGAUGUCCUUGUGCUUUAAUAUAUAUAUAUAUAUAUAUAUACACACUGGGUAUGUGAGUUUUUUAGGUUUCAGGAAACAGGUACAACAAGGAAUGCAAGACUCAGUAAUUGGGUAUACUGGGUAGAAUAGUUUUCUAUUUUCUAGUCUUCACUUUAUUUGUAUAUUUUUGUCACAGAAGGCUAAAGGUAUAUAUAUAUAUAUAUAUAUAUAUAUAUAUAUCCAUUAUUUUGAUGCAAUAUGCUCUAUUAGACUUUAACAACACAAUAAGAACAAAAAUCACUUAUAUUUCGUCUCAAGAUUAGCUUUGUGCCGGAAGAAGCUCUCUCUAAGAAACAAGAGAACAAGUUAAGUGCUCGCUCAAGCUGUGAUCUAGGAACAAAAUGUCCUGCUCCUCAUACGAACACAAAGGUCACAUUCUGGUAUUCAAUUACAUAGCCUCCAACCUCACCUUGGUAGACCCAGGCAUACCAUGGAGUCUUUACAGGUGAACGUAGUUUGCUCACUGUCCUUGUUGUGGAUACUGGAUAAAAAAUUUUAGCUCCUUACCCUCCUUUAGAUCGACAAUGCUCUUGCGUCUUCCAUUUUGAGGGAAGGGAAGUUGAACAAUUGUUCUUUAGGUGUGAGAAAACCUCACUGGUUGUGCUUCAAUAGGUUGAACAAGGAAGAGGAAGUUCACUAAUACACGCUCUUGGAGCUGAAAUGCAUGAUUAGUUUACAGAGGCAAAGAAAAUUAAGAGAAGUCGAAUCUUGUUCCUCUCAGUUUGUAAAGAUAGUACUAUGGACUAGAAUGAAAUAACACCUUUGAGUUUCUAUAUUAGCUUCUCCAUCGACCAAACUCUUUAUUUGUUUUCUACUUUUUGCUGUUUAAAAGCCUUUUAAACAUGUACAUGAUCUUUAUUGUGUAUGAUAAAAUGCCUUCAUUUGCAAUGGGGUUUUAACGUAAUUACUGUCAAUACUAAUCUUUGUGCUGCGAUUAACUGGUCAUUUGGGUGCAAAUGGCGAUGGCCGUGUUUGCAUAUCUACCACCAGUCAUUUAUCGUAUCUCAAAUUGUGUCGAUUGUGGCUAUUAUGGACCAGGUAAAUAGCACAAGAUGAAGAUAUUCUGAAUUGAACAUGUGAAAAUGAGUUUAUAUUAACUCGUCUUUUAUUCAGAUAUUGAUGAAUGUUACGUUUGAGGAGCAACGAACUUUCUUCAUAAAGCUCGAGCAAAUCAUCCAGGAGAGGCAAUUUGGUGAAUCCUGAGUUGGGAAAACUUACCUCGUGUAACUUAUGUAGCUCUCAUUUUCGCAUGUCAUUUAUAUGUUCUGUUUUCUCUCCCUCAUUCUAUGCAAACUCAUACAAAUGUUUAGUUGCAGGCUUUACGACAUGCGACUUUUUUGUGAAUUGUAUAGUUCUUGCCCCAUUAGAUUUUUGAUAUUCUAUUGAUUUAUGUUGCAUGUUAAGAUAUUAUUUGUUUUUAGUUACUUUAUCCCUUUUCUUUUCUUUGUAAAAACUGCUUGAAUUUAACUAGAAAAUUUUUAUGGGAAGUGGCUGCGGUAGUUUGGCCUACAUUAUGAUUUUCAAGCAUAACAUAAUCUUGUUUUCGUUGUUUGUCUACAUUUUCCAUAUUUAGAUGGUCAAAUGCACGAAUGAAUAACUAUUAAUACAUUUGCAGUACAUUAAUCAUCCUAUUUUGUAUCUGCACAAGAUGGACAUCUCAGCGCACUAGAGAAAAAUAGCGACCUUUUGGCACCUAGUUGAUGCCAAAUGAAAAUACUACGCUUCAUAGCAUACCUUAUUUUUUUUGAAAAUUUAAAUAUAUGAAUUCAUACCUUGCUUUAAUCUUGCAUUCAAUUUAUAUUUAUUUGAAUCAAUUCAAUUGAUGCAUAUAGAAAAUUUGAGAAAACGAGAACAUGAUAUGAAAAGGUCGUAGUAUCUCAUUAUACUGGUUAACUAGACGCAUACAUGUGUGUUUUGAAAAUUUAGAUAUACAAAUUCAAACUUUUUUUUUAAUCUUGCAUUAAUUUCAUAUUUUUUUUUGAAUUGAUUCAAUUGACAUGUAUCCAAAGUGUCUAAGAAAACACUUAUUAUUAUUAUUAUCAUUAUUAUCAUCAUCAUCAUCAUCAUUAUUAUUAUUAUUAUUUUGUUCUUUUAGUUUCUGUUUUGACGUUACCUCUUUUAACUUAUUUAUGGAGUGUGUUUCUUCACAGGCCUGGUGAGAUUUUGUUAUUUUUUCAAAGUACUCAUGACAAAUUGUGAAAUACAUCUUUCGAAUUUAAAAAUCGAUAAAUGACGAAUUCAUAAAAACAAUUAAAAAAAUGACCGCAAGAAAUGGACUUAAUAAUUAUGACUUAUUUUGCUUUCAAUAUUUGAUGCGAGAUAAUUUUCAACAUUUAAACUUUGUCCAUACCAUAUUUAUCAUGGCCACAUUCUAAGCCUUCUAACAUAUAAUUGUAGCAUAAAAAACCGCAUCAAAUGAAAAAAAGUUAAUAAUAAAAAUUUUAAUAAGCGAAUAAUAUCAUAUUGGGGAGUGCGCCCGUUUGUCUCUAGAAUGAUUUUGCUGACUUUCAAAUGUUUUAUGUUUCUAAUGGACUUAAUUCAUACGAUUAUUACAGCUUUAACUUAGUUUAAUUGCAUUAAGCAAUUUUUUUCUUUUAAUACUGUGUCUAACUUCCUCAACAUAAAAUGUGGAGAUGAAUUAACCAUCACAUCCCAAUGCUUAAGCCACCUCCAGGUUGUCUUGAGAAAGUAAGAGACUGUUUUUUUGUUUUUUCAAAACUAUUUUUUCUACAUGCUCAUUUUCACUCACAUUCAUACCGUUUUGCACAUAAAUCCAAAUUUUUUCCAUACAUUGUAAUUACACAUUCUCCAAAAAUUCACUAUUCAAAACAUUGUUUUUUAUCAGAUAAUGGCCAUCAAACAGGAGCUAAAUUGUAAGAGUUUGAGUAGGAUUUUUACAAACCUCAAGCCUCGAAUAGAUGGAUUGAAUAAAUAGUGGACAAAGAUCACUAACGGAAAAAGCAUACUCUUUACAGCACUCGCAGAUUUUAUUUCUUGGUACUUAGAGUGGAUAUAAUAUGCCGCACACAUUAAUAUCACAUCAUGUAGGCAGUUCGGGUGGCACUUCCAGAGCCAUGGUUGGUGAAUGAAGGUUGAUAUUUUUCAGAAAGUAAAAUCAACUUUAGCACUAAACGUGAAAAGAUUAUUUGAAAAUCGUACCUAACUGAAAGUCUCAAUCGAGCAAUAUUGUUAAAUUAUAACUUGUACCUACCAAUAAUAUUGUGGAAGCUCUCUUGAAAGAUUUUCAAAUCGGUGAUUUUCGAACUCAGUCCAACGUAUAUUUCUCUACCAAUAACCAAUUCAGUCGGCUCCAAACCACAACCAAUUAAUUCACAUCGGUUGCUAUUCAAUUUUACCCACGUAGGACAAGAAAAGAUGAUGAUUUGUGGUCACAAAUACUAAGAAAAACACCACAAAGGUAUACUAUGAAAGAACCACCAAUUGCACAAAAUAAACAAGCGUUUUCGACAUUUAUAGAGGCCUUUUUUUUCUCCAAAGGGAGUAGUCGGGAUUCCUUGAUUUUUCUCACAAAACAUUACAAGAAAGUGGUUAGGGUUAUAGCCAUAUAUAUACUCUAAGAUUAUGUUUUAAGUUGGACCAUUAAAGAAAUAAACUGGCCAUAUUCAAGCCAUCCAAGAGAGAAUACAGUUGGGCUGGGUGUAGCUCAUGGAUUUGGUUGUUAGACAUAUUUCAUUCAUCAGCCUAUGCCUAUAAAAUAAUAUUAACUCACGUUAAUAUCGUAGCUCGAGAUUUAUUGGGUAUCAAAAAACCCAACAAAUAAUAUUAUAAAAAACUAAAAUACAAUAAAAUAUGAAAACCCGAUAAACAUGUGACAUAUAAUAAACAUAUAGAAUAUACUUAGACGUCUAAUGAAGAUUAAGAAAUUAAUUAGAGUAUUACUAAAUAAUUAAUCUUCGUUUGGAUUUUGUGUGACUCAUUUCCCAGCUGGACCCCAGUCCUUUAAUAAUGAAGAAAAUUUGUGGUUAUCUUCGAUUGCAUUUUGUGUGACUCAUUUUUCAAGUAGGCGGUUCGAGUGGCACGUGAAUGUGGACAUGCUGUGGAAGGUGAGUGCCGCGAAUAAAGAUUAAAUAUAAUAUUUUUCAAUAAGUGAAAUCGACAUAUAAUUUUUAGCACGAAAUUUGAAAAAAUUAUUGAUAUCUCAUUAAAGAAAUUCUCAAUCGAGCAAUAUUGUAGAAUUGUACCUAUUAAUAAUAUUAACAGAUAACAAUAAUUAAUCUUCGUUUGGAUUUGGUGCGUCUCAUUUCUCACCUGGGCCACAGUCCAUUAAUGAUGACAAUUUUAUAAAAGUGAAAAUUACAUAUUGUAAUAGAUUAAAAAUCCUCAUUUCAUAAAUAAGAUGCAAUGUUUAAUAUUUCACAAAUUAGAAAUUUUUGUAAUUAAUUAAUAUAUUUAAAAAUUAAUUAUGUAACCUAAUUAUAUCAAUUCCAAAUCCUUUUCUCUCUCUCAAUUCCCUCGCCUAUUAUCGUCUCUCUCUCUCUCUCUCUGCUCUCGCCCGCCACCUAUUCAUUUUAGCAGUAAUCUCCAACGACUAGCAGCAUAGAAGCAGCAUCUGCGAAACAGAUCUACGACCGGCGAGCGAAGUGGUGUUUCGCGUGGUGACAUCGCCACCCGCCCACUAUCCAUUUCAAGAUCUAAUCACCGGAGACUAGCAGCACAGAAGUAGUAGUUGCGAAGCAAAAUCUACUAUUGGCGAAUGAACUCCUCUCUUCGUAAUCGACGCCUGAGCUAGUGGAUCGAGGGUGGUGGUAAGGUGAUGGUCUCCUAUUUUGGAUCUGGUUUUCGAUGCUUCAGUGAUUUUGGGGUAGGUUUCUGUCAUGGUAAGAUAGUGUUGCUGGUGGUUGUCGCUGUGGUGGUGCUUUUGGAUUUAUUUUGUUGUUGGUGUUUGGGUUGUGCCGUUGUAGGGUUUUGUUGUCGCUGUGGUGGUGGCGCGACGGUGCAACAGAGAUUUGGGUGGUGUGUGUGGUGGCGAUUUUGUAGGAUUUGGUGGUUGCAGUGGGGUUUUGUUGAAAAUGGUGGUUGUGGUGAUGAGAGGUGGUGGUGGUGGGUUUUGGCAGUGGUAAAGUAGUGGUGGUUUGUUUGAAAUGGAGAUGACAGUGCUGUUGUCGUGAGGUGGCAGUGGUUUUGGCAGCGGUGGUGUUGGUGUGGUGAUACUGGAGACUAGUGAUGUGGUGGUCACAGUAGUGGUGGUGGUCACAAAUUAUUUGCUUCACUUUUAUUUAAUUUAGGGUAGUGCGUUGUAAUGGAAACUGACAGUGGUGUUGCGUGAUGGUUGUGGUGACAUUUUCAGAUUGGUUUGUGGAUGUCAUGGGCAGCUGCUGAUGUCACGGGGAGGUGGUGAUUCUGUAGGUGGUGGCAAUGGCGCAGAGGGUGAUGGUGUGGCGGUGAUUUUAGGUGUGGUGUGUAUUGACGACAGAGGUGAUGGUUGUAGUGGAUUGGGGUUCGGUAAGGCGCGGCGGCGUGGUGGUUAUGGGGGCGAUGGAGGUGGUGGGAUGGGGUUAGGGUAGGGUGCGGUGCGGUGGUGAAGUGGUUUGUGACCGAUGAAAUUAACUGUGACCAAUUAAUUUGAUAAUUUGCAAUGAAUAAAUGAGUUGUGACCAAUAAAAGUUGAUUUCAUGACCAAUGAAUACUCUGUUAUCUAUAAAAAAAAUUUACUCAUGACCCAAAAAUAAUAUGUGACCUAUGAAAUUUUUUAUUUUUGAUCGAAAAAAGUUGUGACCAAUAAAUUGAUAAGUUGUGACUCAAAAUUAAUCGUGACCAAUUAAUCUAAUAAUUUGAAAUGAAUGUAUGAGUUGUGACUAAUAAAAGUUUUGAUUUUGUGACUAAUGAAUAAUUUGUGGCCUAUAAAAAAUUUUAUUUGUGAUCGAAAAAUAAUAUGUGACCUAUAAAAUUUUUGAUUUGUGACCGAAAAAUAAGUUUUGACUAAUAAAUUGAUAAGUUGUGACUAGAAAUUAAUCCGUGACUAAUUAAUUUUUUGAUUUGUGACUGAUGAACAAACUGUGACCUUCAAAAUUUUUGAAUUGUGAUCGUAAAAUAAUUUGUGACAUAAAAUUUUUGAUUUGUGACCAAAAAAUAAUAAGUGACUAAUUAAAUUGUUAAUUCGUGACCAAAUUGUAUAAAUAUGUGACCUAAAUAUAAUUAAUUAAUUAAUUAAAUCAUAAAUAAAUUUUAAUAAAAAAAUCUAAUUUUUGAAGUUUGAAACUUGUUUUCUUAAUAUUGAAAUAUGUCAUACUUAAUUUCUUACUUAUGAAAUUUUCCCUUUAUAAAAUUAUAAUAUUAAUGUGCAACACAUUUCUUCUCUUGUCAUUUUCAUAAUAAGUAGUAAAAGUACAAAUCUUAAUAAUUCUGCAAGACGGUCUAUGAAUGCACUAAGUUCACUUGCAAUCUUGCACAUGAAAAAUUUUGUUUUUUGCAUUCGUGUGAUAUCAAACGAGAAAACAAUUUUAAUGGAUCCUAGUUUGUAUAAAGCUGUACAAGAGGGCAAUCUUAAUGCCAUUAGAGAAAAGAAGGAACUUACCAGCACCACUCAAUUGACACCAAACAAGAAUACUUUACUUCAUGAUGCUGCCCAGUUCAACAACUCCAAGGAAUACGUAUCAGAAAUACUCAUAACAAAUGGAUCCUUACUUUGUGAAGUGAACUCAGAUGGUGAGACUGCGCUCCACGUUGCAGCAAGAAAUGGCAACAAAGAUGUUGGGAGCAAAUGAUGAGAUUUGCAAAGUCCUUAGAUGAAGAUCUUGAAGCCGGAGGCAGAGACGGAGCGCUCAAAAAUCUGCUAUCAUGGAGAAAUAGAAAUGGAGACACCGCACUGCAUGAGGCUAUAAGGAAUAAUUGUCCAUCUGUGGUCAAUUUGAUGAUAAUAGAAGACCCUGAUAUUGCAAAUAUAGCAAAUAAUGCAAUGGAAACUCCACUUUUUCUUACAGUUGUUAGCAAUCCAAUUGAUAAGAACUCGUCUACAUGCAUCGAUGACAUAUUGAGAUAUUGCCCCUCGCUUGAUUACCAUGGACCAGAAGGAAAAACUGCUCUACGUGCUGUGGCUUUAUAUAAUUGGAAAGGUAAGUGUAGAGUUUAAAGUGUAGAAUACAAAAGAUUAUUACAACUACAAUGCGGAAUAAUAAACUCUCAAAGUGUAAAACCGAACCAAAACCGACUUAAAGCUUCUUCAACACCACCAAUGAAGUGUUCUUGAUAUUGAGCUCAUAUUUGUGCCACACCGGAUCAUGCACCGUCGUCCACGGGAAUGGCAAUGGAUAUACUGAGAAAGGAUCCGCCGGAAGCCACCAAAAAUUUCGUCGGAGUUAUGGAAAGCUCCCACUUGGUUACCUCUCUAUGUUCUCUCUCAAAUGUUAUGCCAAGUCCAAGUAGAGAGAAUGAAGAUGUCUUGAAAUUAUAGAGCCAAUUCAUUUGAAUUCAAAAUUUAAAUAUUGUACUAUGGUCUAGAGAGUGACAACACUAGUAUAGGUAAUUGACCACUAGAUUAAAUCCAACCAUUGGAUUUAAUCUAUGGUCCAUAUCACCCCAUAACUAGCACAAUCCAAGUCACAUUCUCUAGACCAAUCAACUUGCACCAAUACUAUGUUGUGAUCCACCUUUCAAAUCUUCACCUUAGAUCACAUAAUGUCCAUCGCCAAAUUCCCCAGUUACAAGUGAUAUCCAUCAGUGUGCUCUUAUUUUUAUCAUCAUUGCUCACUCCAGCUUAGUACUGCACAACAAUUAACCAUUAUCAAUACUUAGUAUUGAUAAACAUUUGUUGAACUUACCAACCGCAUGUACUUUUGUUCCAACAUCUGCAGGGUUAUCAUCAGUUGCAAUUUUAAGCAAAAUAAAAUCACCAGAAGCUAACUUCUCCCUAAUGAAGUGAUACUUCACCUCACUAUGCUUAGUACGUUCAUGAUAAACCGAAUUUUUACACAACAUCAAUGAACUUUGACUAUCAGUAAAAAUCAUAGCAUUAUUAUUCAAGAAGUUUAAUUCACAUAGAAGGCGUUUCAGCCACAUGCAUUCCUUUAAAACUUCAUUUAAUGCAACAUAUUCUGUUUCAGUGCUGGAGAGUGUAAUUAUAGGUUGCAACUGUGAUUUCCAAGUGAUACAAUUAUCACCUAAAGUGAAGAAGUAAGAAGUGGUAGAUUUCCUCUGAUCUUUACCCCGGGCAAAGUCAAAAUCUACAUAUCCUUUAAGUUCUAAUUUGUUAUUUCUUCUUUCAAACACCAAUCCCCUUUUCAAAGAUCCUGCUAGGUAUCUUAAUAGCUAUUUAAGUGCAGUCCAAUGUGGUUUACCUGGGUUAGACAUAAAUCUACUCAAGAAACUAACUGCAUAUGCAAGGUCCGGUCUUGUGGUAAUCAUAGAAUACAUUACAGACCCAAUGGCAUUAGCAUAGGGAACAUUACUCAUUUCAUGCAUUUCUUCUUCAGUUUUAGGGCAUUAUGCAGAUGAUAAGUUUGUGUGUGCAGCUAAUGGUGUAUUGACAGACUUAGUAAAUCUCAUACCAAAUUUGGUUAUCACUUUAUCCAAAUAGUCAUCCCAUUAUCAGCCCUAUUCCUUUUAAUAACCAUGCCAAGGAUUUUUCUCGCCUCUCCUAAGUCUUUCAUGUCAAAUUCCGAUUUUAAAAGGUUUUUCAUCUUUAUGAUUUCAUCUUUAUGAUUUCAUCUUUAUUAGGAUUAGUAAGCAACAUGUCAUCCACAUAUAAUAAUAAAUAAACUUCACAGCCUAUUUUAGAGUUAUUAAAAUAUAGACAUGCAUCAAGUUCACUCCUCUUAAAACUAAUUUUAAGCAUAUAAGCAUCAAAUCUCUUAUACCAUUGCCUAGGACUCUGCUUAAGACCAUAUAAGGACUUUUUAAGCAAACACACAAGUUCUGAUUUUCCCUUCACCUCAAACCCUUGAGGUUGAGACAUGUAAAUCAAUUCAUCUAACUCCCCAUGAAGAAAAGCCGUCUUAACAUCUAGCUGCUCCAACUCCCAAUCAUACUGGACAACUAAGACUAAGACUAACCUGAUAGUUUCAUACUUAAUAACUGGUGAGAUUACCUCAUUAUAGUCUAUCCCUUCUCUCUGAGUAAAUCCCUUCGCAACCAACCUAGCUUUGUAUGUUAAAGGGUCUUUAGGUCCUACAUAUUCUUUUAACUUGUAGAUCCAUUUACAAUGGACUACCUUUUAAUUCUUUGGUUUUUCAACCAACUUCCAAGUCUCAUUUUUGUUUAGAGACUGGAUCUCUUCUCUCAUUGCCUUUUUCCAAUUUUCAGAAUUUUCACAGUUAACCGCUUCCUCAAAUGAAGUCGGUUCAACCGACUCCAAGGCUUCACCUGAAACUAGGACAAAUUCCAUCAAAUUUUAAGAGAUGUAUUUCAAAUUGGGCUUCACUUGUCUUCUCUAUCUAUCCCUCACUAAUUGGUAAUCAUCCAAAUUAGUACCUACAGUUGUUUCUUAUUAGGGACAACAGUUUCAGGAAUUUCAAGUUCAGGUUGUUCUAUCACUGCUUCUUGAUCAGAUUCUUCUUGAGAUUGGAUUUCACUAUCCUCUAGAUUAUCUCCUAACUCUUCGCCUCAAAUUCCAUCUUCUUUCCAGUAGAAGAUUCUCCUUCCUUAGUCUGUUUGUUCUGACUUACAAGCUUUUUAAGACAAGGCAUAUCAAGUUCAUUGAACUUUACAUCUCUACUGUUAAUAAUCUUAAUACCCUUUAAACCUAAAACCCAUAGUCUAUAUCCCUUUACUCCCUUUGGAUAACCUAACAUGACACACUUAGUAGCCCUAGGGUCCAAUUUGCCCUCAACCUGAUGUGCAUAAGCCGCACAACCAAACACUCUAAUAUGUGACAAAUUUGGGGGUUUUCCAGACCAUAACUCUUGAGGAGUUUUGAAGUUAACAGAACUAGAAGGUGACCUAUUUAUUAAAUAGGCAGUAGCGCACACGGCUUCACCCCAGAAACCUUUAGACAACCCAGAAUUAAUCAUCAUACAUCUGACUUUAUCCAUUAAAGUCCGAUUCAUUCUCUCCGCUACCCCGUUUUGUUGAGGGGUAUGUCUUACUAUCCUGUGCCUCAUUAUACCAUUUCCCUUACAGAAAUUAUCAAAUUCGAAGUUGCAAAACUCUAAACCAUUAUCCGUCCUAAGAGUUUUCACACCCUUUCCUAUUUGAUUUUCAACUAAGGCAAGCCAAGAUUUAAACUUACUAAAAGUUUCAGAUUUGGAUUUAAGGAGAUACACCCAAACUUUCCUCGAGUGAUCAUCAACAAUGGAUAGAAAAAAUCUAUUUCCUCCAUGUGUGGGGUGUUUUUCAAGACCCCACAAAUCUGCGUGAAUGUAGUCCAAUGGUCUCUUAGUGCUAUGUUCACCUGUCCCAAAGCUAACCUUGUGUAACUUUCCUAGAAUACACAUCUCCCAAAAACUUAAAGGUGUAACACUAUCCUUACCAAAUAAAUUUUGGUCACUAAGGUAUUUCAAUCCUUUGUUCUCAAUGUGUCCCAUCCUCUUUUGCCAAAGAUCUGAUUUAUCUUCACAAACUAAAGAUAAUGCCGACUGUUUACUAUCCAAGGUUUUACCUUGAAGGACAUAUAACACAUUCUUCUUGGGACCUUUCAUAACCACUAGAGAUCCUUUACAAAUCUUUAAAGUACCAGCAUGAGAUUUGAAUUCAUGACCUUCUUCUUCUAGAGUGCCUAAGGAAAUGAGAUUCUUUGCCAGGCCCGGGACAUACCUAACACCUCUAAGGGGUCUGAUAAUGCCAUCAUGCAUCCUAAUAUCAAUAUCACAUACUCCUUCUACAUUGUGUGUACGAUCAUCCCCUAAGUAUACUUUUCUAGGAUUCACAUCUCUAUAGUUAUAGAACCAAGAUUUAACAGGACACAUAUGAACAGUAGCACCCGAGUCUAAUACCUACUCAGUGUUAAAAUCAAUAUUAGAAACAUUCAUGACAUGUAUGUUAUCACGAGCACCAUUUAACUCGGUGUCAAAAUCUCAUGACACGGUCAUAACAUGUAGGCAAUCAAGGGAAUCACUUACAACAACUAAGUUCUGAUCAUCAUUUUGCUACGGUCUUUGUUUCCUUUUAAAGUCAUUACAGUCUUUCUUGAAAUAUCCGAACUUGCCACGAUGGAAGCAUUUCUUACCACUCUUAUCUCUAGAGUUAGACCUACCCUUCGAUUUUUCUCUACCCUUCUUACUUUGAAAAUGGUUCUCCCUUGUCUCAUUCCUCCAUCUAGCAAACAAACUCUCUUCUCUUGAGCUACCCCUCGACUCUUUCUUAAGCUCUAGCUCCCUAGCCUUCAAAGUAUCAGUCACAAUAUCUUAGUUCAAAUUAUCCCUAGCAUACGUGAUAGCAUUCCUAACAUCUCUAUAAGAUUCGGGCGUAGCAUUUAAAAGUAUAACCGCUAGAUACUCAUCACCAAAUUUCUUGUCAUUGUGGGUCAAACACUUGAUGAGUCUGUUAAAGUCACUCAAAUUUGAUUCAAGAUCCUUUUUCGGGUCCAGCUUAAAACUAAACAGUUUUUUAAGCAAAUGUAUUUUGUUUGGAAGAGAUUUUUCCAAAAAAAAGCUUGUCAAGUGCCUCCCACAACUCUUUGGUAGUCUUUUGUCGUUGAACUUGUCCUAACACAUCAUCAGAUAAAUGCAAUAUAAUCAAAUUAUGUGCAAUUUCAUUCAUCUCGGUAAUUUCAUCCGGUUUAACUUUUAAUGCAUCGGGAUAUUUUUUCGAGUCGUCAAGAGCUUUAGAAACUUUUUGUUGAAUUGAAAUAGCUUUUCAUUUUUUGCUUCCAAAUGGAAUAAUCUCCCUUACCAUUGAAUUGUGCCAAUUCAACUCGAGAGGCCAUAUUAGCAAAAUAGUGUUUUCGAAAAAAGUUUUACUUAGCCAAUUUACCCACACAUAAAUACAAGCUCAAACCAAUUUAUAUAUAAAUUACUUUCUAAGAUAACAUAAAUGAUGAUAUCAUAACAAGUAACACAUAACCAAUAUCACAAGAAUCAAGUAACAAUAUGACAGCGAAUAACACAAUAUUUCAAUUGUAAAUUCGAGAGGGUGUUAGAAUGCGCAAAUCGAGCGAACCAAUCUAUUGGUUCGUAUUUUAAGGAGAGAUGCGAGUCUUUAUCGAUUUGAAGCCUCCAGUAACUGCCCUAAGUCAUCCAACAGCUGCUGAAACACCAGGAAACACCACUGAGCCACCAACGAAAAAGUUUCUCCGUUUCCACUUUUUUGCCCAAGACUGUAUCUGCUUCCAAAGUGCACCAAACUGAAAUCCAACACCAUCAGAAGGUCAGAAAUUCAUCAAGGAACAAUUUGUCUUUUUUGACCUCCGGCCGAAAACUCCUCACGCGCCGCCCUUGUUCUCUGCGCAUGGUCUCACGUGCCAUCUCCACCGCCGACGCGUGUCCAACACGCGCUGCACCGAAAUGUUCUGCUUGAUGUUUGAAGUCUAGUGGUGGUCUCCGUUCGUCCACCAGAUGUGUAGUUUUUCCAGAAAAUGGGUUCAAAGUUUCUGCUCAACUUGUUUUCAAACAAAAUCGAAACCCUUCGACUUCCAAUCCGAUUUUCAUGUUGUUUUAACACUUUUUACCACUAGCCGAAGCUCUGAUACCAUUUGCAGAGUUUUAAGUGUAGAAUACAAAAAAUUAUUACAACUACAAUGCGGAAUAAUAAACUCUCAAAGUUUAAAAUCGAACCAAAACCGACUCAAAGCUUCUUCAACACCACCAAUGAAGUGUUCUUGAUGUUGAGCUCAGAUUUGUGCCAUACCAGAUCAUGCACCGUCGUCCACGGGAAUAGCAAUGGAUAUACAGAGAAAGGAUCCGCCGGAAGCCACCAAGAAUUUCGCCGGAGUUAUGGAAAGCUCCCACUUGGUUAUCUCUCUAUGCUCUCUCUCAAAUGUUAUGCCAAGUCCAAGUAGAGAGAAUGAAGAGGUCUUGAAAUUAUAGAGCCAAUUCAUUUGAAUUCAAAAUUUAAAUAUUGUACUAUGGUCUAGAGAGUGACAACACUAGUAUAGGUAAUUGACCACUAGAUUAAAUCCAACCAUUGGAUUUAAUCUAUGGUCCAUAUCACCCCAUAACUAGCACAAUCCAAGUCACAUUCAUUAGACCAAUCAACUUGCACCAAUACUAUGUUGUGAUCUACUUUUCAGUAAGUAUUUAAUUUUACAGUAGCAACUCUUUAUUCUUGUAGAAGAAUAUGCUCUUGGAACUUAAUAUAGGCUGAAGGGAGUUGGACUCUGUCAUGUGGCCUUGCUAAUACUCGAGGUUAAUUUUUAGUGUAGUCUUGGUCAAUACUCUAAUUUCCAUAAAAACACGUUUUUGAUUAUAUUUAUCUUGAUUUAGGAGUUGUUAUGGAAUUUUGAUAUUUUUUUCCAGGACUUGGAUUUUGGUUUCAUUAUAUGAAUCAACCACUUAUCAUUCUAGUACAUGCUUUUUCUGCAUGAGAAUUGCUUUAUUGCACUCUAGCUAAUGUCUAAUGCUCACUCAAAAUUUGAUGAAUGCAGGAAUAUCAGAAAAGUUGUUGGAAAAACAUCCAACUCUAAUGACAGAAGUAGAUGAUUUUGGAAGGAGUGCUCUCCAUUAUGCUGCACUACAUCGAUCCAAUGAAGUAGCAGAGGAACUAUUAAUGGCUAAUAAAUCGAUAGCAUGCGUAGUUGCAGGAAAAGAUAAAAAUAAGACGGCUCUUCAUAUAGCAACUUGUGAGGGGAACGUAAAGAUAAUCAAAAAGAUUUUAACAUAUUAUCCUGAUUGCUAGGAGAUGGUUACUGGAGAUGGCCAAAAUAUUCUACACCUUUCGGUGAAAUUCAAACAAGAAGAAGCAUUUAAAUUUAUCAUGAAAAAAUCAUGGGUUGGCAACCUCAUUAACCAAAAAGAUGCUGAGGGAAACACACCUCUCCACGCAUAUGCUGCAACUCCUGAUUUCUACAGCUGUGCUCUUGUAAACAAUCCACAAGCAGAGGAACGCUAUGAACAAGGAAAAUAAGACGCCUCUUGAUUUGAUAACGUUUUCCGAUGUUUAUUUAAAAAGACAGGUGAAGAUAAUCUCCUUUCAAUCCUUUUAAGGUUUAUUCAUUUUUUAUUUUCUGAAUGAAACAAUUUGACUUUCACUUUAUUUCUUAUACAACACGGAAAAACAAUUUGAAAGGUGCGAAAGGAGUGCGUUACUACUAUCCUCUUAUCAUAAUAAUGUGCCAAGUCGAACUAGUGAGUUUUCUAAAAUAAGUGAUGCUCUAAAUGAAAUGACAGAGGACAAAUACCUUCUUUUCCUGUAAUUGGUUUUAGGACUAGCUUGUUUUGGGUAGGAAAAACUACAGUUUAGGACAGUAUUAAAGAAGAGUUAAAAUCUUGUCCAUAUUAUGUGUACCAGACAUGUCUUGAUGGAAAAUGAGGAUACCAGAAGUCAAGUUUCCGUGUCUAACAAUAGUGUCUACCAUAGACAAUGUCGCUCAUGGAUAAUUUUUUUUCCAGUUUAUCUUUUUGUCUCUGAUUCAACUCCUUUGUUUGACAAAAUGCAGGGAGCCGUAAUGAAGGAAUUAAAAGCAAAUGGUGCUAAGCUAGUUGCCUCAAAUGCAAUGAUUCUUGAAAAUAGUUUGCUAUUGAUGAUGAAGAAGCAUUGUCCUAAAAAUAAAAGAACGGUUCCAACAGAUAUUAGAAAAAUAGGCGACACUCAUAUGGUAGUGGCUGCUCUCAUAAUAACAGUUGCAUUUGCUACCGAAUUUACUAUUCCAGGUGGGUAUGAUGGAAAUGAUGGCCCAAACAAAGGCCUGGUAACUUUAUCAAGAAAAGCUACUUUUAAAGCUUUCAUUAUAACGGAUACAUUAGCUAUGGCUUGCUCUGCUUCGGCUGUUUUUCUCCACUUCUUUGCAGCAGCUGAAAUUGACAAACGAAAGCUCAUGAAUCCGUAUCUUGCUACUGCAAUGCUUGUUAUGGUUGCCAUGGGGGUGAUGGUAAUUGCUUUCAUGACUGGGUUAUACGCGGUGUUAGAACAUUCUCGAGAACUUGCAAUCAUAGAAUGUGUCAUUUGCAGCUUCUGCUUUCUUGUUUUCUACUACCCAAUGAAAAGGGCAUUUAGGAGUGUAAAUUAUUUGUAAGUUUAUGCGAGUAUUCUGUUUUAUGCUUACUCCGUUGGGCAUUUUUCAUAUCUUCAUAUUCAUAUUUAAUUGCCAAAAGUACCCUAAUCUGAUAAAAGUUCUUAAUUUUCCAUUAAAAUCCGUAGCAUGAUGUACUAAACCUGCUAGUUGCAUUUGUUAAAAUGUUGAUUGUCAGUGUUAACUUCCAAUUAAAUGAUAAGUUGCCGUGGAAUCUGUUGGGAUGUUCACUCUGUUAUGAAUACAAAUUGUUCUUAAAGAAAGAAGAAAAAGAUAGAAAUGAGUAGAGAAAAUUAUUGGGUCCUCCCAAGAAAACUAUAACCCUCCCAAAUUACUGAUUUUCGAGGAACCAGUACCCUCCCAAUGACAACAUAAAGUUGCAAAAUAAUCAUCUAGGUACUAUCAUUGUCCGCUUAAAAAUUUAUUUCUUGUGUGAGCCUCAGUCUUUAAAACUCGUCUUUUAAGGCAUUGAUAUACUGGCGCACAAGCUUCACAUUGUCAAAGAAUUAAUGAGGCAGAGAGAUACAUAAUUAGACCCAACUAGCGCUAAUGUAUCUGUUAUUAUGAAAACUUUAAAAAGUCUUUUCCAGAUAAAAUUGGCGAGCCUCGGUUCAGGCCCUCAUUUAUGCUGUACGACUUGCAAUGUUGAUAUCCAGGAAAACAACCAUAGUUAUGAGAGCAGCUACUAUCAAAUGUUGUCGAAUAUUUUCUUAUGUCUAUUGAAGUGAACCUUUUUAUCUCCUGCACUUCAUCUGUGAUUUUGUUCUAUUAUUGUUCAUGAAAUUAUUUGUUUCGAUUUAAAAUUCACCACAAGUGUACAGUUCGUUAACAAAGUAGUAAAAUUGACUAUGAGUCCAAGUAUCAAUCCCACAAGGAUUGAAUUGGUUCAAAUCAACCUAUUAUGACCUUAACCGAAACACGAAAGUAAAAUUGAUGUUUUGUACUUUAACUAAAAAGAUUUAAACUUUGAUGCAAUUAUGAAUGAAAAAUUAUAUUAAAUGUAAAAAAAACUUGGAUGCAAUUUAACUCAAAUUUAUGAAUUAAUGAAUUUACUAACGCAUUAGGAUCACGAAUUUCCAGGCAAUACCCGUUCAAUUUUCAAUCAUGCAAAUUUGACACGCAAUUUCACAAAAGAUAAAUCAAUAUUCCUAUUUUAAUUUAGCAAUCUCUCGCAAGCAAUGCCAAACCUAUCCCAAUAUAUGAUUCGACUAUAUUUCUAUGACGAAUACUAACAUACCGAAAUGCAUUAUAAAUUCAUGAAUAUCCAUUAAUUCACACAAGGUAUAGAAGUAUAUUUAUAUCCCCUAUCGGACCCUAUGAUGAUUUAUACUAUGUCGAACAUAUUUUCCUUCUUUCGAAUGCAUAAAACAGGCCACCACAAUCACAUAAUUACGUGCACAAUAAUCAUAUGGAAAUAAAAACGUAAUAAACCAUUCAAUUCCGGAAUAUGCGCUUAAAGAUGUCAAAUAUCCAAAUCAAAAAUCAAACGUAGCAUUACAAGGUUCAUCGAUCUCCUAGAAAUGAAAAAUCUAGCCUAACAUGCUAAAAAGAAGAAAACAUAAAAAUAGUUGAAGAACGUCAUCACCCGAAUCCAUCUUCAAUCGAAUCUUCACUUGCCGCGAUGUUGUCCUCUUGUUCUCUCCUCGUUUCUCCUUCAAAAUCUUUCAAAAAUUUGUAAAAAUGGUGCCCCCUUCGUUCUGGUCGAGUUUUUGUUUAUCUAGAACCCUAAAAAUAUUGUUUCCAUAAGAGUUUCGACGGAAAAAAGAAACUGCAAUUUUACCCGAGAAUUGCUCUAUGCGACCGCAUAGAGCAACUCUAUGCGAUCGCAUAGAGUAAAAAUUUUCUUGCAUUUUAAGUUCAGUUUAGCUCUAUGCGACCGCAUAGAGGGUAGCACUAUGCGGUCGCAUAGUACUACCAAGUAUGAAAGGUGUUCAUUUUUGUCCUUCUACUUGAAUCCUUCACUUCUUGACAUCAUUUCUUCAUUUUUUUCAUUCUAUCAUCCCAAGAUAUCAUCAAUUGGCAAUUGGCUUAAUCAAUUUCUCGAUUUGUUCAUCGGGUCAACUUUUGGAUAAUUGCACCUUGCUCCCUGAACUUUUACUUUGCAUCAUUUUAGUCCCUUUUCGCAUCUUUUUUCUGAAUUUCACCAUGUUCAUCAUUGUUCCCUACAAUUCACAAAUGUAACGAGAUUAAAUCAUAAUUCAAUCAUUUUGCUCGUUAUUCAGUCAUGUUUGUGACCUAAAUAAGUGUGCAAAAACACACUUAUCAAACCCCCCAAACUUGAGCUAUUGUUUGUCCUCAAACAAGAUAAUGACUUAAUUCUGAACAAACAUGACUUAAUAUCCUGUUGUGGCUCAGGAUUGGACUAAGUAUUUAACUUUAUGAAAAUUUAUCAGUGCAAACAAGACACCAACUUUUACCUGUUAAAUGCAAAUUGACGUGUGUGUGUAAAUUCAUGCCAACAUAUCAGGUUCAUGAUGAAUUUGAGUCCCGACCCCAAGUGGUCAAAUGUAUCCUUACUCGCUCGAGAGAUACACAACCCCCCAAACUUAUUAUUUUCACUCAAUUAUCACGGGGCUGUGUUUUAAAAUUAGGAAUUUAUAUAGCGGUAAUCCUCACCCUCUCGUAGUUUAGAGUUAGCCUUAUUAUCACAAGUUUACAUUUCAAAAAGUGAAGAUUCUCCUAAGUUUGAUUGCUUCGACACUCAAGAUUAAACUAAGUUACUUGCCUCGCCUUAGAGGUAUAGUGUCUUUAACCAAAUGUCUAAGGACUUUUCAUCAUGUUAUUGUCUAUCUUUUGUUUUUCUGACCUUUCUUUAAUUUCUGAUUGAUUGUCAUCUUCUCAUUUGCUUUCUAUAUAACCCAUGUAACGAGUUUUAGGCCGGUGAUUCCCAAACCAGUUGGUUUUAGGGCACCAGAUUUUAAACCCUUGCAGGUUUAUUCACUCGAGUUAUAAAGGCUCGAUAAGAUGACUUUUUAUUAACUUCUUUCCCUCUUACUUUCUAUAUAAUCCAUGUAUCGAGCUUUGAGCCGGUGACUCCUAGGCCAGUAACGCCAGUUGGCUUUAGGGCACCAGAUUUUGAAAUAUCCUUACACGCUUACUUACUCGAGUCAUAAAGGCAUGAAAAGAAGUAUUUUAUUCUCACAUAUUAAGUUUGUGCCCUUUGUUAUGUUUCUAGACAUUUAGUUUCCAAAAUCAACCCCCAAUUUAAGAUUUUCACCUACUCUUCAUCCCACUGGUCCAGGUAAUCCAUACAAUAAAUUUCAUGCACGAAGUCCCCACUCAUCUUAAUGCUUUCCGAUAAUAGCUAAACUAUCACCAAACUGUCUUAAGGUAGUUUAUGGGUUAAUUCAAUAGAGGGUUAUCAUUCUUUUCCUGGUUUAUGCUCAAAAUCCAGUUAUUAUCCUAAUAUGUCAAGCAUGAAUAGCGUGCAUAGAUAAUGUCAAGUGUUGCAUCAACAAGUAUCAGUUAGUCUAAUUAAUACCAGAUCCAAAGUUUUACAGUUUACACUAGUCCAAUAAUAUCAUCAUAGAUAACAAGGUUAUCAAGCCCACACAAGCAUGCAUGAAGAGAUUUUAAAACAACUGAAUAAAAUGCAAAUUUUUUUUAUAGCACUCAUCAUGCAUACAUUAUGUAGUAAUGGAAAACAAUGUCAAAUAGAUAAUGAUGAACACGGAUAGAGAUUUAAAAUUAUGUCACCCUCCCUAAACUUAGUUAAUAUAUUGUCCUCAAAGUAAGAUUAACAAAACAACACUCCCUUGAUCAAAAUGGUGGCUGCGAAGGAAAGCUGGGUCCAGCAUCAUCAUCUCCAGGAGAGGGAGAAAGGCGGGAUAAGACCUCUCUCAACAUGGCAGACUGCUGGGACUGCUCCACCUGCAUGGUCUGAACCCUCGUCUCCAAGCUCCCUAGACGGUCCCAAGUCUCGUUUACUCGCCACUGUAUACCAUCCAUCCUCCCAACGUACAUGUCCAAUCGCCCAUCAAAGGUACUCAUCUUUCGACGUGCCGAGAGGGACUCACUGCUUGCAAUGGAAGCGAAGUUUUGUGUGGAUACCAUAUCUGUCUGCACCUGUUGGAUGGUAGUACUCAGUGCUCCAAAGGAGUGCUGAAGCUGCUGCAUGUCUCAACUGUGUCCAGUCAUAGUGGCAAACAUCUGCCUCAAUAACUGGGUGUCCACGUCAGCAGAUCUUGGUGGAGCUUGUGGCAUUUCAAAGUCCUCUGCUGCUUGCCCUUCUUUAGCCUGUUGCUGUUACCAGCGCUCGUUUUCCAAUUUCUAUUAAUGUUUAGUUCUGGCUCGGUCCUGGGUCUCGAGUGUGAGGUGCUUGAUAAAUGGACUUGGUUUCUCCGGUGCCUCUCCAAGCUGAACUUGUAUACCUGUAGCUCUACAAACCUUACUGAUCAAUCUCGGGAAAAUCAGUGAGGUGUGCCUGUCUCCCCAAGCGCCUGUAAUGUGUAUCUGGUUGUAAAUGUAAGUAGCCAAGUCAAUCUUGUUGCCCCGAACUAAGUGAUAGAUGAACCCCACCUUCUGAUUUGUAAAUGUUGUCCUAUGCGAGAUGGACUCGAUGUUGUGGCAGAUAAACAACCAUAUGAUGGUUAUAGAAGGAGUGAGGUCAAUCUGGUUCCAAUCAGCAUUAGGGAGAGGCCAAGCAUUUUCACGUCCCAAUAAAACUUCUGCAACUUCAACCCAGUUGAAAUCAUGCGGGACUAGGACAACAUUAGUCCAGGUCAGCUGAUAGUAGUCAUGAAUAACUUCGGGAAAAACAUGAUCCAUUUACCUCGAACCCAUGUUUGAUGCCGAUGAUCGGAUCCAGGUGUGUCUAUUUCAGCAUUGAAGUUGGUAUAGAAUUCUCACACCAAAUUUUCAUAGACGGGCUGUGGUCUUUCAAUCACUUUUUCCCAACCACAAUUAUGGAUUAAAUACACCAAUUCAAAACCCAGAAAAUCAUCCUACUUAACUGGUCUUUCGGGAAGGAAUGCCCACUCACGGACUACAUUGGCGUAACGGGCUGCUUGCUCUAAAAAUAGAAAUCGCCUGACACCCCCUUCGGGCUCCCUAGUCCGGGCUGUGCCAGAUGUGGAACCAACCUUCUCCUUUCUUUUUGAUGUUCACUUUGGAGGCAUCCUGCAAAAGUAUAUAAAUUACAGUCAUAAGCUGCAUUAUGAAAAACGAUAGGGGGAAUGAGAUUAGCAAGACAUGUACUUCACAAAUCCCCCAAACUUGCUUCAACAUGCAUAUAGAACUCCUUGGUGUGCACUUAUCAAAUCAUGACAUUCAAGGUAGUGUAAAUAGUAUGCCAAGAUGAAAAAUCGGAAAAUUAGGGCGAAACAUGCACGUAUGAAAAAUUUGACCCAUGACCGAACAGUCAUAAGCUGCAUUAUGAAAAACGAUAGGGGGAAUGAGAUUAGCAAGACAUGUACUUCACAAAUCCCCCAAACUUGCUUCAACAUGCAUAUAGAACUCCUUGGUGUGCACUUAUCAAAUCAUGACAUUUAAGGUAGUGUAAAUAGUAUGCCAAGAUGAAAAAUCGGAAAAUUAGGGCGAAACAUGCACGUAUGAAAAAUUUGACCCAUGACCGAGUGCGCAUGUUCGGCCCCGAACAUCAUCAAAAAAUAUCAAAACUUCCCCGAGCUAUCUCCAGGUAUAUGAAAGUAGAAAGUAGAUCUACCAUAUACUCAAAUUUCAAAGCAAUUGGACUUCGUUCGGAGUGUCAAAUAAUGGUGUAAAGUAGGGGACAUAGGGUGCCGUGACAUGCCGUGACCUAGCCAGGUGCCUAUGUAUUGCAAGAUGGAUAUGAUGUGUUACAUGUCCUUUCAAGUGUUUGUGAAUGUGGUAAUAUGCAAAUAUCAAGAAAACAUGCUCAAUAACGUAUAAGGAAGGCAAAAUAACAAAAUACACACAAACGGAGCCCAAAAGAACUAAAAUGUGUCAAGUGACUCGUGAUUAAGUGUGCGCUUUCAACCACGGACAUCAUCGAGAAAACUUGAAUUUUUCAUGAAAAACCUCCGGGCAUAUGAAAGUACGUAGUGUGGUGUGUCACAUAUUCAAAUUUCAUGUCCAUUGGAUGUCGUAGGGGUACUUAACGCAAGAGACGAAGUGGGUGCGGUGACAUGUCGUGGCCCUAACAUGUGUGUGGUUGGUGAGUGCGUGUUUCAAGCUCAAUUUUUAUGGCAUUUGAUCGCAAUGUGUAUGUUAAUGUGUAUAUUCAAAUUGUCUAAUGGGGAUUGUUCAAAAUACGUGAACCAUACUCCUAAACACCCAAAAUCAUUUCAAACUCACCGACCAUGUGUGUAAUGCCUAGAAAAUUAUGGGGAUGAUAAUUUGAUCCUAUUAACAUGCAUGUACGAACGAUGACCUAAAAAAAAUGCAAAUGCGAAAAUUAAAUAAUUCUAAAAAUAAUGUGAAAAGUUAGCUAAAUAUAAGGAUAUAGUGGGUUGCCUCCCACCCAGCGUUAGAUUAUAGUCGAUAGCUCGACUUUACCGUAUUGCGUCAUUUUGGUGGUCUAAGAUGAACGGUAGACUUUUCCUUUGAAAAAUCACCGCCCUAAUAGUGCUUGAAAUGCUGUCCAUCGACCUUGAAUUUUCCCUUGCUAUCGUGAGUGAUCUCAAUUGUCCCAUGUGGAAAUACCUGUGUAAUAGUAUACGGACCAGACCAUCUCAAUCGCAGCUUUCCUGGAAACAGCUUAAGCCUAGAGUUGUAGAGUAGCACUUUUUACCUCACCGUAAAUUCACGCCUCUGAAUGUACAUAUCAUGCCAUUUCUUGGUGCGUUCUUUGUAGAGUCUUGAAUUCUCGUAGGCUUCCAUUCUGAGUUCAUCCAGCUCAUUAAGUUGUAGUAGACGUUUUUCACCCGCAGCCUUCAAAUCCAAAUUCAAUUUCUUCAUUGCCCAAUAAACAUGGUGUUCUAUCUCAAGAGGUAAGUGGCAUGCCUUCCCAAAAACCAGUCGAUAUGGUGACAUUCCUAUAGGGGUCUUGAAUGUAGUCCUAUAGGCCCACAAGGCGUCGUCCAGUUUCUUAGACCAAUCUUUUUGUGACGAGCUUACUGUGACUUCGAGAUUCGCUUCAAUUGCCUAUUGGACACUUCGACCUGUCCGCUGGUUUGGGGAUGAUAUGCAGUGGCGACACGAUGUUUAACGUCAUAUUUAGUCAACAAUUGUUCAAACUGGCGAUUGCAGAGACGUUUGCCCCCGUCAUUGAUUAUAGCCCUCGAUGUGCCAAAGCGGGUAAAAAUAUUUUUCUUUAGAAACUCAAUCACCACCUUCCCAUUGUUGGUAGGCAAUGCAACAGCCUCUACUCACUUCGAUACAUAAUCCACGGCCACUAAUAUAUACUGAUUAGAGAAGGAUGGGAGGAAUGGCCCCAUGAAGUCGAUCUCCCAGACGUCGAAUAGUUCCACCUCCAGGAUACUGUUCAAAGGCAUUUCAUUUCUCGUAGAUAUAUUACCGGUGCGUUGAUAUCAGUCACACCUUUUCACGAAUUCAAAAGUAUCCUUAAACAGAGUAGGCCAGUAAAAACGUGACUGAAGGAUCUUCGUCGCUGUUUUUGAAGCACCAAAAUACCCUACAUAUGUAGAUGAAUGACAAUGUUCUAAGAUCAAAGGCACUUCUUCCUCAGGUACGCAGUGACGAACAAUUUGAUCAGCCCCCCGCCUGUAUAGAAUGGGGUCCUCCCAAAAAUAAUACUUCAAUUCAGCAAAAAAUCUCUUCUUUUGGUGACUUAAGUAAUCUGGCGGCAUGAUAAACCUGGCUAAGUAGUUAACUAUGUCCGUAUACCAGGGUACUUCCCCCACACCAAAAAUCUGUACAUUUGGGAAGACUUCAUUGAUUUCUACUGUCUCUGUCUGUUCUGUGGCCUCGAGUCGAGACAAGUGGUCUACCAGCACGUUUUCACUGCCCUUCUUAUCCCUGAUUUCCAAGUCAAACUCUUGAAGCAACAGUAUCCAAUGAAUGAGACGUGGUUUUGCAUCCUUCUUUUCCAUUAAGUACUUGAUAGCAGUGUGAUCUGUGUAAAUGAUGACCUUUGACCCCACAAGGUAUGAUCGAAAUUUGUCAAAGGCGUAGACUACGGUAAGGAGCUCUUUAUCUGUAGUGACAUAAUUUAGUUGAGCGUCGUUCAAAGUCUUACUUGCAUAGUAGAUCACGUGAAAUAUCUUAUUUCUUCAUUAUCCCAGUAGGCCCCAACAGCAAAAUCAUUGGCAUCGUACAUUAAUUCAAAUGGCAGAUUCCAAUCCGGUGUGAUGAUCACGGGUGCUGAAAUCAACUUCUCUUUCAAAGUGUUAAAAGCCAUCAAACACUCAUCCGUGAAUUAAAAUGUGGAUUCCUUCAUCAAUAAACAGCACAGUGGUUUAGUAAUAAGUUCUUUCCACCAGCUAAAGAAGCAAAAAUCAGACUGAAAAUUCAAACCUUUCAACAAAAAGAUGGGGAAAGCCAUCACGAGGCCUGGACAGAUUUAAGGAGUUGAUGAGGAAGUUUCCAAAUCAUGGGAUCACAAUUGGAAAUCAGGUACAGUAUUUCUACACAAGACUUUCACCACUAUCCAAAUCUCAAGUGGAUUCCUCUGUAGGCGGAUCAAUCAUAGGGAAAUCUGUGCAAAAAUGUAUGGAUCUGUUUGAGUUGAUUGCUACUGCUCAUUCCGUAUUUUCAUCAGAAAGAGUGGUGUCUCCAAAAGCAACGAAAAUUUAUGAAUUAGACAGCACAACAUCUACCAACGCCCAAAUAGCAGCAUUAACAAAACAGGUAGAGUUAUUGAUGAAGUCACAAACAAAAAGAGCACAUGCAGUGAUAACUGGCCCAUCCUACGAAAACGGUAGGGCAAAUCACCUAACAAAAAUUCGCACAUCUAUGGGCUUUUCGGAGGAACAAGUCAACUUCAUUCAAAAUGGCUUUUGAAAUUUUAAUCCCUUUUCACAAACAUACAACCCGAGAUGGAGACAACACCCAAACCUCAGAUGGUCGGAUAAUCAGCAAGGAAGCAGUUCAAACAAUAACCAGCCAGAGAAAAAACCAAGUUUGAGAGAGAUGUUCAACUAGUAUAUGCAGAAGACAGACAAGGUAUUCCAUCAGAUUGACACUAACUUUCAGAAUCAGUAGGUAUCCAUCAAGAAGCUGGAAACACAAAUUGGUCAGAUAGCUCAACAGCUUGCAGAACGCUCAUAAGGGACGCUGCCAGGUAACACAAUGGUCAAUCCAAAAGAGCAAGUGCAAGCUACAACAACCAGAAGUGGGGUACAACUUCUAAAGAUACAUGUGAAGAGACCAGAGAAAAAAAAUGAAGAAGUUAAAGAGGCUGAGAAAGAAGCAGAGUCUGAACCACUAACUAAUGAGAAAGAUGAAAGGAAAGAAACAUCCACAGUUAGAGCACCAAGCCCCGUGAAAGCUUAUGUGCCACCAAUUCCCUUUCCUCAAUGGUUACAAAGAAAGGAAUUGGACAAGUAGUUUGUCAAUUUUGUAGAAAUUUUUAAGAAAUUGCACAUAAAUAUUUCGUUUGCAGAUGCAAUAGCCCAAAGGCCCAGCUAUGCAAAAUUCUUGAAGGAGAUCUUGUUUAACAAAAGGAAGCUGGAAGAACAUGAUACUGUCUGCCUGAACAAAAAGUGCAGUGCAAUUCUAUUGUAGAAGCUACCUCCUAAACUAAAAGACCUAGGGAGUUUCACGAUACCUUGCACAAUUGGUUCUAAUUAUUUUGAACAUUCUUUAUGCAAUUUAGGUGCCAGUGUUAAUUUAAUGCCUCUCUCUGUUUACAGGUCUCUUGGAUUAGGAGAAGCAAAACCUACAAAAAUCUCAUUGCAACUAGCUAACAGAUCAAUCAAACGACCGAAGGGGAUUAUUGAAAAUGUGCUAGUCAAAGUUGAUAAAUUCAUUUUUCCGACUGACUUCAUCAUUUUGGACAUGGAGGAAGAUUCAAACAUCCCUCUAAUCUUGGGAAGACCUUUCUUGGCUACUGAAAGAGCGCUAAUUGAUGUUUACGAUGAAAAGAUUAUUCCUCGGGUGGACAAUGAGUAAGUCAUAUUCAACAUGUUCAAGGUGAUGAAACAUCCAUUGACUUCGGACACUUGUUGUCAAAUAGAUGUUCUUGAAGAGCUUGUGGCAGGUACAUUUGAGACUGAGCAUUGCACAAAUCUUUAUGAGGCAGAAGUUGCGCAAACGGAAGCAACAAAGGCAGGAAAAACUGAAUGAGUUGUCAACUUGGCUGAGCAACCAAUAGGAAGAAGACAUGAGCAGUAUAAAUCUCUUGGUGACAACCCUUCAUCCCCAGUACCCUUAGUGGACAAGGCACCCACUCUUGAACUAAAGCAUUUGCCUUCACAUCUCCGUUAUGCAUAUUUGGGAGAUGCUACAACACUUUCAGUAAUCAUCGCGAAUGAUAUGAUAAGGGAAAAGGAGAAUAAAUUGUUGGAGGUACUUAAGUAGCAUAAAACGGCAAUUGCAUGGACAAUAGCUGACAUCAGAGGAAUAAGCCUAACUCUUUGUAUGCACAAGAUUUUAAUGGAGGAUAGAUCAAAGCCAUCAGUGGAAGGACAACGCAGAUUAAAUCCAACCUUGAAAGAAGUAGUGCGAAAAGAAAUGCUGAAAUUGUUGGAUGCAGGUAUUAUCUACCCAAUCUCUGAUAGUUCAUGGGUGAGUCCAGUGCAUGUUGUGCCUGAAAAUGGUGGAAUCGUAGUGGAGAACAACGAGAACAACGAGCUGAUACCAACACGAUUAGUAACAGGGAGGAGAGUAUGUAUAGAUUAUCGAAAGUUGAAUAAUGCUACAAGAAAGGAUCACUUCCCAUUGCCCUUCAUUGAUCAGAUGUCAGAGAGGUUGGCAGGUCAUUCUCAUUACUGCUUUCUGGACGGAUAUUUAGGGUACAAUCCAUCAUUGAAGUCAGAGUGUGGGACUGAGCCUGUAGAAUGAGAAAGAAAAAAAGUGCUUAGUUUCCUUAUGGAACUUUUGCGUUUAGAAGGAUGUUAUUUGGUCUAUGCAACGCACCUGCAACCUUUCAACGGUACAUGAUGGCUAUCUUUUCUAACAUGGUAGAAAAGUACAUUGAGAUUUUCAUGGAUGAUUUUUCUGUGUUUGGAGAUUCAUUUGAUGACUGGAUUGGUUGUCUCUUGUAUUACAAAGAUACGAAGAGAAGAAUUUGGUGCUCAAUUGGGAAAAGUGUCACUUUAUGGUAAAGGAGGGGAUAGUGCUAGGCCAUAGGAUUUUCUCAAAGAGCAUUGAAGUUGACAAAGCCAAAAUACAAAGAAUUGAAAAUUUGCAACCUCCUAAUUCAGUUAAGGGAAUCAUAAGCUUCUUAGGAAAUGCAGGAUUUUACAGAAUGUUCAUUCAAGAUUUCUCAAAAAUUACAAAACCUCUGUGUAAUCUACUGGAGAAGGAUGUGCCAUUUCACUUUUCUGAUGAAUUCUUAAAUGCCUUUAAUACUUUGAAAGAAAAGUUAGCUUCUGCACCUAUAAUAGUAGCACCUGAUUGGGAUCUACCUUCUGAACUUAUGUGUGAUGUUAGUGAGUUUGCAAUCGGAGCGAUGCUUGGCCAACGUAAAGGAAAAGUGUUACAUGUAAUCUACUAUGCAAGCAAAAUCUUGAUAGAUGCUCAGAUCAACUAUGCAACAAUAAAAAAAGAGAUGUUAGUAGUGGUCUUUGCUUUCGACAAAUUUCAUUCCUAUCUGAUUAGUUCAAAGGUGAUAGUCUACACUGACCAUGCAGCAUUGAAAUAUCUGUUUGAGAAGAAGGAUGCUAAACCUAGGCUAAUUCGAUGGGUUCUAUUACUACAAGAGUUUGAUAUUGAAAUUCAAGACAAAAAGGGUACAAAAAAUUAGGUAGCGGAUCAUUUAUCAAGACUAGAGCAACUGCGUGACUCAGAUGAUGUGGAUAUUAAUGAGGUCUUCCCAGAUGAGCAGUUAUUGUAGAUAGAAAAGGCUCUGUGGUAUGCAGACAUUGUUAAUUACUUAGCUAGUGGCUAUAUGGAUCCUAAUCUCAUCUAUCAACAGAAGAAGAAGCUACUUCAUGAAGCAAAAUUCUAUUAUUGGGAUGAUCCAAAUUUAUACAGGAGAGGGGCAGACCAGAUCAUUAGGAGAUGUGUACCAGAGGAUGAGAUGAAAUCUAUCCUUUCACGAGUUCAUGCUUCGGCUUAUGGAGGACACUUUGGCCCACUAAAACAACAGCAAAGGUGCUUCAUUGUGGUUUCUUUUAACCUACACUAUUCAAGGACUGCCACAAUUUCUGUAGGUCAUGUGAUAAGUAUCAGAGAACAGGCAACAUAUCAGAGCAUCACGAGAUGCUACUGAACAACAUUCUAGAGGUAGAAAUAUUUGAUGUCUAUAGGGUUGAUUUUAUGGGUCCUUUUCCAUCAUCUUACAACAAUCGGUAUAUCCUAGUGACAGUUGAUUAUGUUUCUAAAUGGGUAGAAGUUAAAGCAUUGCCUACAAAUGACGCAAGGGUGGUGGUGGACUUCAUAAAGAAAUACAUCUUUAACCACUAUAGACCACCUAGGGUCAUAAUAAGUGAUGGUGGAAUUCACUUCCGCAAUCGGUUAUUCUAGGUAGUGCUGCAUAAGUACGGGGUACAAAAUCAAAUUGCCACUCCUUUUCACCCUUAGACAAGUGGACAGGUGAAAACCUCGAACAAACAAUUGAAAAGAAUUCUGGAGCUCAAUGUGAAUGCAUCUCGCAAGUAUUGGUCAAAAAAAUUAGACGAUGUUUUAUAGGCAUAUCGCACUGCUUACAAGAUACCUAUUGGGAUGUCCUCAUAUCAACUAAUCUUUAGAAAAGCAUGCCACCUACCAGUGGAGUUUGAACAUAGAGGAUACUGUGCAUUGAAGCAGUUAAACAUGGACCUCGAAAAGGCUGAAGAAAUAAGAAUAUUGUAGCUACAUGAAUUGGAAGAAUUCAGAAGAAAAGUAUAUGAGAAUGCAGUCAUCUACAAGGAAAGGACAAAGCAGUGGCAUGACAAGAACAUCAGGCAAAAAAAAUUUAGAGUGGGAGAUCAAGUGCUUUUAUACAAUUCCAAACUGAAACGGUUUCGAGGAAAGUUGAAAUCAAAUGGUCCAACUCUUUUACGGUCUCUUAGGUAUUUUCCUACGGCACAGUUGGAUUACACCGUCCAACAAAAGGGAACUUCAAAGUAAAUGGCCAACGUAUCAAGCACUACGUGGAAGAUUUUCCCACCGCUAAAAAGAGCCCUGACCUAGCUAUACCAGAAUAAUCGCGGCACAAAGUCCAACUAAUGACUUUAAAGAUGCGCUUAUUGGGAGGCAACCCAAUUUUCAAACUUUUUAUUUUGCUUUUCGUAUCGCAUAGAACAUAGUUUUGUUUUGUUUACUAGGUUGCAUUAGAUUUAGGCACGUUUCAAUUUUUAGGAGUCAUCACCCAUAUCCCUUUUGCCCUCAGACCCUUGAAUUUAUUGUUGGUUAUUUUGAUUGUUUGAGCUAAGUAAUCCUUGUUCCCUGUAUUUAAUUUGUCAAAUUUGAUUUUUCAGGAACAUGACGUCGUGGAAUACUCAAACCAACAUAGAUCCAAGGGAAAGAAUGAUGAAGAAUAUUAUCCAGCCAUCACACAUAGUGCCUCACACAUUUAACAGAAAAAUUUUGGGAGUACCUUCUUCCUUUUCUUCCCUACCCUCUUUAUGCGCUUAUUUAUACUUUAUGACAUUGAGGACAAUGUCAAUUUUAAGUUUGGGGUGAUUAAAAAAAAAACCUUUAGUUUUUGUUUUUUUUUUUUUUUUUUUUUUUUUUUUUUUUUUUUUUUUUUUUUUUUUUGUAUGUUUUUAUGUUUUUGUGUAUUUGUUUAAAAAAAAAAAAAAAAAAACUUUUGUUCAUUUGUGUGUUUGUGUGGGUUAGACAGCUUGGCAGAUAAUGAUGAUUUAAUUUGAGAUUUGGUGUUGACUUAUGAACUGUGGAUAGGAUGCAUGCUAGACAAAUUGAGGCCCAACCUUGCAAAAUUUGAUAUUACAAGCGCACUAUAAUUGAAUUUGAUAUCAUGAUUAAAUGAUUUAUUUCUUGCUUUGGAUAGGUUGAUCUAGUUAGACAUAGAUGGUUUACCUAAACCAUAUUAAAUUAUCUAUCCUUAGACCAAAUUUAGCACAGUUUGUGAGGUGACUUUGCAGUUGUAAGAAGAUGCAGAUGUGAAUGAGGAUACCAUGUGUGAAAAAAUUUAUGUGUGGAUUAUCUUAUACUAACAUAAUAAACUCUGCCAAAGUCUUAAGUUAAAGGUCGAUUUGUUUGAAGAAGUGUGUGAUAAGGAGCAUUGCACUAAUCAAGGCAUAUACAUUUGAAAAAUUUAAACUUCUCUCUGAAACCUUUAUGACUCGAAUGAUUAAGUUUGUAAGGGUAUUUUAAAAUCUGGUGCCCUAAAGUCGUUUGAUUUGGGAGUCAUCGGCCUAAAGCUGGUUACAAUGGUCAUUUAGAAAGCCAUUAGAGACGAAGUUGCACUUAAAAAAAAAAAUUGUUCUCUUUGAAGCAUUUUUUACUCGGGUCAGUAAACCUGUAAGGGUAUUUAAAAACCUGGUGCCCUAAAAUCAUCUGGUUUGAGAGUCAUCAGUCUAAAGCUUGCUACAUGGUCAUCUAGAAAGCUUAAUGGAGAGAAUAUAUAUAUAUAGUGUGAAAAAUAGAAAAAGCAAGUGCAUGAAAAGAGCAAAAAAACUAAACACCUUGGUUAAACCCUAACACUUAUUUGAGAGAAUUCGACUUUUGAUGCAAGAUAAUUAGCUAGUUAAGUCUUGGAGGUCAAAGAAAUCAAAUAAUUGGAGAAUUCCUUGUUCACUGAAGUGUUGACUUGCAACUAGUAACGUCAACCUAAACUCGAGAGGGUGAGGAUAGUAAUGAAAUUUUCAGCCUUAAAUUACACACUGGAAAAGAGUGAAAAAGAAUAAGUUUGGGGGUAUGUGAAUCUUACGAGUGAUGAAAGGACAUAAAUGAUCAUUAAAAGUCGGGAAUUGAAAUAACUUGUGCAGUCAUUGUUGAUUACUCGAUUCUUCACACACACACGUCAAUUUUUGCAUUGGAAUAGCGGAUAUUAGUUUGGUACUGUGACUUUGAAGCAUGUUUAUAGAGUAAACACUAAAUCUUGAAUCCUGAGGCAAGCAGCUCGAUUGUCCAACCGAAUAUUUUUGCAUGCUUGUGUGUUAAUUAUUUUUUAUUUAUAGUUUUGUUUGAGAACAAACAAAUGUUUAUGCUUGGGGUUAUUUGAUAAGUGUAUUUUAUACACUUAUUCGGUACCUUAAAAUAAAGAUAUUUGAUGGUCCUUUUGACAAAUUAUAUCCUAAAUUAUUGUUUCUUAUUUUUAAUAGGUAAAUUUAUGAAUGAAAAGGGAAUUGAAGGAAUGAAGCAAAAAAGAGCGAAAUCCAAAAGUUGGGGACCAAGUUGUAAAAAUUCAAUAGUUGAUCCGGACCAUGAAUCGAAAAUUGAAGAAUUUGGAGGUCAAAUUGAAUAUUUUGGAAGGUGAAGGACUUGAAUUGAAUCAAAGAAGACAUGAGUUGCAAGAAUAAAAGAAUUCAAGGAUUGAAUUGCACUACCUUGGAAGAUGGAGGACUUGAAAAAUAAUUUAACUAUUAAUGACAUCAAUUGGUGAUCGAUUUGACAUCUACAUGCAUGCAUGAAUUAAAAAUCUUAAGGGCUGAGACGGUUGGCAGUAGAUAGAGUCCUUUGUUUGGUCAAAUAUUGUGGCUAUUAGGUUUUGAUAGUAAUAUAUAUAUACACAAAAAAGAAAGGGAAAAGGUGGAACGCACAGAAAUUGGUAGAGCAGCCAAUUUUAAUAUAUAUUCUUACACUAUAUUAUAGAAAAGCACGGAACUUUAGGAAGAAUUUAAUAUAUUCUUACACAUACAUUCUGCAAAAAGGGAAUUGACACUGACGGAGAGAGAAGAGAUUUGGAGGGCUGAUUUGUUGCUCAAAUUAAUAGACAUACAAGCACGGAAAUUUAGGCAGCUUUGGUGGAAUUAAUCGGGUGCUGUCUGCCAAUAUCAAAGACAUAUAUACAUGUGGGCAGCUGGCGACAGGAGGAGAAACCAAUUUUGCUGAAUUGAAUUAUAUACAAACACGACAGAGACACGAGACGAGAGAAACACGAAGAAAAAAAAAAGGCAGCAGUUUUAUUAAUCAUAUUCCGUCAAUUUUCGGCGAUGUCUUCCAUUAAAUUAUCCUUUUUUUUCAUUAAUAUUAGUAGCUAAAUUUAAUUUUAGGGCGAAUAAUGUAACUGAUUUGGGAUCUUUUAUUUCUUUUAUUUGAGAUUCUUAUUAUUUUAUAUUUUAUGUGUGAAUUUUAAUUAUGUUUUUAAUGCUUUGAAGUUUCGGGCCAAUUAUUCAAUGAUUUCGUGAACAAUAAUUACGUAAAGAUGCGGAUUCUUGUUUAGACCACAUAUUAAAAUUCGGUAAAUUAAUAUAACGUGUAGAGAUACCCAUAUUAAUUACUGCGAUCCUAUAGAAAUUCUUAGAACUAUUAUUUCGUUUAAUUAAAUUUAAUUUGCACAGAGAUAUGUAAUUGAACUAAUUAAAUAGGUUCAACGAGAACUCGAGAAGGGUAAAUUGAAUACAAUAGAAGAAUUCGAUCGAACACUAUUUUAAUUUUAUGAAUCUCAAUAUCAGAAAUAAAGGUGACCAAUAGGUGAAGUUGUUCCGUCCUAAUCUCCAUUUAUUAUUUGAGUUCUCACUAAUUUUCAGUUGCAUUCCCGAAAUUUUUAGUAGUUAGAUUUAAAAAUGACGGUCUAUCAAAUUUAUUUAUUUUUUAAUUUAUUUUCAUCAAAUAGAAGUUAGGAAUAAUAAAUUGAAUACUAAAAUAUAGUUCUCGCAGGAACGAUAAUCCGGACUCAAAAGAUCCAUUCUACUACUUGUUACGAUCCGUCCACUUGCGAGAUAAAAUCGACAACAUUUUCUAACUAAAUUAUUGUCAAACGUUAAAGUUUGUGCUGUGGUUAACUGGUCAGCUGUGUGCAGAUGGCGAUGGCCGUGUUUGCAUAUAUCUACUACCAGUCAUUCGUCGUAUCUGAAGGCGUAUAGAUGAGGUUAUUAAUUAUAGACCAGGUAGAUAGCACAAAAUGAAGAUUUUAUGAAUUGAACAUGUGAAAAUGAGUAGAUAUUAACUUUGUUUUUCAUGCAAAUAUUGAUAAAUCAAAUGUUUGAGGAGCAACAAGCUUGUUCAUGAAGCUCGAGCAAAUCAUCCAGGAGAGGCAAUUUGGUCUUGAAUCGGGAAAACUUACCUCGUAUAAUUUGUAUAGCUCUCAUUUUCGCAUGUCAUGUACAUGUUAUGUUUUCUCUUCCUCGUUCUACGCAAACUUUUACAAAUGUAUAGUUGAAGGCUUUAUGACACGUGUCUUUUUGUGCAUUUUAUAGUUCUGUCUUCCAUUAGGUUUCUGAUAUUUCUAUUGAUUAAUAUUACAUGUUAAGACAAUAUUUGUGUUUUAGUUACUUUUCCCUUUUCUUUUGUUUGUAAAAUCUGCUUUGAUUUAAUUAGAAAAUUUUGUGGAAAGUGGCUAGAUAGUUCGGCCUACAUUAUGAUUUUCCAGCUUUACAUAAUCUUGUUUCGUCGUUUGUCUACAUCUUCCAUAUGGCAAAAAUAACCUUGAUAUUUCUUACUAUCUUCCAAUCCGACUGAUAAGUGUGUUUUUUUUUUUUUUUUUUUUUUUUUUUUUUUUUUUUUUUUUUUUUUUUUUUUUUUUUUUUUUUUGCACACUUAUUUGAUACCCAAAUAAGCUAAUUAGGGAUUUAAUUGAGCGAAUUUCUAUUCAAGAUUGUGUAUUUAUGGCUUUCGUAGGCAAAAAUCACCUAUGGAAGGAGAAUAAGGCAAAAGGAGGAGAAAAUGAUUGAAAUAGUAAAAAAUCAUGAAUUGGAGACCAAAGUGCAUAAGUAAGAAAGUUGGUGGACCUUGGGUUGCAAUUUAUGUAGGGCAAAAUUGAUAUAAAAGUCAAAUUUCGUGGGCUAAAACGUACAAUACUAAAGUUAAGGGACUUGGCAUGCAAAUUACUGGAGGACUUGUAUGCAAAAAAAAAAAUGAAACAGGCACCAAUUGAUGGUUUUUGGCAGAAAGGUGGCGUCUAGGCACCACUUUUAAAACUUGGGGACCAUUUUUAAUUUAUUUCCAAGCCCUAGGGACUUGGCUGCAAAUUUUCUAGGAUUUAAUACUAAAAAAAUGGGCAGCAGGGGUAUUCGACUUCUUCUGCUUCCUUUUGCUUUUCAUUUUCUUCAUUUCUUUUUCUUUUCUUCAUUUCUCUUACAUUUCUUUUUGGUAUUUUGGGGGUAAAACAUAGAGCAAAAGGAGAAAUAUUUAGAGAACUCAAGAUUCAUCAAUUGCAACCUUCAAGAAUUCAUCCAAACAAGGGUUUUUACUAUAAUCUUGUUGUUUCUUCAUUAUUUUCUUCUAUUUGUGAUAUAUUGUAUGAACAUUCUCCUUUGUUAUCACAAAUAUAAAAUGAGCUAAGUUACUUGUGUUGAGACUUGUGAUAGUAGUUUGACCCAACUUUAAUUCAUUUCAAUAUUUGCUCCUUGAUGUUAAAAUACUUAUUUCAUGUGUAGUUGCUAUUGAUUUCCAUGUUAUUCAUUUAUUUGUUCAAUAAGUGUUUGUGUUAAGUGAUUUGUACGAUUAUUGAGAAAUUCUUGUGCAUUUUAGACCACGAAGUAAAUAACCUUUUGUUCUUGUAGAUGAUAGAGAUAUACCCCUCAUCCUAUGUAGUCCGUUGAGCUAUUUUCACAAAAAUUGAAUGUAAUUGUUUGAUUUUAAUCGACAUAGAGAUAUAGAUAUUCCUCUCAUACUGAAGAAAAUUAUACAUGCAAAGUAUUUUAAAGAACAUGCUAAAUGGUAUAACAGCGACAUGCUUAUGGGAGAUUAUAUGUACUGGGAUAGGUUUCAAUAAUGGGGGUAUAAUCCAUUCGACUGAGUUAAUAGGAAAGACUUGCCAUUUCCAUUGAGAUUGAUUGCAGACCAAUCAUUCAACCUGAUGAGAGUUUAACUAUUGAAGAAGAGCCUAAAAUUAGUGAAAUUAAUCACAACGGAGCUAAACAAGGAUAUGAUAAUCAAUGAGAAUGAAAAUAACAUACACUCAUGGAUUGCUUGGAAAUCGAUUUUGUGAUUAAGCUCAAUGAGGAGUUGAAAAUCUUCAUAGUUGGAUUUGAAUUAAAUGAAAUAUGCAAGUCCUAUUAUAAUGAAAGGAACAAUAUUGAGUAUUGGAGAAAUAAUAAAGUAAGCAACAAAGUCAUAUGAAGAAAAAAAAAAAGACAUCCAAAGCCUUCUUUAGAUGCCCAUGAGUUAGAGUAAAAGAUUAUAAAAUAAUGUUUAUUGGGAGGCAACCCAAUUUUCUAACUUUUAAUCUUUUUAUUUAAUUUUAUGCAUUUUCUCAUUUUUUAUUUGAUUAGCUAUCAUUGUUUUUGUAGGUAAUUUUUAAAAUCCCAUUUAUCCAUGGUUCCAAGCUAAGUUUGGCAUGAAUUGGUAUAUAAGAAGGUUACUUGCCCAAUCUAUUCAAGAGCAUCACAAGUCCAAAUCGAGCAUUGAUACCUCUUCAUGAAUGUACGAUCGCGAAAGUUUGGUUAUCCCUUCUUCUAUUUUAUCUUGUUCUUUUACACAUCAAGGAUAAUGUGUGAUUUAAGUUUGGGGUAAUUGUGCUUAAAUUGUUGUGAUUUUGUGUUGACAUGUGAGAUUAGCCUGGCAGGUUUAGGAUUGUUUGAUAUUUAAAAUUAUUGUUGAUUCAUGAGCUAUGCAUGACCAAAUAUGUCAUUCGUGCCCAAUAUUUUUCAAAAAUUUUGCUUGUCCAUAUGAGAUUCCAAAUCACUUUGAGCAUAAUAGUCAUGAUUAAUUAUUAUCUAGCUGUAAAACUUUUUGAUAGAUGGAGAAAAUUUUGAAUUGGUAGAAUUAGGUUGUGUGUUGUUUGAAAAUUUAUAUCAAUUUACAUUCUUUAUCACUUAACCUUAUUGUGAGAUAAGUUUGUGGUGAUCAAGCUAGUGAAAAAUAUUACCUAGAUGUGUGUUGAUUCCACGAAUGUUGAAAAAAUUUUGUGUAUAGUAUCAUUUGUUAAGUGUAAGCUAGGUAAAGACGAUAUGCUAGAGAUCUAAACCACAUUAGUUUUGUUGUACUUAAAAAAAACAUUGUACUUGUUGAAUUUAGGCUUCAUUUCGUAGCCUUUUUAAGUUGAGUUAUUAAGUCCAUAGAGGUAUCUCAAAACCUGGUACUUUUUGGUCUACAAAAUUGAGGAACUAUCAAUCUAAAGCUCGCUACACGGAUCAAGAAGAAAGCUUAAGGGAGAGAUGUCAAUCAUGAACUUCAAUUGAAAAUUUAGUAGAAAAAUUGUGCAAUUGUAUUUGAUGUUUGGCCUUAGAUAACUAGUGUGUUUGAAUUACUUAGUGCAAGUUUAGAUUAUUUUUGUUAGCAUUUAUUUGGAGCAUAUUCGUGAAAUGAUUAUAAAAUUUUACUCAUUGAUUUUUAUUUUUUUGCAAUCUAACUAAUGUAUCGAUCUUUAUCUCAUUUUUCAUUAUUGUGAUAAUUGUAAUCUUGCUCGGGACGAUUAAGAGCUUAAGUUUGGGGUGUUGAUAAGUAUGUUUUUGUACACUUAUUAAUACCCAAAUAAGCUAAUUAUGAUUCAGUUGAACGAAAUCCAAUUCACAAUUGUGUAAUUAUGGCUUUUGUCGGCAAAAAUCACCCAUGGAAUGAUAAUAAGGCAAGAGGAGGAGAAAAUGAUUGAAAUCGUACAAAAAUCAUGAAUUUGGGGAUCAAAGUGCACAAGUCGAAAAGUUGGAGGACAUUGUGCUGCAAUUUAUGAAGAGCAAAAUUGAUAUAAAAGUCAAAAUUCUAGGGCUAAAAUGUACAAGAAAAAAGUUGAGGGACUUGACAUGCAAAUUGCUAGAGGAUUUGUGUGCAAAAAUUAAACAAUGAAACUAGAACCAAUUGAUUAUUUUUAACAGAAAGGCACCAAUUUUAAAACUUGGGGAUUGUUUUUAAUUUAUUUCCAAAACUUGGAGGCUUGGUGCAAAUUUUCUAGGAUUUAAUACUUAAAAAAAAGGCGGCAGGGGUAUUCGGCUUCUUCUUCUAUUUUGUAUUAUUCUUCUUCAUUGUACUUUUCAUUUUCUUCCUUUCUUUAUCUCUCUUUCAAUUUAUUUAUUUAUUUAUUUAUUUAUUUAUUGGUGUUUUAGAAAUAAAACCAAGAGCAGAAGGAGAAUAUAUCAAGAAAAGUGGAGAAAUAUUUAAGAAACUCAAAAUUCAUUAAUUACAACCUUCAAGAAUUCAACCAAACAAGAAUUUUAUCUAUAAUCUUGUUGUUUCUUUAUUAUUAUCUUCUAUUUCUAAUAUAUUGUAUGAAUAUUGUCCUUUGUUAUCACACACAUAAAAUGAGCUAAGUUAUUUAUAUUAAGGCAAUUUUUGUAUUAUUUUUUUUAUUUUUUUAUUUUUUUUGUGUUUUGGAAAAACAAUCAAGAGCAAAAGGAGAAUACAUCAAGAAAAGUGGAGAAAUAUUUGAGAAACUCAAAAUUCAUUAAUUACAACCUUCAAGAAUUCAACCAAACAAGGAUUUUAUCUAUAGUCUUGUUGUUUCUUCAUUAUUUUCUUCUAUUUCUAAUAUAUUGUAUGAAUGUUCUCAUUUGUUAUCACACACAUAAAAUGAGCUCAGUUAUUUGUAUUGAGAUUUAUAGUAAUAGUUUGCCCUAACUUUAAUUGAUAUCAAUAUUUGCUCUUUGAUGUUAAAAUAUUUAAUUUUAUGUGUAUCUACCAUUGAUUUCAGUGCUAUUCAUUUAUUUGACCAAUAAAUAUUUGUGUUAAGUGAUUUGUGCAAUUAUUGAGGAACUCUUGUGCAUAUUAGACUAUGGAGUAAGUACCCUGGGUUGCUGUAGGGGAUAGAGAUAUAUCCUUAACCUUUUGUGGUCUAUUGAGCUAUUUUCACAAAAAUUGAAUGUGAUUGUUUGGUUUUAAUUGACAUAUAGAUAUAAGAGUUAAAUCAAUCAAUUAGGGUUAAUUUCUCCCAAGAUAGAUAAUUAACUAAAAUUGAAAAAUUGAACCUAACAUUGGAAAUGAGUAAUUUGUUAAUUUUCUUGUGGGGAAUUAAUUAGGCAAUGGUUAAGCGAAAGUAUAAUUACAACCACGCUUUCCUCCAAAAUUUCGAAUUUUUUGUGUUUUCUUAUUUUUAUUGUCCAUGUGUUUCAUUGUUAUAAUUAAAUUGAUUAAAUUUGUGUAAUCAAAAGUAAACAUUCUUCGAGGGAUUGACAGUACGGACUCAAAAAGUCCACUUUAUUACUUGAACAAAUCCGUGUACUUGUGGUUUGCACUUUUUAGCGAACACCAACCUACCUUGCCAUCAUCCAUCUUGCGCCCCACAAUGGAAGUGAGCGGCCAUGUUAGAAAGCUUGGGAAGAUAGGUCGAAGGAGGUAGCAGAAAGAUGAACGGGAAGUGGGUAGUUUUAUUUCAAAAGGUAACCAAUCAGGUAAAGUAGCUCAAUUCCUUGUAAGCACAUUAUUUACCUUAUGUCUAACCGAUGUAGAACAUUAUUCGUACAUUUUCAAAAAUUUUCCAUCCCACAUGAUUUAAGUUUCGAGAUAAAGUGGCCCGCGAACUUGCUUCUUUCGCUAUUUAGGUUUGAUUGUUAGUACCUUAUUCCUUUCCCGUUUCAUCUGUUAUUCACAGUGAUAUAAGUUACUGAAGUUGAUGUUGGAUUUCAAAGAACAAAAUAAUUCUGCUUGCUAAUAUUAAUCAAGAAUCAAAACAUAGUUUUCUUGAGACAUAUAUGAUGAUGAAUGUUUCAAACUAUGAAUAAAAUAAUUGUCUCAAAUCUGUUUCCAGACUAAUAAAUUCGGGCAUUGAUUUCAGUUAUAGUAAUCAAGUGAAUACAAUUUUCAGCAGACAUAUUUGGUUCUUCUAUAUAGAAUAAAUAAUGCUACAUAGCAACACUGGUGUUGCAAACCCAGUCUAGAUGGCAUUAGAUGAUUGGUUACUAGAAAGGUAAAAUUAAAUGAGUUGUUUAAUUCUAGCACCACCUAGACUGAGAUUGCAACUGUUAGGCAAAUUGUUAUCAAAUAACUUCCUACAGGCUAUGACGUUAGUCGAUUUUAUUUUUUCAUUCGGCUUAGCAAAAUGACUGAACAAAAGUUUAACACCACAAUCCAAAUGAUACAACCCAAAGGUUAAUUGGGCUACUUGAAGCAACCUGAAUAUUUUAGUGUUGCUCGUAGACCAAUCCACUUCCUUGGAUGGCCAUAAUUGAGAGAAAUUAUUUGUGAGUCCAUUUACUUACCUAUUAGGUCUCUACUUUGAUCCAUCUAUUAACCUAAUUACACUUACCAUAGUUGGGCCAUUCUCUCUAUGUGAGAGACGUCCUCUGUCUCUCUCUUGUUCGGCCGGUUCUACGAGAUUUUUUUCUAUUCUUUCUGUCUCUUUUGAUCUCUACCUCUAUUGAUGGUAAUAUAUGAGAUAUAGUACACCUUGUGGUCUCCUAAGUGAACUAUCUCAUUGGCAAUCGGAAGUGGUAGCUUGGUUAUUAUCUUAGGUCGUUGUUAUCUGGUUGUGGUGUUAGAAGUUGGAAAUAACUGAGCUUGGGCAAGCUUUGGUGUUCAAUAUACUUCAACAUCUGGUAUCAGAGUGUGGGUUAUCAUAAUCUAGCAAGAAUCAAAACAAAAAUUGGAAGAAACAUGUUUUCUUCAAUCUGAUCGAAUUUGAAAAUUUCAAUUAAUCUAAAACCAGACCUCCGUUGGACGAACGAAGGCCUGACCCACGAUCAGCAAGUCGAGGCACUCCCUAUGAGGUGACACGUGGCAGGAGGCAGUGCGUGGAGGACCUCCAGCAUGAUUUUUUCUUACCAUUUCAUUUAUUUUAAUCUCCUAAACGUACUGAUGUGUUUGGUUUAGUGUUACAGGUUGCGCAAGAAAAUUUGGAUGAUUUUGCCCCUGAUCUUCAAUCUGCAUUUGUGGCUAAUUGGAAUAGGAAAAUUUGCUGAAUCUUUAGGGCGAAUAGUGGUGGCCCUAAAGCAGCAAAUUCGCAGCUAUCCACUUUACAGACUCAAAUAGGUCCGCUAUGGUAAAUUGACUAAAACUUUUACAUUAUUGCACUACCAGAUCAUCAUGUGAGGCAAUCAUUAGGACUGGGGAUUGUCAUUGCUUGACAACCAUUGCUUGUGUUAGAAAAUUAGGAUUACUUGCUCUUAACUAAUUAAUUGAGUACCUGUCUUUUGGUUAAAUUAGUGUUUAGUUCUUAGUGAUGGAAUACUGUGAAACUAGUUAUUUGUUAGACGUAUCUUUUGUUGCAUUGUUACUUUCCCUGCUUAUUAAUUUCGCUAGAAUUAUCGAGACCUUACCCUUUCGAACCUUUCCUUGAUCUAAGAUCGUGGUCUUACGAAACCCUGAAAACUAGAAUCGUGUACACUAUCUGUGACCCUAGGACUACUUUAUGUGGUCUGAUUGUGUUUGUGCAUUUUUUGGCUAUUCUGUGAAAAUGAUAACUCACAAUUUUGAUUUGAGAAUUUUUAACGAAAAGGGUGAUUUUUCAAUUUGGCAACAAAAAAUAAAGGGUAUUUUAGUCCAACAAAAUGUUUCAAAAGCUAUUGAAAGCAAUUCUUCAACUGAUUUUUCAAAAGAACAAAAAGAAGAAGCUAGUGAGCUUGUUUAUACCUCAAUCAUUUUACUUUGUUUGAUGUCGUUUUGAGAAAGGUGGGUAAACUGAAAACCACCAAAGAACUUUGAAAAAAAUUGGAAGAUUUGUAUUUGCUCAAAUCUACACCGAAUAAACUUUAACUGAUUGAACGUUUUUUCAGUUUUAAAAUGGAUCCUUCAAAGGACCUCGAUGACAAUUUAGACGUAUUUAACAAACUGGUGCAAGAUAUCGUUAAUUGUGAUGAGACUGUGUCUGAAACCUGUAAGGCCAUAAUCUUGCUCAAUUCUAUUUCUGACUCUUUUAAGGAAGUUUAAAAUGCCAUUAAAUAUGGUAGGGAUACAUUGACACUUGAUAUUAUCAUAGAUUCUCUUAGGAGUAAAGAGAUGAAAAUUAAGGCUGAAAAAUAUGAUAAAACAAGUGGUAAGUUACAUAUGAUGCGGAGUAGAACUCAGUUUAGGCAAAAUAGUCAUGAUGGAUACCAAAGUAGUGGCAAGUCAAGUAGUAAUGGAUGGAAGAAGAAGUGCCAAGGUAGGUCUAGAACAAAGUCUAGGACCAAUGCUAGAAAAUGCUAUGGCUGUGGAAGCACGGGGUAUUUUAUAAAGGAUUGUCAUAAAGAAAAGGGUAAGCUAAAGGUUAAGGAGAGAUAUGGUGUCAAUGUGUUAUCAUCUACUUCCAAUAUAGAUAACAGUGAAAUCUAUAUGAUUAAAAGUCUCAUUGCAUGCACUGCUGAAUUGAAUCUAACUACUAAUUCUCGUAUGCAUCAGUGGACGCUUGAUUCUGGUGCAUCUUUUCAUGUGAUGUCUGAAAAGAAUUGGUUUGAUAACUUGCAUGAAUCUAAUGUUGGGCAUGCUUGCUGUGUGAUAACUUUGCCUAUACGAUAGCUCGAAUUGGUGACAUAGAUAUAAAAUUUUACACGGGCUUUGUCUACACGUUAAAGGACGUUAGAUAUAUUCUUAAUUGUCUAGGAAUUUGAUUUCAGUGGUGAGACUUGAAAAAGAUGACUUUACUAGUAAAAUUAGAAAUGGUGUGCUAAAAAUGAUUAGGGGUGUGAUAGUUUCUAUUAAGGAAACUAAGAAAAACGACAUUUACAUCACUACUGGGGAAGUUAUUAGAGGUUUGAACUCCUCUAUCUGUUCUACCAAGGUUAAUCGCACACACACAUGGUAUAAUAGGCUUGCACACGUAGGCAUUAAGGGACUUAAGCUAAUUAAUGAAAAAGAUGCAUUUCGUAAUGACUGUGUGUUAGAUUUGUCAUUUUGUGAUCAUUAUGUGCUUGGUAAGCAUUAUAAAAUAUCGUUCUCCACUAGUGUUCAUAAAGCUAAAGACAUAUUUAAACAUGUGUAUUCUGAUCUGUGGGGUCCUACUAAUAAUUCCACAUCAGGUAGGAAUAGGUAGUUCCUGUCUAUUAUCGAUGACUAUACUAGGAAAGUAUGAGUCUAUCUGUUGAAAGAUAAAUCUGAGUCUUUUCAUAACUUUAAUAACUGGAAGAGACAAAUGGAAAAUCAAAUUCGCAAAAGGAUCAAAUUUUUAAGGACAAAUAACGACCUAGAAUUUUGCAACAUUGAAUUUGAUAUUACGUGUAAAGGAAAUGACAUAACAAGACAUAAGACGGUUCUUUACACUCCCCAGCAAAACGGGGUAGUGGAAAGGAUGAAUAUGACCAUACUUGAUAAAGUGCGUUGCAUGAUGUUAAGUUCUGAUGUCCCUAAAUCGUUUUGGGGUGAAAAUGUUAUGACUGCUUGUUAUUUGAUUAAUUUGACUCCAUCUGCUACAUUAAAUGGUGAUACUCAGCAUGAGAGUUGGUCUGGUAAAUUGAGUGAUUAUCUAUGCUUAGAACUUUUGGCUUUGCUGUAUUUUCUCAUCAGAGUGAGGAAAAGUUGGAACCUAGAGUUAGAAAGUGUUUCUUUCUAGGAUACCUCAAGGGUGUCUAGGGUUUACUAGGAUAUAAGCUAAAAGGGGAUUAAGAUCAUCGUGAGUAAGGAUGUCACAUCUAACGAAAGUGAGAUGUCGUGUCUUAAAGGCGAAAUCGAACCUGUGAGUGAAACUAAACCAGGUAAAGAAAGAGAUCGAUUUAAGGUAGAGUUAGAAAAACUUAGCACAUCAGCCCCUACUACUCCAAAUGAGAUGGAGAUUCAGGUUCACGAACUUGAGGUGGAGAAUAGUAACAAAGUAGUGAUAGAAGAGCAUCCUAAGGAAGAAAAUCCUUUAGUUAAUUACUAUUUAGUGAAGGAUAGAGAGAGGUGACAAACGAGAGAACCUAGGAGGUUCAGAUUUGAAUCUGAGUUAGCUUUCGUCGAUGCUAGUUACGAAGAACUAGUCGAUAGAGAGCCAAAAACCUUUGAAAAGACGAUGGGUAGUAAUCAAUCUAAAGAGUGGCUUAAGACAAUAAAAGAAGAGAUGAGUUCUCUAGAGAAGAAUCAGACUUGGGACCUAGUACUUAGACCUAAGAAUAAAUUGAUCGUCGAUUAUAAAUGAGUCUUUAAGGUUAAGGAAGGUACCAAUAGUUCGGAACCCUUAAGGUUUAAGGCUAGGUUAGUGGCUAAGGUUUACACAUAGAAGGAGGGCAUUGAUUAUAAUAAGAUUUUCUCACCAGUUGUUAAGUACACUACUAUUAGGGUCAUGCUUGCAUUGGUUGUGCAUUUUGAUAGAGAACUUGAACAACUUGAUGUACAAACUGUUUUUUAACAUGGUGAGCCUGAUGAACAAAUCUUUAUGAAUCAAUCGAAAGGUUUUAAGGACAAGUCAAAACCUGAUUAUGUGUGUUUUCUAAAAAUAUCCUUGUAUUGCUUAAAACAGUCACCUAAACAGUGGUACAAGAGGUUUGAUUCCUUUGUACUCACUAUAGGGUUUGAAAGAAGUAAAUUUGAUCACUAUUUGUACUUUCAACACAACGAGAUUAAUAAUAAUUGUUUGUUUUUGUUUAACUAUGUGAACGACAUGCUUUUGAUUGGUUCAUCAACUAAGUGGGUAAACAAUAUAAAAGCAAAACUAAGUGGUGAAUUUGAUAUGAAAGACCUAGGUAAGACUAAGAGAAUUCUAGACAUGGAAAUAGAAAGAGAUAGGUCAAAUUCUGUCCUAUUUUUGCAUCAGUCUCCAUAUAUAUCUCGGUUGUUGAAGAAAUUUAAUAUGGUGAUUGCAAAUAUGUCACAUUGCCUCUUGCUAAUCAUUUUGUUUUAUCUAAAGAACAAUCUCCUUGCAAUGAAUGUGAAGUAGAAUACAAGAGUAGAAUUUCGUAUUCUAAUGUGAUUGGUUCCAUAAUGUAUUUGAUGGUUUGCACUAGACUGAAUUUAGGUUUUGCUGUCAGUACUCUUAGUAGGUACAUGUUUAAUCUGGGUCUUGAACAUUGGGAAGCAUUAAAGUGGCUAUUAAGAUACUUGAAAGGUUCGGGUGACGUAGGUCUAAAGUUUAGUGCUAAUAAGGAAGGUGUAAAAUUGAAGGGCUUUAUAGAUGCUGAUUAUACGGGAAAUAGGGAUGUUUACCUUAACUAAUUCAUGUGUUAAUUGAAAAUCACAGUUACAACACAUUGUUGCACUAUCUACUACAGAGUCAAAAUAUAUUGCUACCACUGAAACAAUUAAAUAUGCUCUAUGGCUUAGAUGUUUACUUCGUGAAUUAUGUGUCUUGAAUGAUUAUACGGUAAUGUAUUUUGAUAGUCAGUCGUCUAUACAUUUUAUGAAAGAACCCUAUUUUUCACGAACGCACUAAACACGUUGACGUUAUACUACACUUUAUUAGAGAUAUAAUAUCUCAAGAAGUGGUAAGACUUGAAAAUGUCCACACACAAUACAACCCUUUAGAUAUGGGCACGAAAGUGCUGCAAUUGGUAAAGUUUAGAAACUACAAGCAUCUUCUAAACAUUGGUACAGGUAAAUGAUUUUCAAUUUUAUUGGUUUUCUGUUAGAGGUGUCACUAAUGGGAGACGUUUUCAUUUUUUCAGGUCCUUUGACACCAAUGUGGAGAUUGUGAGGUAACUUAUUGUCAAACGACCUCCCCCAAGCUAUGAUGUUACUCGAUUUUAUUUUUUCAGUCGGCUUAGCCAAAUGACUUAACGGAAGUUUAAGACUACAAUCCAGGCGAUAUGACCCAAAUGUUAAUUGGGACACUCGAAGCAACCUAAAUAUUUUAGUGUUGCUCGUUUUAACGCCCCAAAUCUAUUACACUUUUUUUUUUUUUUUUAAGAUUUGAAGUGUUACCAAAAUCUUUCUUUUAUAGUUUAAGCGGAAUUUAACACUAAUGUAGAAAUUUUGGUAUUAAAUCAAUAAAGUGAAUUCAACAAUUCAAAAUAAAAAUUUGAAGUUUAUCUAGCUUAAAAUACUACAAAUUAAAUUGCCAAUUUAAAUGUUAAAUAACUUGAAUGUCGAAACUACUAAAAUAACACGCACGGAGUUAAACAUAAAAUAAAAUUAUUUUUGAAAUAGAAAUUGGCAAUAAUCAUUUCUAAAACUUUUACUUGGCCACCCCAUAAGCAUCACUCAGUUAAUCUGUCACGUGUCCACACGACCUCUUCUAAUCUGAAAAGUUAGCAAGAGUGAGUAUUUAAAAAAAAAAAAAAAAAAAAAAAAAAAAAAAAAAAAAAUUAAAAAAAAAAAAGGGCAAAUUUUUUANNNNNNNNNNNNNNNNNNNNNNNNNNNNNNNNNNNNNNNNNNNNNNNNNNNNNNNNNNNNNNNNNNNNNNNNNNNNNNNNNNNNNNNNNNNNNNNNNNNNNNNNNNNNNNNNNNNNNNNNNNNNNNNNNNNNNNNNNNNNNNNNNNNNNNNNNNNNNNNNNNNNNNNNNNNNNNNNNNNNNNNNNNNNNNNNNNNNNNNNNNNNNNNNNNNNNNNNNNNNNNNNNNNNNNNNNNNNAAAAAAAAAAAAAACCUUAGUAAGAAAAACGUGCAUAUUCUUAUACAUGAUAUAAAUUUAAUAUGACAUGACAUACCAACAUUUUUGAGAUUUAGAGUAAACUGAUCGCGACAUCCAAUAGCUCAAGGAAUUUCAUAAGAAUUCCUAUAUCCCGUAGGAUUUACAUGCCCGACCAAACGGUCCAUGCCGUAUGAUUUAACAUAAAAAUCGACCUAAAGGCCUUAACAUAUUUCAUGCCAAAAUCUAUAAAAAAAUAUCAAGAAAUAAGAAUUAAUCACUUGCACAUUUCUUACCUCAAAUGAUAUAAAAUAAAUAAAAAAAUAAAUAAAAAUAAAAAAAAUCUGAAAUGAUUUGUGAAAUAAACUAUAUAUAUAGGAAAGAUUUGUACAAGUUAUACGUUUCGUCACCACUUUGUGGAAAAUAGUUAGGUAUGAAUAUGUUAAAUACAUGUGACUCGAGUGGUGAAAUAGUAUCGAGGGAGGUUUCAAAUCACUCGGUUGAGUGAGUUACAAAUGCUAAUUGAAUGAAUUUUUUGAUAAAAUAAUGAAUGAAUUGGUGUUUCAAAUUCCAAGGAAGACAAUUGAGGUUUCAAUUUAUAUAAUUUGAAGUCGGUGAAAAAGUGUUUCUAAAAAUAGCACCAAUAAAAGGAGUUCUUAGAUUUGGCAAGAAGGGAAAGUUGAAACCUCGAUUUAUAGGUCCUUUCAAAAUUCUAGACAGAAUUGGGAAUGUAGCAUAUCGUCCAGCUUUGCCACCUAGACUAUCAACAGUACAUAAUGUAUUCCACGUGUCGAUGCUUAGAAAGUAUGUGCAUGAUCCCAAACAUGUGAUAAGCUAUGAUUCAUUGAAGGUACAGAAAGAUCCAACGUAUGAAGAGACUCCUUUGGAGAUUAUCGAAAGGAAAAUACAUGCAUUAAAGAACAAAGAAAUUGCCUUGGUUAAGGUUCAAUGGAAAAAUCAUGGAGUCAAAGACGCUGCUUGAGAAAAAGAAGAACUAAAAGCCAAGUAUCCAAAGUUAUUCGUCUAAAUAAGGUAAUUUCAAGAAAGAAAUUAUUUUAAGAGGGUAGGAAAUUAUUUUAUCAAGUACUUGCACUUCCUUGCAAUAAUCUCCGGACCCAAAAUUCGUUUUUCUCCGUCUUCAUCCCAAUGAACUGGGGAUCUAUAUCUUCUACCGUAGAAAGCUUCAUAAGGAGCCAUGCCGAUAGUAGCCUAGAAGCUAUUAUUGUAUACAAACUCCACUAUGAUAGAUGUGACUCCCAACUACCUCCCAAAUCCAAGACACAUGUUCGGAGCAUGUCUUCUAAAAUUUGAAUAGUUUUUUCAGACUAUCCAUCAGAUUAAGGAUGAUAGGCAGUGCUAAAAUUUAACUGUCCCCAUAGCUCCCUGCAUGCUCUUCCAAAAUUUAGAAGUAUAUCUUGGUUCUCGAUCUGAAACGAUAGAUAUUGAAAUUCCAUGUAGCCUGACAAUUUUCUUAAUAUAUAAUUGAGCAAAUUGAUCCAUACUAUAGUUCAUUCUUACUGGAAGAAAAGGAGGUGACUUUGUCAACCUGUCAACAAUUACCCAGAUGGCAUUGUGCCUUUCGUUGACUUCAAAAAACCUGCCACAAAAUCCAUGGCUAUUUGCUCCCAUUUUCACUCUGAAAUUUCCAAUGGAUUUAAUGGUUCUGAUGGCUUUUGAUGUUCUGCUUUAACUUGCUGAUAUACAAUACACUUCUCGACAAAGAGACCAAUCCCCAUUUUCAUAUUCCGCCAUCAAAAGGUAUCGCGGAGAUCUCGAUACAUUUUAGUACCACUGGGAUGUACAGCAUACGGGGCAUAGUAAGCUUUCUCUAAUAUUUCCUUUCUUAUUCCUUCAUCCUUUGGUACACAUAAUCUUCCCUUGAACAUCAACGCAUUGUCAUCUACUAUUGCAACACCUUUUCUUUUACUUGUAUCAACUUUCACCUUGAUUUUCCUCAAAAAUGGACCGUUGUCUUGAGCGUCCUUGAUUCGAUCCCUAAGGGUAGGUUGUAUCUUUAAUGCUGCAAUUUUUGCAGUAACUUGAGUUGGUGGAAUGACAACUUCCAAUUUCAAUUUAUCAAACUCCUUUCAUCAAUUGCGCUUGAGCUAUGGAUAAGGCAGGUAGUUGCCUCCACUGUCUUCCUACUAAGAGUAUCUGUGACUUCAUUAACUUUACAUGGAUGAUAAUAGAUAGUGCAAUCAUAAUCCUUAAAUAACUCCAACCACCUUCUCUGCCUCAUAUUCAAAUCCUUUUGAGUGAAAAAGUAUUUCAAGCUCCUAUGAUCCGUAUAAAUAUCGCACUUUCUUUCGAAAAGGUAGUGAUGUCAUAUCUUUAGAGCGUGUACUACUGUGGCCAACUCUAGAUCAUGCGUAGGAUAGUUUUGCUCAUGUUGUUUUAAUUGUCUCGAGGCAUAUGCGAUCACCUUCCCAAACAGCAUUAGUACACAUACCAAACCUUGUUUGGAUGCAUUACUAUAUAUAACGAAUCCAUCUCAACCUUUUGGUAUAGCUAAAACUGGAGCUAUAACCAGUUUCUAUUUCAAUUCUUGAAAGCUCUCCUCAUAUUUCUCAGUCCAUUGAAAUUUUACACUCUUUUCUGGUUAAUUGGGUUAUUGGCCCAGCUAUUUUGUAGAAUCCCUCGAAGAAUCUCCAAUAAUAAUCGGCUAGUCCCAAGAAACUACGAACUUUGCCUACAUUCAUUAGUUUGGAUCAGUUUGUUACCGCUUCAACUUUAAUAGGGUCCACUUUAAUUCCUUGUGCCGUAACCACAUGACCAAGAAAAACUAUACGAUCAAGCCAAAAUUCACAUUUCUUGAGUUUGGCAUACAACUUCUCCUUUCGUAAUGUCUCCAACACUAUCUUGAGUUGUUCUUCAUGUUGAUCCUUAUUCCUUGAAUACACCAAAAUGUUAUCAACGAAAACAAUGACAAAUUGAUCUAAAUACUGGUGGAAUACCCUAUUCAUUAAAUCCAUAAAUACUACAUGAGCAUUUGUUAAUCCAAAGGGCAUUACCGUGAACUCAUAAUGACCAUAGCAGGUUCUAUGUGCUGUCUUUGGAAUGCCAUCUACCUUCACCUUCAACUGAUGAUAGCCUGACUUCAAAUCAAUUUUGGAAAACACUGUUAAACCCUUCAACUAAUUAAAUAGAUCUUCAAUCUGAGGAAGGGGAUAUUUGUUUUUUUACUGUCAAUUGGUUCAAUUCCCUAUAAUCAAUACAUAAUCUCAUUUAUCCAUCCUUCUUCUUCACAAAAAAAACUGGUGCACUCCAAGGAAAUGUACUUAGUCGGAUGAAACCUUUAUCGAACAACUCCUGCAACCGUAUCUUUGAUUCUUGCAGUUCUUUUGGUGCCAUCCUGUAUGGAGCUUUAGACACUGGAGUUUCCCCAGGCACGAGCUCAAUUGUAAACUCUAGUUUCCUAUCAGGUGCGCCAGGUAAGUCAUCAGGAAAUACAUCAAUGAAAUCUCUUACAAUUGGCAUAUUACCAAUAGUAAGCUCCAAUUGCUGAGUUCCAUAUAUACUCACUAGAAAUCCUUGGCAAGAUUUUUUUUAACAUCUUUUCUACCUUCAUGGCCAACAUAAGUCGAGGUAAAGACUUUACUCGUACAGCAAAAAAUAGAAACUCAUCCUCCCGAAGCCUCUGAAAAACUACUUCAUUUUCGAAACAUCGAAUGGUUGCGUGAUUGCUUCCCAACCAAUCCAUUCCUAGAAUAACGUCAAAGUCUUUCAUGUCUAGGAGGUGCAGAUCAGCUACAAAUUAUUUUCCUUCCAUUACUAAUUUUACUGCCCCAGCGAACUAAUUGGUAUUGAAAAUUCUACUGGAUGGGAUGAAAAUUUCUAGAACACUAUCAGAUUUUUCACAUGCAGUACAUGAUUUAGCAAUAAAUGUGAUGAAGAUAAAUGAAUGAGUAGCUCCGGAGUCAAUAAGAACUUGCGGGUAGUUCAAAUAUUGAUAGAAUACCUGCCUUCAUAUUUGGAUCCUCUGUUGCCUCUUCUCGGGUUAAAGCAAAGACUUUCACUUUCACUUUCUUGCCCCGUUCAUUAUCCUUCUUAGGUGGGUAUGCCUUGUAGUCCGGAGCAAAAUGGCCUUCUUGGCCACAUCGAUAACACACAUAUUUCCUAAACAAGCACUCUUCUCCAUGAGUCUUGUCGCACAUUAGGCAUCAUGAAAUAACUUUAUUUGUUUUACUUGAUCCUGAUCCUAAUCCUAAUCCUAAUCCUAGUCCUGUAUUAGAAUUCUUAAAUUGUCCAAAUCCUUUCCCUUUAUUCAAUCGAUUCCACUUUCGUUUCCCAUAUGAUUCAUUAUUCCUCUCAGUCAUCCGAUCCAUUUCUAGACGAUCAGAAAUUGACUGGGCCCGCUGAAGCACUUCACUAUAGGUGGUCAUAUGGUGAGAUGCCAUGAUUCCUCCAAUCUUUGGACACUGGCCUAAUUCGAACCUCCUGGCCUUCUUUGGCUGAAUAUCGAUAAGGUGUGUAGCAUACCUAGAAAGUUGUUCAAACUUUCUUUCAUACUCAUCAAGCGACAUAUUUCCUUGUUUCAACUAUAGGAACACUACCUCUCUCUAAUCCAUCGGUGAUUGGGAAUAUUAUUUUGUCAUUACGUCUUCUUUGAACUGUGCCCAAGUCAUAGCAUAUUGUUGUGCUUCCAUUCUAGUGCGCAAAGUAGACUCCCACUAGUGACCUGCUGCUCCAAGCAGCAUAAAUUCAGCACAUGAUACCUUUUGUGUGUCAGUGUAUGCCAUGUGUUUGUAGAUUCGUUAUAGCCCUCUUAACCAUUCCUCGACUACCAAAGGGUCUCCCUUGCUGUCAAAAGAAGGAGGUUUAAAACGGCAAAACUGCUCCACAAUUGAACUUGUUUUGUUAGUAUUUGCCAGUCCAUUCUGAGGAGCUACUGCCUUCAUCAGACCCCUAAACAUAGCUGCUUGGUCUUGUUGUCCUGUCAUUUCCUUUAGAUUAACAAAAUAAAUUAUCUUAAAAAUGUUGAACAACACAGUAGCUCAAUAUAUUCAACUGGAAUUAAGAAUUUUUAUUAUUAGUACUCUUUGAAAUCAGGAUAUACAAUAGUUCGGCAAAUUUUAAUUUUCAAUAACAUAAAGGAAAAGAUAUCGCAGUACUAAGGAAAUGGAAUCUAAGUUUCUAAUCUCUAUGAAUUAUGCAAAUCUUCUUUAAUGGAGCUUCAUCUUCGUAGGAGUCUUCUAUCUCAAGCCCGGACUCUAUAUCCAUCUCAACCAGUGACUCAGGUUUUGGUUCAUGCUUAUGAUCAAAAUCAUCCCCAUGCUCCCAUUCGAGAUCUUCUUCUGGGUCUAAUUCAAAUUGAGGAUCUGGAUCGGGCUCGGGCUCAAGCUCGGCUUCAUCACUGAGGUCAUUCAGUAUCUCCGACUGGGUUUCUAAGCUCUCACUCCACCUAUCUAGAAGGGUCUGACAGUAUAUGCCAAACUCAGUCGUGUUUGGGUGCUCUGGAAGGUUACCUUUUAACAUCUCAUCCCUAACCAUAACUCCCAUGUCUCCCCCAUUGAGGUGGAAGUAAGUGUAUGAGGUUAAUAAUAGCCUCGAUAUGCGUGAUUUCCAGUCCUACAUCCAUAGCUGUCAUACAUCUUUCAUAGAUAUUUUGCACGUUCAACAAGUAAACGAGCCCAGUCAGUCACGUAAUUCUCAUAAGAUUGAAUAAAUGGACCUACGGUUGAAUGCUGCUCUACAAGCAGUGAUUUUUCUAGCGGUCUGAUAAAUUCUAACCAUGUCUGUCACAUAAGGGUCCAAUUAUAUUUACUUUUGUAGUGAUAUCAAAGUAUAUGUUAUGCUCUAAUGGUUUUAAUAGAAUUGCCAAUCAAUAUACUCUCAUGUAUAAUAAAAUAAUAGCAUACAUAACAUAUUUCUUUCUAAACAUUCAUUUAUAGUCAUUUCAUAGAAUUCAAGUUUAAAUGAUAUAUAAAUCAUGCUUGGAAAUAAAAUAAAACGUAACAUUUCCUCCAUACCUUGAGUUCAUUGGACGAGUAGUAGAUUGACGAGCGUUAAAUGCCAUGGGUUUUAUUUUUAAUAUAUAUUUUUUUCCUAGAGAAAAAUAUUAUCACGUAUAAGACCAUAAAAAAAUGUAGAUACCAUUUUUUGCACAAAAGAAAUAUAAAAUUACCAUGGCAAUGAGGCUUUGUUUUCACAUCAACUAGUGCACUAGUAGCCAAAAUUUCAACCAAUUGUACACUUCUUUUUUUUUUAAUCGAUGCUUAGAUUGUCAUUGUUUAGGUUUACUAAAUUUUCUAAUGACACCACACUACUAAUCCAUAUCAAGAUUGAUAUUAUAUAAUUAGAUUUUUCACACACUUCCCAACAAAAUCAAAAUGUUUCACUACCAUGUACCUUGUAUAAAGUUGGUAAUAAUGAUAUAAAUUCAUUAAUACUAAUAUCACAUUGGUAAAAAAAUAAAAAAUAAAUAAAAAUUUACAUUUAGGCAGAAACAUUUACCUUCUAUUAAACAUGCAAUUAAGUCUCUUUUUGAAAAUAUUAAUUUAACAUUAUUUAGAAAUUAAAUAUUUUAACAGUUUAUUCAACGUAAAUUCAAUAAAUUUUCAAAUGUCAUAAUCGUAAAAAUUUAACAGAAUAGGAAAUAAAAUAUCUUUUUUUCUCUCAUUUAGAUGACUAAGUCUUAAAAAUAAAUUAUGAUUCAAAGAAAAAUAAUUUAUGCACGUAAAUCACAUUUUUUUUUUUUAACAAAAUCAUAAGGCAUGAUCUAAGUUAAAUCAUCUAAAUGUUGGGACUAGAAAUUUUGCACAUAAUUCAUGUAAUGAAAUUUAUGUUAUACAUGACGGUGAAAACUAUAUUUUUUUUUUCGAUCUCCAGAAAGAUAAAUCUGGGCUCUGAUACCAUUCUGUAACACCUCAAAUCCACUACCAUUUUUUUUAAAAAAUAUUUGAAGUGUUACCAAAAUCUUUCUUUUAUAGUUUAAGCAGAAUUUAACACUAAUGUAGAAAUUUUGAUAUUAAAUCAAUACGGUGAAUUCAAUAAUUCAAAAUAAAAAUUCGAAGUUUAUCUAGCUUAAAAUACUAUUGCCAAUUUAACAUGUUAAAUAAUUUAAAUGUCGAAACUACUAAAAUAACACGCAUGGAAUUGAACAUAAAGUAAAAUUAUUCUUGAAAUAGAAAUUGGCAAUAAUCCUUUCUAAAACUUCUACUUGGUAACCCCAUAAACAUCACUCAGUUAAUCUGCCACACGUCCACACGACUCAUUCUAAUCUAAAAAUUUACUAAGAAUGAGCAUUUAAAAAAAAAAAAUACCCAAUAAGAAAAACGUGCUAUUCUUAUACAUGAUAUAAAUAUAAAAUGACAUGGCAUACCAUCAUUUAUUAGAUUUAGAGCAAACUGGUCGUGACAUCUAAUAGCUCAAAGAAUUUCAUAUGAAUUCCUAUAUCUCGUAGGAUUUACAUGCUCGACCAAAUGGUCCAUCCUGUAGGAUUUAACAUAAAAAUCGACCUGAAGACCUUGAAGUAUUUCGUGCAAAAUCUAUAAAAAAUCAAGAAAUAAGAAUUAACCACUUGCACAUUUCUUACCUCAAAUGAUAUAAAAUAAAUAAAAUCUGAAAUGAUUUGUGAAAUAAACUGCUAUUCUUUUUCAAAAGUAUGAACGAGUUUAGACGUGAAAUGUCAAUGUUUAGGUGGGUAAAGAAAAGUUUCUCCCUAUAUAUAUAUAUUUAUGUGUGUGUGCGUGUGUUUAGCAGAAACGUCUAAAAGAGAUUCAAUAGACCAAUUAAAUUUCAAGUCAAUAAUGAGGGAUGUUUCAAAAUCACUCAUGGACGGUUGAGCGAGUUACAAAUGUUAAUUGAAUGAAUUUUUCAUAAAAUAAUGAUUGAAUUGGUGUUUCAAAUUCCAAGGAAGAAAAUUGGUGUUUCAAUUUAUCAUUUUAUAUUAUAUAUAUAAUUAUUACUAUAUUAAUAAAAUAUAGAAUUUAGAAUACUUUUCUUUCUAUUAAAAUAACUCGAAUAUGACUAGUCCAAAAUUAUUUCUUCUUAAACCAAUUUAUGUUGUUUAACAGUAGCUACAAAAUGAGUAUAAUAACUAUUGACGUCAAAAUUUGUAGAUAGUAGUCUCGAGUCAACUUUAAGAAGAAGGGUGAUCUUUCCAGUUAUGAAAAAGGUUAAGGUAUAUUUGAAGAGGAUCAAAAUUGUGUAAUGUCUUUGCUUCUAAGUUUACUUGUCCUUAAGGAAACUAUUUCUCUGCUAUUUAUACAUAACUAUAACCGAAAUUACAUCAAAUCAAUCAAAUCAAGAACAGGAUCGAGCUCGAAAGUCCGGUCGAUGAACUCUCCUGUGAUUGGUCAACGAGGUCGGUGCUCAUGUGUCAAUAUUUUCUCAAGUAAUGAUGACCCCAAGUGAUUUGAAUGUUCAAGGCCUUGGAUUGAUGGUUUUGGGUGGUGACAAAAUCACCCUCUGCAAGUGUAGAUGAUUGAGAGGAUAAUGUGACAGGAGGCAAUCAUGAUGUCUCCUGAGAUUACGACGGUAUUAUACCGAGCUAAAGCACAUAGCCAAACUCACAUCUGCCUGAGGUGAAGCCUGCGAAUGACAAUUAUGAGACCAGAGGUCGAUCUUCAACAAUAUCGAUAUAUUUUUAUCAACUUUUGGAAUACUUAAAUAUUUAACCCAAAUAACUUACGAUAAUUUCAAAAAGUAUACGUACGCAAAAUAAAUCAUUUAUACAAAUAAGUGGGUCCUGUUUAUUACUUCAACUUUUGAACUUUAGUGUGACAUCAAAGUUAGUCAUGGACUAUUUUAUUUGCUAAAUUACCAACAUUGAAUUUAGCCCACACGGAAUUAAAAUUUAAAAUUCAAAGUGUUACACUCGUGGCCCAAUCCUCUUCCUUGGAUGGCCAUAAUUGAGAGAAAGCAAUUGUGAAUCCAUUUACUUACCUAUUGGGCCUCUACUUUGAUCCCUAUAUUAACCUAGUUACACUUACCAUAUUUGGGCCAUUAUUACUUGAUAAAUGGGUCUCUUUUCUCUCUAUGUGAGAGGCGUCCUCUGCCUCUCUCUUGUUCGGCCGAUUUUGUGAGAUUUUCUUCUACUCUUUCUGUAUCUUUUGAUCUCUACCUAUAGUGGUCGUAAUAUAUGAGAUAUAAUGCAAAUUUGUGGUCUCCUAAGUGAACUAUCUCAUUGACAACUGGAAGUGGAAGCUUAGUUAUUGUUUUGGGUCAUUGUUGUCGGGUUGUGAUAUUAGAAGUUGGAAGAAACUGAGCCUGGGCAAGCUUUGGUGCUCAAUAUAUGUUCAACAACAACCUCAAUGAGCCUAAAUAGCAUUACUCAUAUAGAAUAUAUAUAUGAGGCUAAUAAAUGUCAUCAAUUAAAUAUUUUGCAACUUUUUUCUGCUACAAUCAUUUUUUAUUGUUUGUUAUAUCUACAAAAAUAUAUAUAAGCUUUUAUGCAACAGACUACCAACAUUGCAAAAUAAUAUAUUAGCAACAAGCGUUAAAAAUAUUAUUGUCGAAUCUAACUUAGUUAGCUAACGGGAAUAUACAUCUACUUAUUGUUGCAAUAAACCCAUUUUAGCAACACACUAAUGAAUAUUGUUGUUUAUAUGUUACAUAAUGCUACUUUUCUUGGAGUAGCACUUGGACUCCUACGCUAAAGUCUUUGUUAUUUAAAGUAAAUUCCUUAACUUAGAUGGUAAAUACAUGAAAAAAUAACAACUAUUCAUCUAUGCGUCACAUUAAUGGAUCAUAAAGUAGAAAAGUAGAUUCCCUUCUAUUUUCCCAUUCCGACAAACAAAUUAUCCUCGUUUUUUGUUUACAUCCCCUAUGGGAAUGACUGAGUUCCAUCUAUGGAAUGGUCAAUAUUUCAUUUCUAGCAAAUUUUAUGCAGAGAAACACUUUCAUAUGUAUCAUUUUUUUAUGAAGUACAUUCCUUUCUCAGUAAACAAGCAAUGGAAAUUGUUCUUAAACCAAUUUUCACCUUUCUCCUUUUUACAAAACGGUGGAGAAUCUAAUUAUCAGCCAUCAUUUUUCUUUCUAUCCUCUUUCUUUAAAAACCAAAUGCAACUAAAGGAUUUUUUUGGAUCUAAAUAUGAAAUUUUUGCUCAUGGGCGGGGGUCAAAAAAUGAGUAUAUAUAUUAGCGGCUGGUCGACAAUCACUCAAGUUGUUACGUGCUCAUCUGGAUCCAUUCUAGCUCAUUCAAAUUCUUGGAUAAGUUCCUGUAUGCAUAGCAUGGUAUAGGAUUUUCGCUUUGUUUCUUUUCUUUCUAUUCUAGUUUCUUUUUUCUUCGUGAUAAGGACAAAUAAAGUAUCUAUUCUAUUCAGUACUAUUGUUGCUUUUCUGAUGUCCUAUGGUGGGGUUCAAUAUUUAGUUUCCUUUUAUGGGUCCCAGACUCCCAUGUGAAUGUUAUUCUUAUUUUUUCUUGGUUGGAUUGGGUGGCUUUUGUGCUACUCUUUUGUUUAGAUUUGGAAUAUGAAAAAAGCCCUGCUUUCACGAACAGGGCCAAUGUGGCCCUAUUCGUGCGUACCCUAUUGACAGGGGGUCUGUGGGCAUAGACCUUUGCUAGUAGGGGCACCACAUGUGCCUCCUGGAUGGAUAGGGCCCCGUUGGCCCUGUUCAUUUACAAACAUCCAUUAAAAAAAUAGGUAAAAUGGUUUUUUUCUUUUUAUGGUACAAGGAACUUGAAAUUCUCCUUUGUUUUGAGAUGGAAAAGUAGAUUCCUUCUAUUUUCCCAUACCGACAAACAAAUUAUCCUUGUUUUCGUUAAUGUCGCUAUGGGAAUGAGUGCCAUCUAUGGAAUGGUCCACAUUUCAUUUCUCGCAGUUUUAUGUUGAGAAACACUUUCGUAUGUGUCAUUUUUCACGAAGUACAUUCCUUCUUGGUAAACAAGCAGAUGGAAAUUAUUCUUCAACCAAUUUUCUCCUAUCUUGAUUUUUCAAAACAAUGGAAAUCUAAAAUUAUUAGCUAUCAUUUUUCCUUCUAUCCUCUUUCUUAAAAAAAAACCAAACGAACCUAAAGGAUUUUUUGGGAUCUAAAUAUAAAAUUUCUGCACAUAGGGGAAUAAAAAAAUGGCUAUAUUUAUUAGCAACUAAUCGACGGUUGCUCAAGUUGCUGCGUGCUCAUCUAGAUUCAUCCUAACUCACUCGAAUUAUUGUAUUCGUUCCUGUAUGCAUAGCAUAGUAUAGGAUUUUUGCUUUGCUCCUCUUUCUCUUCCAUCUUUUUUCUUCUUGAUGAGGACAAAUAAAAUAUCUAUUCUAUUCAGUACUAUUGUUCCUUUUCUCAUGUCCAAUGGUAGGGUUCAUUUUUUAGUUUUCUUUUGUGGGUCCCAAACUCCCAAGUGAAUGUUAUGCUUAUUUUUAUUUGGUUGGACUAGCUGGCUUUUGCACUACACUAUUGUUUAGAUUGGGAUUAAAAAAGAGCCAUAAUGCACGGACAAGGCCUAUGUGUGCCCCUAGUGGAAGGCGGUCUAUGCAGCCAAUAAGGGUUCCCACAACGUAGGCCCUAUCUGUGCACCCCUAGUGGCAGGGGGUCUGUGCAACAAAUAAACAGGCUCACUCAUAGCCUUGUAUGUUUAGAAAAACACAUUAAAAUUGGGUAAACUGGUUUUUUUCUUUUUAUGCCAGAAGAAACUUGAAUUUUGUCCUUUACUUUGGGAUGGAAAAGUAGAUUCCCUUCUAUUUUCACGUAACUACAAACAAAUUAUCCUUCUUUUUUUGUUUAUAUCCCCUGUGGGUUAGAGAAACACUUUUGUAUAUAUCAUUUUUGACAAAGUACAUUCCCUUCUCGAUAAACAAGCAAAGGAAAUUAUUCUUCAACCAAUUUUCACAUUUCUCUUUUUCACAAAUCAAUGGAGAAUCUAAAAUUAGUUGUCAAUUUCUUUCUGUCCUCUUUCUUACCAAACCAAAUGCAUCUAAAGGAUUUUUGGAGACUAAAUAUGAAAUUUUUGCUCAUGUGGAAAUCAAAAGAUGAGUACAUAUAUUGGGCGGUUGCUCGAUGGUCGCUCUAGUGGUUGCACACUCACUGAAUCCACCAUAAUUCACUCAAAUUUCUAGAUCCGUCCCUAUAUGCAUAGCAUAGGAUAGGAUUUUUGCUUUGCUCCAUUUCUUUCUCGAGAUAAUAGCCCAAAUGGUCACUUAACUUUGCAAAAGGUCCACAGGGGUCACUGAACUUUGAAAAUUACUUCAUUCAUCACAACUUUUUAUUUUGCAGCUCCAUUAAUCAUUGAACUAACAGUCAAUACAAAAAUUGACAGAAAGCUUACGUGGCUGCAUACGUGGCUUGAUGGGUCGGUGGAUGCAUGUCAAGGAAGUGCUACAUAUGUGGAUCUUUUUUAAAAUGAAAUUACAUUUUAUAUAUAUGAAUGGAAAAAUCUGAAUCAACCCAUCUUUUUCAGAUUUUACAUAAGAAAAUCCCCAAUCUCCCUCCUCAAAGUCAACCACCAUUAGUAGUCACUGUAAACCGCAUCGUUGCCUUCCAUAGCCACCAUCACUUGCCUUUGUCGCCUUUCCCACAUCCCCAUCGUAGAAAAAUACUAAGUAAAACUACCCUAAUGAACUGUUAUAAUUAGUAGUAUAACAUAUAAUAGCAAAUCCGCACAUCAACAGAGAAAAAGGAAAAGAAAAAUGACAAUGAUAAAGGAAAUUAGCACACAGAUUUAUGUUAAUGGCUCAAUGAAACCCACAUACACAAAAAAAGAAAAUAAAUCGAAUAUAAAACAUGUUUCUUUUUCCUCCAGAUGUCGUCGCCUCGUUCCCACAUCUCCUUUUCAAUAGCUUUCUUGAUGAUUUCAAAGCUGCCUUCUUUUUCAUUAUCAUUUAUAAUUUAACAAAGUUUUACCUAUAGUUUGUGUGGGCACCGGCUCCAUUCC